GAGGAGAGAGGUUAGAGAGAGAGUGAAAAAUUGUUCAAAUGAGGCUUAAACCACUUUAAAUAUGGUUUGGAUUUGAGACACAGUGGAAUUCUACCCGAUACUGAUGUUAACCGAGGCUUUUGGUCGCACCCGAUUAAGUUGUCGUCACCCGAUAUGGUCAAAACCAAAGUUUUUCUAAUUACUAGUUUGAGACGUUUUCUUGUGUUUCUAACAUGUUUGGAUACUUACAAGGUCAAAAUAAAAGUCUUAAUUUAAUUGACCUAAUCCAAAAACGAAAACGGAAUAAUUCGCUUAAGACGAGUUUUACGGACGGAAUGGGUUGUAGCGAGGGAAAAACGUCAGGUUGUCAUACACUAUUUCACCCUUCCUACUACCACAUAAAAUCAUAACAUAAUCAUACAGUUAGGCAUACCGAGGUGACCGACCUACCCCUGGGCCAUAUCGACCGGAUAUGUGGUCUAUUCCCCCUAUUAUCACGGAACAUCAUAUCAGGCUAGCACAUAAUCAUAACAGGUAACAGUAUACUAUAAAAUUAUCUUGAAGACAACUAUGUAUACUAUAAAUCUUACUAGUGGGCCGGCCUUGGUCCCUUCGACCCACUUCGACUGGAAGAUAACUCACCUUAAUGUAGUGUAGUAUUUGAACUGUCCUUUAGGCUGGGAUCAACUCCUAUCAAACUCCUACACAUAACAACCUUGCUUAAAUACCAUUUCAUACUCGACCCUUUCAAGGGUCAACUCAGGUCAAAGUCAAAUUCAAGGUCCACAACCAGGUCAAAGUCAACAUCUAGUUGACUCAACUCGUCGAGUUGGCUCGUCAACUCUUCGAGUUCCAUAAUUCUGAGAAUCUCAAUUUCACGAUCUGACUCAUCGGGUUGCCCUUCAGCUGUCUAAGGCUCUCCUUAUGACAGAAUCAGGACUUUUCAUUUGAACUCGUCGGGUCCUUCCUUAGACUGGUCGAGUGCAUCUUCAUCUCAGUUGGGACAGUUUCUCUUAACUCACCGAGUUCAUCCUUGAACUCGUCGAGUUCCAUGACCUUCAAGUCCAUAAACGAGACCAACUUUCUGAGUCAUCUCCAAAACUCAACAAGUUGAUCAAUAAUAGUAAAUAUUGGAGAAACUACGACCCAACUCGCCGAGUCGUAUAAGUGACUCGUCGAGUCCAUCAAUGUCUAAAUCCAUACAAUCGAUUUCAAUCCGGUUUAACUCAUCUAAAACAUAGAUCUUACUUCCUAGGGUUAAUAUUAUAUGUAAACUUACAAACUUUAAGUGCACGCAAGUUGUUUGAGGUAGUGUUCCUAAUCCAAACCAGGCCAAGAAACUCGAAAUUCUAUGAAAAGAGCCUUCAACUUGUCAAGUGCAUGAACUGACUCGCCGAGUUGCUCUGUUACUUAGUGGACUCCUCGAGUCUGUUCCGAGACUUGGCGAGUUCACCAAUCAGAGGCCAAAAUUCUAAUUUUUUCAUCUUUGAAAAACUAGUAUGCAUCAAAUAUAAUAGAAAACAAUCGUAGGCUCUGAUACCACUAUUGGGUUUUGAGCACUAUAACACUCCUAUGGUGUACAUGCAACCUUAAAUGUUUUGUAUAUAUGUUUUCUCUAAUUAUACAUGCAUUUUCAAUUUUUACAAAGCAUUCUCCCUAGCUAGCAUAUAAUUGAAGCUAUACAAUAUAAACUUAGUUUGGAUGCUUACCUCUCGAGUAGGGUAGAGUUCUUAACCUUUGAAAGCUUGAGCACCCCAAGUCUGAUGCCUCUAAUGGUUCACAAACACCAAAUGCAAGAGGAGGCUUUAGAUAAAAGUUUAUUUAGCAUAAAAUCUACUUUACUCUCAUAGAAUGUAUGUGGUGGCCGAUUUUAGCUUUAGGGUUGAGUAUUUAUAAUAUGGUAAAUGCUAGGGUUAAUGAUUGUAAACCCUAAUGGCCUUUCAUAUACUUAGGCUUUAUGGGUUAACCUCCAUGGACUAUCCAUUGACUAUCUCAAUGGUUUAACCCAUCCUCAAUAACUAUGGAUCAUUAGCCCACAUUAUAAGAGUGAUUGAUUUACAUAAUCAACCCCCACAUAUUUAAUUAGUCUCUUUUGAUCACAAAAUUAAUUCCAAAUUAAUUCUUGACCAAUACUAAUUAAAUAAGAUGAUUUCUCAAUUAACAUAUUAUACUUAUAAUAUAUUAAUAAAUCACAAAUAACCUUAUUCUCAAAAGUCUAUCCUGUCAAAUUGCACUGAUGAAGGCAACCCAAAAAGACCAUGCUAUAAUCGGGUCAUGUACAUCCCAUUUAUAGUUAUGGGCUUAGACACCAAAUCCAACACUUAUGAAAGAAUCGGGACUUUCCAUUUGAAAGGGAAGGGCUAAAGCAUCAUAAAUUAAUAAAAUGAAGUCUAGGCCAAAGGGAAGGGCUAAAGCAAUAUAAAUUCAUAAACUUUGUGGCCAAAGGGGCUGAAAGGGAUUUGGAUCUGAAGUUACAACUUCAUAUCACACCCUAUACUCCAAGAUGGUUCACAAAAUUGCUAAAAGAUGGCCCUAACCUCAUCAUGGAGAAAUCUAGCAAUAAGGAAGUCACGGAAAAAACUUUACACCUUAAAGGGACUAGAAAUGGAGCUUGAACCCUAGAUCUACUACUUCCUUGAACCUUCUAGCUCAUUCUUCUUCUUCCCCCUAGCUUCAAGAUCACACAUACACUCUCAAAGAUGAUUCACACACUUAUCAAAGCUCAAGGGUCACGAGUUAGGGGUUUAUGGACUAAGUGAGACAAUGGGGGCUGCGUGGGAGCUGGUUAAUGUGUUUAAAUAGGGUGCAAAUCCUAAGAUUUAGUGUUUCAACCAGACAAGUCUACUCAUCAUGUCGGGGCUUCCGACUCGGCGAGAAGAGUCUUCGACCCAUGUCCAAAAUUCCAUCUACUCGACGAGUUUGGCCUUCAAUUCGUCGAGUCCCAGUAUAAAAAUGAAAUAACUUAUAUUCAAAAUAUGUACCGGGAACUGGGCGGUACAAAUCUCCCCUAAUUAUUAUGGACUUUGUCCUCGAAGUAUACCGCGAUCACCUAUCCCAAAUGUGACUCACGCGGUAAACCCAUGUCUUCCUUGAUUUUCAUAAACCAGCUGUCAUGUCUUAUGAGAACUGUCACCAACCAUCCCGAGGGUACAAGCAUCACCCUAUGCGAUCAAUGGCCUUCCCAAGGCAACUGAAAAUUCUAACUAGAAUAUAUCACCCGAACCUUCAACCCUCGUGAGCCACUUCUACCUUCUAAGACCUGAAACAUAUCAUAACCUAGAAGCUCAAGAAUCUUCAACCUACAAUUGAAAGGUAAUUUCCUAACUUAAUUUUAGUUAUGAUUUUCGAGUUUUGUAUGCUAGGUGUAGGGUUUAUAAGCUUUGGAUAAUUAUUGCAUGUACAAAUAGAAAAACUAGAUCUAAAGACUUAGGGUUUGCAUGUGCACCAUAGGAUUGUUGUUUUGCUCAUAACCCAACACCUUCCACCCAAUUCUAUUGGAAGGUAACUCACCUCACACUACUGAAGUCCCACAGAAAAAACUCUAGUUGUUGGAUGAUAGAUUCACGAACUUUCAACAUCAAAAUAACAGACAAUAAGGAAUUGGGUUCCAACACAUAACCAUAUGUCCAUGCUUGGGGUAAAAUACUACUUUACCCCCAACUUAUCUUAAUUCAAGCCCAAGGCCCAAUCCAAAGGCCCGAAAGUCAGACAAUGAAUCAAAGCCCAAUAUUUGGCCCAAUUUUCCAAAUUGGGCACAAAUAUUUACAUGGUCUUAUCCAGAGGCCCAACCAUUUGUUCCAUUCCAAACAUUUGGUAUUCCAAUGGUCCAGUAUCUCAUAAUCAUCAAAGCCCAAUUAUGGCCCACCUAUGGCAUAAUUUUCCAAAUUGGGCCCAAACCCUCACAUGGGCCUCACCCUAAAGCCUAUCCAAAUAUUCUAGUCCAUAUAAUUUGUAACACCAAAAAAUUAUAAAACAUAAAAUUUCAUUUAAAUUUGCUUUGAUCUUAAAACACUUUGUGUAAAAAUUUCAUUUUUGUUUAAAUUACAAAAACAUAACUCCAUAAUCAAAUAAUUAGUAAUCCAGGAUCCUAUAAAUCAUAACUCUUUCUCUGGUGUGUACAAUCGAGUCGGUGCCGUCCCGUAAUCCUGAGAAAACCUAAAACACAAAGCACGAAACACUGUAAGCACAAAGCUUAGUGAUUCCCCAAAAUACCACACAUAACACAUACUAGCCACUCGAGGCUAUAACUGUGUGGGCCCUUGGGCCCUAACUUUGUGGACCCUCUGGUCCUAGCUCUGUGAAACGUCCAAUUCUAACUCUGAUAUACACAUGGCAUAAAUCACAUAGAAAUAAUGCAGUGCAACACAUCACAUAAAUAGCAUACAAUAACUCUUUCACAUAACUCUAAUUACCACUCAAGGUAAAGUAUAGUGAGAAGACUCACCUCAAACGAAGUCGGAUGAACUCUCAUGCUCAACGUCCUGACCUGGCCUCCUCCUAUUAUUCAAAUAACAUCCCCGAUCGAUACUCUCUCAUUGUCUCAGCUCUAAAGAUUGGGUAGAAGUCCAUUCUACCCUUCCCUGAACUCUCUUAAGUCAGUCUUGACCAAAACCCUAAAGUCAACGAAAGACAACGGUCAAACUUUGACCUAACUCAUCAAGUGCACAUGGGCGACUCGAUGAGUCCACACGUGUCCACAUGGGCGACUCGACGAGUCCACACGUGUCCACUGAACCCUCCGGACAAAGAAUCCCCCAACACUCUGUCCUUAGACACAAAAUCAUAACCAUGCUCACCUAAAAGUAUCCUCAAACAUCCCAUUCAUAACCCUCAGUUCCAAAUUCCAUAUCUCUUUUAAGACCACACGAGGUCUGACCGUCGUCUAUCCGCAAAACACUUCUGACGUUUUUGGGCCGUCAACAACCUCUGCCUGACCUGCUGAAUCUGUUCGGUCAUCUGAAGCACCAUCUUCGUACUACCCAUCACAUGUUGCCCUACCUCUCCCUAGAAAAUGGGAGUCUGACACCUCCUCCCAUACAACGGCACAAAAGGUUGGCAUACCAAUGAUCGAAUGAUGGUUGUUGUUAUAGGAAGGCUCAGCCAAGGGUAAGUACGUGUCCCAACUCACUCUGAAAUCCAAUACACAUGCCUGAAGCAUGUCCUUGAGCGUUUGACUCGUCCGCUCGCUCUGCCCGUCAGUCUGUGGGUGAUAGGCGGUACUAAAAUGCAACCUUGUGCCCAACUCCUCAUGGAAUUUCUUCCAGAAACUGGAAGUGAAACGUACAUCUCGAUCUAAGACAAUCGAGAUUGGUACUCCGUGCCAUGAUACCACCUCCCUUACAUACAACUUUGUCAGGCUCUCUGCAGAAGGGCCCCCCUGACUUCCUCUUUGCAUUAACUAAAUCGGCCCUAUGACAUGCAAGUCACAAAAUUCUCAAUAAAAACUACAAUCUAACCGAAAAUUGACUUAGCCCUGACAGAGACGGAGACCCCAGUCUCGCCCUUGUUCCAACCACCAUGCUCCAAACUCAAUACUGGCGCUACUCAAGCCUAAAACGCUUACGUAUCAUACACUUAUCGAAGAACACUCCACCAUCACAGUCUCUUGCCGUCAAGUGAGUACUAUGGCUCCCCGCAAUAUCACGAUAACCUAUGACUAGUGAGUACUACGGCUCCCCGUAGUACCACUACUCCCUUUCUCUGAAUUGUCAGUACUACGGCUCCCCGUAGCAUCACAACACCCUCUGACUAGUGAAUACUACGGCUCCCCAUAGUACCAUGACUCCCUCUCUCUGACUUGUGAGUACUACGGCUCCCCGUAGCAUCACAACACCCUCUGACUAGUGAAUAGUAUGGAUCCCCGUAGCUUCACCCCAUACUCUCAUUCACAUUACAAUGCCACACUACGUCCACUAACUCAUGUUCUGCAGACUAUCAUAGAUAGCUACACACACCUACCCCACAUAUGCAUCACAGACUUUGGUGGCAACCGCUAAAACACAAAUACCUACCUCUACGGGGAUCUGCUUUCUUAAAUAAUCCCUCUUGAUGUCAAUACCCGAAGGGCUCCCACUGGAAUCGUAGAUACAUUAUACACCAUUAGUCGUCUCAAACUCAAGAUUCUGAAUAACUACGAAAUAGGAACAUUAUACACGGGUACCACGGAACACCAUUUCAGAACAUCACGAUAUCUUGCCUCAACCACUGAUCUCCUACUCCCAACAUCAUACAGAUACAACAAUACAUUUCCUCUGAACCCCAUAAAUAAUUCUCCAUUUUUCCCAAUGCGCAACUUCAGUGUAUCCAAACACUCAAUUAGAAUACAAAGAAAGCACUAACGCUUCAGAACACGCUGAUGAUCCUCCGAAGUCCUUUCCAAAACUGCUCAAAAUCCACGCAAGAAUACACAUACCAGUCUGGGAGUUGGCUGCUCGAUAAUCUUCUAUCCACCCCAAAAGGGGCAUAAAUAAUUCAUACUUCGAGCCAGCAGUUUUCAACUACCCAUACCAUCAUUACGAGUCUUCCACUUGAAACGGUCCUGACCACCACCAGGUUCCUGACCAUUGGCCACCUGCCAGGGAAAACACUCAUCCUUCCUCAGACACGUACCACAUGCAUUAUCUCGUUCUGCACCUCUCCUUGAUCACCAAUGUCCCUGGUCUCAUGAAUUCGAGUCACAUGUCUCUAUAUCCAACCCAUAACCGCUCUUGCACAAAUCUUUGGUUCCCUCAAUAAAAUACCCGGUUCUCCGCUACUUAGGGUUCGAACAAUCACUAAUCGACGUAUCAACAGUCUACCCCACAAACGGUUUUCACCAGAAACACCGCACCUACGCCUGGAAGAUGCCACACAACGCCUAAUGAUCUCCCCACGUAGAGAUCAAGAAACCCCAAAUUCCCUAAAUCUCCGAAGAAAUCCUCAGGAACUUCUCAUCACGACUGCCUCUAGCCAUUUGAAGUUUCAUACCAUUCCAAUACUGAACAUCCCAACUAUCCGGUACUAUCACUGACUCUUAGACUGAAACAAUAAAUCAUCAUACUCCUCAUCCUCGACUUCUCAAUCCCCGAUCCAACACGUGAAUCAUCACGAGAAUAGGGACUCCACUACCAUACUCAAUACCCAUCACAGACAGAAGUGCCACCGCUCUAAUAUACUCAACUGGAUUACCCGCUGAUACCGCUACGACACACCCUACUAUACUCAAAUAGGGUGUAGUGUGGUCCUUAACUAUCUCAGUCCCUAAUGACUACCUGCUCAUGGUAGAUCAUUUCCUUGCGGCAGACAUGCUGCCUGAUACUCUGGUGGAAACGUCAUCAAUAUAAACCCAUAGGGUUUACUCCUAAACCCAAAACUGAAAUCUCAUGCCUCUCCUACUUCCCACAAGAAACAUAAAUAGCACCCAUCAAGUCACAGAAGGUGACAUCUCCUCCAUCGGCUGAUUGCUCACUCAAACCGCAAUCCCCCAUAAAUGCCUGCUCUACUAAUCCAUGAGUCUUGCGACUAGAUCUUACAUCUUCCUAAGAUACUCUGAAAUGCUCUCGACCUCCCUCUGAAGGGAUGCCUCUUCGGACUCAAUCAUGACCCUCAGGCCUAAAACCCCAUCACGCCCAAACUCCACCAAUCAAUCCUGAUCUGACAACCAGUGAAUCACAAGCAUCAUUUGCUAAGAACCAUGGUACUCAACCCCUGACAUCUCUUCUCAAUCUACUACAAUAUAUGGUACUUGAACCAUAACAUCACUCCUCAAUCUGCUCCGAUAUAUGGUACUCGAACCAUAACAUCACUACUCAAUCUGCUCUGAUGCAUGGUGCUCGAACCAUAACAUCACUCCUCAACCUUCUCUGAUGCAUGGUACACGAACCAUAACAUCACUCCUCAACCCUCUCUGAUGCAUGGUACACGAGCCAUAGCAUCACUCCUCAAUCUGCUCCAAUGUAUGGUGCUCGACCCACAGCAUCACUCCUCAAUCUACUCCAAUGCAUGGUGAUCGAACCAUAACAUCAAUCCUCAAUCUCUUCCGAGGUAUGGUACUCGAACCAUAACAUCACUCCUCAAUCUGCUCCGAUGUAUGGUACCCAAACCAUAACAUCACCCCUCAAUAUGCUCCUAAAAACCAUCAGAAUACUUCCUGUAUCGAGUAUGGGCCUCUUCUUUUGGUAGUACGGGCCCAUAAUACCUGCCACAUCUACCCAUACUUUCCACACGGACCAUCCUAGAGCUCCUAGGUAGCUGCUCAACCUUCUCGUUCACUAAUUCCGCCACGCGUGCUUGCUCCUCAGCGAAAUUCUCUACUCCGCCAGCGUACUCAUCUGGCUAAGGUUACUCCCUUGGCUCUUCCUUGGUCCUCCUACUUCUCUGCUAUCAGCUGUUGAAGAGCUCCUAACGAUGUUAUCCGUCUACCUCCUGAAUAUCGUCAUAUUCACUUGGUAGCUAACUCCCAUCAUCGAGAGUUCUACAAAGCACGAAGCAAGCAGCAUUCGGGCAUCGAAGAAUACAUAAAACUCGCUUUGGGUGAUAACUCUGCUUGCUCUGCUCAUUCUCAAAAGUACCACCAAACUCUACACUCUACCCCUUGCGGGUUCUAACUAUUUAUUUGAUAAGCACCACAACACUCAUCUAGGCAUCUCUCCUAGAUUACCCCUAUACUCAAAUCCCCUAAAAGGAUUCCAACUGGAUACUCUUACUCAUCACGUUCUCAAAAGCACAUCACAUAUAACAACAAUCUCCUAGGCUAAGGCAUCACACAUCAGGCCACUCUAGUACUAAGAUAUGAAAUACCUAGCCUAUCUCUAGCAUGCAUAAUAUCUCGUAAAAUGUAUCAUAAACAUCUCAUAAUACAAAUGUAAGGGUAUUUUGGGAAAUCACCGUUCAGGCUCUGGCUGAUUGAACACAGUACUCUUUCUUGCUUUCUCUUUGAACUCUUAUUCACUUUUAGAAAAUUAUUUCUUGGAAAACUCUUCUUACUUCCUCAGUUUGAGUCUAGAUUACCCGAAGGUGCAUCUGAAUCCCUCAAACCAAGGCUCUGAUACCAACUUGUAGCACCGAAAAUUUUCAAAACUAAAAUUUCAUUUAAAUUCGCUUUGAUCUUAAAACACUUUUUGUAAGAAUCUCAUUUUUGUUUAAAUUAAUAAAACAUAACUCCAUAAUCAAAUAAAUAGUAAUCCAAGAUCCUCUAAAACAUAACUCUUUCUCUGGUGUGUACAAUCGAGCCGGUACAAUCCUGUGAUCCUGAGAAAACCUGAAUCACAAAGCACAAAACAUUGUAAGCACGAAGCUUAGUGAGUUCCCCAAAAUACCACACAUAAAACAUACUAGCCACUCGAGGAUAUAACUCUAUGGGCCCUUGGGCCCUAACUUUGUGGGCCCUUGGGCCCUAACUCUAUGGACACUCUGGUCCUAGCUCUCUGAAACUUCCAGUUCUAACUCUGAUAUACUCUGAUAUACACAUGGCAUAAAUCACAUAGAAAUAGUGCAGUGCAACACAUCACAUAAAUAGCAUACAGUAACUCUUUCACAUAACUCUAAUUACCACUCAAGGUAAAGUAUAGUGAGAAGACUCACCUCAAACGAAGUCGGAUGAACUCUCAUGCUCAACAUCCCGACCUGGCCUCCUCCUAUUAUUCAAAUAACAUCCCCGAUCGAUACUCUCUCAUUGUCUCAACUCUAAAGAUUGGGUAGAAUUCGAUUCUACCCUUCCCUGAACUCUCUUAAGUCAGUAUUGACCAAAACCCUAAAGUCAACGAAAGAGAACGGUCAAACUUUGACCUGACUCAUCAAGUGCACAUGGGGGACUCGACGAGUCCACACGUGGCCACUGAAUCCUCCUUCUAGCCUCGCUUGACACGUCGAGCCACCCCUUUGCUCGACGAGUUACUCCUGGUAUGAAUCGCAGGGCAACCCCGACUCGACUCGUCGAGUCUCUCCAUGGACUCGACGAGUUUCCUCCAUGACUAUGCUCAUUCGACCUUCUGAGGCCAGAUCCACUUUACCAACUAGUAGAUCUAACCUUCUAGCACUCAAAAGUCACGUAAAGGUUCAAAAUUUACGUUCAUGCAACCCACAAUUAGCCAUAGAUGGAGAAAUAACCAUUAAAAUGAUCACCUAAGCUCCAAACUCAUAAAGGACUGCAUAAAGCUGGGGAAUAGGGACUCUCUGGACCUCUCAAGGUCCAGAUAUGAAGAUAUACACACAAGGGAACAUCACAUACUCUAGAUCUCUUACCAAAAGAAGAGAAGAAACCCUAGAUUCAUGAAAUCUAUCACACAAACGAAGAUGAACAUGAAUCCUUACCUCUCACAGCAGCUCUGAACGAAAUGAUGGAAGAUUUGAGUCCCACAAAACAUCCUAACACGAAAUCCAUCCUUCCCAUUCCUAGAAACACCAAAAUAUGAUGAAUUGGCCCUCCUCUUGCACCACUAGCUUUCUCUCUAUUCUCUAGGGUUUCUCAGGGUGUACUGGCCACAAAUGAAGGCCAUAAGGACCUUUACAUAGGUCCCAAACCCGAGAAAUUAGGGUUUCUCUACCCAGCACCUACUCGGCGAGUCCCUCCUCUGACUCGUCGAGUCCACUCAUUAAAUCCGCGUGAAAAACACGUCUCGACUCGGCGAGUUGGAUCCUUAACUCGUCGAGUCUCUCCUUUAAUCAAAAGAUUAAACUACACAAUAAUAACCCUGAAAAUCUGGAUGUUACAUACUUGUUCUUGGAUGGCCCAUCAGUAGCCUAAUCACCAAAUCCGAACAAACAGGCCCAACCCAAGGCCCAAACAAAGUUAGGUUUUUUGACAUAAAAUGACGAUUAGGGUUUAAUUAAAAACAUUGAACCCAUUAAGGACUUAAUCCAUUAAGUCUAUCAAUCUACUAGGCCAUUCAUAGGAUAUAGUCAGACAAAAUUAAAAAUUCCAAUCUAACAGUCCAAAUGCUCGUCCUGGCAAAUCCCAAACAAGCAUUUCCAAAAUUAAUGUUUUCUAACCUACAAUUAGGGUUUCCAAGCCAAUCUCAUUCCAAUUGGUCCAUUUGUUAAGUUUUUAGGUUAAUUAAUGUUUUAUUAUGUCAAAUAGGGUUUCAUUAGGUCGAGCACCACCCACUGCCACUUCGAGCGGUGGAGGUCGACGGCGGCACCCGACGGUAGCCACCACUACAUGGUGGUGGUUAUCGUUAUAUUCCAAUCAUGUCCAAGUCAUCUCAAAAGCAAUCGAAUUACAUGAAAACGCACACCACCACCCAACACAACGGCUGGUGGUGGCAGAAGGCAGCAAUCACCACCACACGUAGGUCGUGGUGGGUUUUCUUUGGGUUUUCCAUCCAAAUAAUGUACAUACAACAUUGUAUCAAAAGAAAUACACACAUAAUAUAACACACACACAUACACAGCCACCCUUGUGGUGGUAGAUGAUGGUCGGAUGUGCUAGCCACCACCUUACAGUGGUGGUGGUGGUGGUGGCUCUUCUUUUGAAAUCCGACCAAGCAACACCACACACAUCACAUACUAAUAUAAGAAACACACCCACAUGCUUGCCCAAAAUAGGAACACAGCCACCCACUUAGUGGCCUAUGACGAUGGCAACAACAACACUAGAGGCAAUAGCAGUGGCUAACGGAAGGAAGAGAAGAAAGAUGGUGGCAACGGAUGUUCAUGGUGGCCAUUCGACCUCGCCGGAAGAAAAGCCAGCCCCAAGAAUGGAGAUCGUGGCAAAAAUGCAACAAUGGGAUGGUGGUGCGUCUUUAAACCAAUAACAGCAGCUCCUCUAUUGGUUCACUUCUCCGGCAGGGAUAUUCACGGUGGUGGCUUCGGUUGGCGACCUCAACAGCGGUAGUGGUGGGGCACCGGAAAUUGUAGAGGAGAAGGUGGUGGUUGGCGAUUAAGGGAGAUAUAAGGUGGGUGGCGGCUGAUGUAAAGUAUUAGGGUUACGGUUCAUGUGAUGGUGACAAGUUUAUAAACCACGAUUCUAUUUGAAACAUCCUCUGAUGGUUACACAAUCAGUCCCUCCCAUCUGAAAUAUUUUUGAAUUUUGUCUCCAAUAUUUACCCUUUUUGCCCCAUCCUCUAAAAAUCCUUUCAUAACAAGCCCAUAAUUUUACCAAAAAGUCCCUCCUUUACAAAUUAUAAUCAAAUGAAGUCCAUAUAUAUUACCAUUCAGCCCCUUAGCCUUCAAAAACAUUAAAUUUAGGUCUAGUAUUUACCAAACACUCCCUAACCUUUGAAAAUAUUGUAACAUCCGAUUUUUCAUGUAGCUUCAAUUCAUCCCUUGGAUAUUAAUCAUGUCAUUUUGGUCCCAUGGUUUGGAAGGAAGUGGAAACAAAGGUCCAUGCAUGCAAAGGUGGCAGUUUGGUGAGUACGCCGAACAUAUGUUGGGGUACACCCAACGUAGUAGGUUAAAUGGUCGCGGGUGUUGGAGACGUACACCCAGCAUACGAGAUGUACCCCCAGCGUACACUCAGUGACACUAAACCCUAAUUUUAGGGUCAACUACUAUAUAAAGAACAUGAGGACUUGAAACCUAGCCACUUAUCAGUCACCCUAACCUCAGAAAAACCCUAGAACAUCUCAUCCCUUUAUUCUUGUGUGAUCUUGAUCUUGAGAGGCCAUCUUGGUGAUUUUUAGGCUUGGAAGAGGAAAGAAGAAGUUGGCAAGGAAGGAAUUGGGAAGUCUGAGCUCAUAGAAUUGGAACAGCAUCAUCAUUUGGCGCUCCUUGGUGGUAUAAAGUUCAUAACUUUUCUCAAGAAUGCUUAGAUCUAGUGUAGUGUGGUUUUGAAGUUAUUUUCGUCCCAAGUAUAGAAGUUUAUGGUUCAAAUUAAAUUUUUGCACUUAGAGUUGCCACUCUCAGUUCAAAAUGAGUCCCUAAGGUAGAAAGUUCCCUUCUAGAAUGUCUUAUUGGAUUCAUGUAUGAGUUAAGAUCAUUUCUAUGAGAAUGGAAUGCUAUUGAGUUUGGGCUUAUUUGAGUCAUGCAAAGUCACCUAGUUAGUGACUUUAUGGAUUAAGAUGUUGAAAAGGACUUGGAUCUGUGAUUGUAGCUCCUAGAUUAAAGUAUUAAGCACUUAAUAGGAAAGUGAAUUAACAGGGGAGUACGCUGAGUGUACAUGCAGGUAUGCCUAGUGUACUCACCAUUUUGCUAGUUCACCCAACAUACAUAGGAGUACGCCCAUCAUACUCAUCAAAUAUGGGCCUUGCAAUUUUUAGGCCUCGAUUUGGGCCAUGCAGUGGAUUUUGGUUCUUCAGGCCUUAGUGGGCCAUCAAAAGUCAGAUAAUGUGGGACAAGAAGAUGUUUGGGCUUAGUGUAAGACCCAUUAGGGGGAUUGGGCCUAAUUUAGUAAAUUGAUCCAUUUGUGGGCUUGGAAAGCCUACUUAGUGUAGGAUUUUGUUUUGGUAUUGCGCCUUGGCCCAAAUGAGAUAAAAGUCAAAAUGGAUUAGAUGGACCCCUUAGUUAGGAUUGCUAGCCCAUAUGUUCACUAAGCAUUUGUUAUUUUUGAUAGUUCGAGAUUUUUGGUGACACAGCACUUCGGGAGUUGAUACUUCAGUUCAGACCGACUUUGCAAGGUGAAUUAUCCUUACUAUAUCAACAGGAUCUAAGGCACCAAGGCCAACCCUUUAUCAAAUUUGUAUCCGCAUAUUUGCCUUAUAUGUUUAUGGAUCUACUAGUUAGGUAGGUAUUACGUUAAGGGACCUAGUCUAGGUCGGUAUCCUUGUAUAUAGGAUGAUGCUAUAAUAGUGACCGGUUAUGUUGGUAUCCUCGUUAUAGGAUGGUUGUUGUGUUAGUGAUCUGUUUGAUCGGUAUGAUAAUCUAUUAUAUACAUGCUAGCGUACGAUAUACAUUUGCACGUGAUUGUUUGAUUGGUAUAGGGGUGGGUUGAGGUGAGUCCUUCUUCGUGCUAUAGGCUAACAUACCAAGGGCGAACCGGAUAGACUGCAGUCCCAGGAGGGCACCUAGUCAGGCCGAAGGCCCAGUGAGCGGUCCUGAUAGGCUGAAGGCCCCGAGAGGCGGUCCAGAGAUGCCAAGGCCCGGUGCAGACGAUCCAUUCAUACUGUAGACUUAGAGAGUAGAUCAGGUCGACCGAAGGCCCGGUACGGGCAGACCAGUCAUAUUGUAGACUAGUGAUGGCUGAUCUUAAGUGUUUGUUAUAUGAUAUGUUUGUGGUUGUAUGAGGUUGGUAUUUUGGGGGUAUCUCACUAAACAUCCAUGCUUACAUUUAUUCAUUAUUGUUUCAGGUAUAGCGGAUGCCCGCGGGAAGGCGAAGGCGUGACCGUACACUUCCUUAUAUUUUGAUUUGGAUUUAUGGGAUACUCUUAUAUGAAACUAUUUUAAAAAAAAAAAACUUUUUGUAACAACUAUUAGUAUUUGAAAUGUUUUUAAAAGUUUAAAUUUGGCAUGAUUUUAUGGGUGUUACAAGUUCGAAUCAGAGCCUUGGUUUGAGUGAAUUUGAGGAACACUCGUGUGAAUCCAGUCUUAAAUCAAGGAAAAGAUUUUUAAAAUGAUUUGUAAAUGGUUCUCAAAAUAAGUAAUGGAGGAUGCAGAGUGUACGAUCAGUCGGAGCUAGUAAGUAGACCCAAAAAUACCAUACAAUUAUUUGAUAUUCUGAUAUGUUAGAACAACAUGUUAGUACUAAGAUAAGGAUCCUCAGAAAUCGGAUGAUAGAAUUGCUUGAUCUUUGAUGCCUUAUCUUAUGUAGAAUACCUCAUUGACUGUUUUAUGACUCUUUCAUGUGUGAACUAACUAUUGGAUGAAUACUGCAAGUUACAUGCUACAGGGUUAAAUGGUCUUAGGGUAAGGGAUUUGGUCCUGUUGCAUAGAUCUUGUUUGAUUCCAAUCGUUGUGGGAUUAAAUAUUUUAGCCUAAGAUUAUUUAAGUCGUGUGGCAUGUGAUUGUAUUCAUGCAAUAGUUAACCGGCACCAAUGGAGGGUCGUGUGGCAGUUUGUGGUUGGUGGGUUGUGCGAGGUCAGGAGGCCAGUCAGGAGAUAUUUAGCAUUCCUUUAGGAUUGAAGAUUUUUGCACUUGCUAUGUUCAUAUAUACGGUUAGGGUGUUGUGAUGAUACUCGAGACAAAUAUGGGUAGCUAUGGAAGGUCGUAUGGGCUCGUACUGUUGAAAGAACAAGACCCAUACAUGUAGCAAGGAAGUUAUAACCCAUAGGUUUUGAUUGGGGCUAGGUUCCCCAUCAUUUGUGCAUAUUAUCAGAUAUCUUCCUGGUAUACCUUCAAUAUGAUGAUGGCGAAAUGAUUUGAAGCAAGAUUCAGAUCAGGAUCGGGAGCGAGUGGAUGAGAUAGGCCGGUAUUGUCCGUUGAUGAAGAUAAGGGAGAUGAUUUCCAUGGAGGUUUCUCAGGUUUUGAGAGACGAAUUUUUUGGUGUCGUGGACCAGGUCACCGCCAGGGUGAUCGCCAAGUUUGAAGAGCAGGUUGCAGCCUUGCAAUCUGUGGGAGAUGUUGCUAUUGGAAUGACGAUUGGGGGGUGUCAGUGGUGGCGUCACAACUAGCAAAGAGGAGGAAGAUCUUCUCAGUAGAGGAUGAAGAGUUGGAGACUAUUGACCUGGGUACUGGAAGUCAAUAGAGUCAAGAGGUGUGUGGCAAGUGUGGGGGGACCCAUAGAUUUGCUUAACACAAAUUCAAGUGCUACAAGUGUGGGGAGACAGGACAUGUGCAACGAGAUUGCAAUAUGGAUCAGAUAUGCUUUUACUGCUACCAGCCGGGUCAUUUUACAUUCAGAUGUCCUGUGUUGAGGGCGGAAGGAGUUCAGAUUCCAGCAGUCAUCGUUCCUCAAGAGGUCAAAGCCGAUCCAUAAUAAGUCUUUGGUAUGUGAUUGGGAACCCCUAUUCCGUAAUAAUAUUAUGGUCAAGUAUUUCGUGAUCGAUAUUUUUUUGUCUUGGAAAAUUGUUAAGUAUGGAUAAGCAAUAAUUUCGGUUUAGUGGCCUGAUUUUUCUAAUCUAUGUGUUGCGGAGAUUCAUGAGUCAUUAGAACAUAGGCGAGUCAGAGGAGUUUAGUAUCGAGGGGUUCUAAACGGUUAGUAUCUAGGGGUGUUGGAGAAUAGGGGGUUAGGAUAUAGGAUCACCAUUCCAGGACUAGUAGUUAUGAAUCGGAGAUGUAGAAGUGUUCAUCUGGGAUUCGGUUUCUUUCGAAGUUCAGUUGAUCCAUGUUAGAAAGGUUUUCCUGCGGAGGUUCUUCACUCCAGGGUUAAAUGAUCAAUAAAUAAGGAUAAUAAUACCUAGUAGGGACAAUUAAGUUGGGUUUGGUUUCGCCGCCAGUAAGUAGAUGUUAGUGUCCUAAGUGGGGGAGAAUUGGUAACUCUCAGAUGGAGCAUCAUCCAUUAAGGGUUCUGUUAGCUGCUUGGGUUCGGCAGUGCAUUCAGUACGAGUGUGCAGGUUAUGUACCGUAUGUGGUAGAGACGUAGGUCAGGGAACAUAUCACGGUCUUCCAAGAGGGUAAGCGAUCGACAUGAGGACUAGGGUUAGGCUGGGGUUAUAAUCCACGAAAUGGGUCAGGAGUUCGGAACCCCAAGUGGGUGAGAACAAUUUACAUGGGAGAGAGCACCCUGUGGGGUGGUCCAGGGUGAUGAUCAAUGGUUUAGAUCGGUCCGGAUACACUGAAGGCUUGUGGGUCGUACCAGUCAGGCCGAAGGCUCAAAGAACAGUCCAAACAGGCUGAAGCCCCAGAGAGGUGAUCCAGACAUACUGAUGGUUAGGAGAACAGUCUAGACAGGCUGAAGCGUCACAACCCCAAACCAAAACGGCAGAAACGUUCGGAGGUGGGUGACGUCAUUGAGCAGUAUCAUAACAACUAUAUAUAAAUGAAAGAUAGCAAACCCAACAUCACACAUCAAUAUCACAAGCUUACAUUGUGUUAAAUUAUGUUUAUGUUUUCAAGUUUACAUAAAAGAAACAUCAGUAAGCAAAUUUCCAAAACACAGCAAGUUAAUAUUGAGUCCGCGAUCCAUAAUUUGAUUAUUGAUUUCCUAAGAAUACAAGUCAUUUGAAAAACGUCAACAUAAAAUAUGUUGGUGAGUUCAUAAGCAUUUUCUUAAAAAAAAACUUCGAUGAUAGUUUAGAAAUCCAUAAAAUCAAAUAUUUUCUUAUCAAAAUAGUUGUAUUUCUUGUUUCAAGUCAAGUAUAGUUGCAUGUGUGACUUAAAUCAUCGUUUUCAAAAUCGUACAAAAUCGUUUUCCCAGAAAAUCCUAUAUUUUUCCGAUGUGUAAAAAUAGUAGCUUUGGUAAAAAUAUAACAUUUGUAUGGAAAAGUCUCAUUGAAAUACUCAAAACAUAGUUGAUUGUAAACCGAAGGUGAAAUUUGUAUAAAUAUGUUUUUGAUAUAUUUUAGUGAGUCGUUAGAACCAUACUGAUAUUAUGGAAUGUCUGUUAUGACGUUCUUCAGGCAUCGGUUUUGUUCAAGACAUUUGUCACUCUAGACUAGCCGAUCUAGCUGUAGUGAACACCGAAGUUGCGGGGUGUCAACCCCGUAUAGAUCUAUACACAAAUUCCCGCUCUCCCACCAGGAGACUCUAGUUACAACGCUUACAUGACAUAAAGCGUACAAUAUUAUAUGAAUAUAUGUGCUGUGCAGAUUUGUCUGACUAGAAUACUAACCGAUCUUUGAGCAUAACAUGGAAACCAUUAUUUACUAAAUAAAUAAUAAUAGUUGUAGUCGUAAGUAGAUAUUUCGUUUCGUUUAUUUCAUUUAAUGAAAUCAAUCCACUUUGAAAUAUUUAUCAUAAUGACCUGAUAAUAUUAAAGCCGUCAAACAGCCCCUUUUCUUUAUAAAAUACUAUGUGUGACUCAAUUUGUCGGAAAGCGACAAGUUAUGAUUUGUAUAUAACCUUGACUUGUGUGAGUUUAUGACAGCACCUUUAUGACAUGCAAAUUUUCUGUAACAAAGGCUCCAUUUGUGUAUUUCCUUGGUGAAACUAUUUAUCAAAUAUUUGUAAAUAGUCGCAAAUAGUUUGCAAAUAGUGACAAAACUCCCAUUUCCAAAAGUCACUAGAAAUAGUGUCAGUUAAUCAAGGUCCCUUUUUAUGACUUUUAUCUUUGAACAUGAAAUUAGAGAUAAAGGGGUUAAGUCGGACACACCCAAUAGUUGUGAGGCUCUUUUGCACCAAAAGUAUCCUCUUAUCUUUAUGAAGUUGUGAAAUCUGACGUUCAUGACAGCAUUACUAAAAUAAUACUUUAAUAAUAUUCCACACACACAUCCAAACAUAUGUAUACAAGCAAUUAUUCAAGCAUUUAGACAAGAUUUAACUUGUACUCUCCCCCAAAACACUAAAAUCUUGAAAAAGGCGGGGCUAUGAAGCUCACCUUGUUUAGCUUGCUGGGUGAUUUGAACAAUGAUGAGGAAGUUUCCAAGCUCCAAAACUUGGAAGAUUCUUAAACCUUUAGAGGAUUCUAAGAAUGAUUUUUGUGUGUAACUAUAACGAAAUCUAAGAAUAAUGUGAAGAAUAAUUAUUCAAAGAUGAAAAAAUACUCACCAAGGAAAUCUUGGGAUUUCCUUUGAAGUGAUGAACUUGAAGCUUGAAGGAGUUGAGAGUAUUCUUAGGAGUUUUCUAAAAGUAAGAAAUGAGAAGUGGAAAUUGGAGAGGAAGUUCCGGGAGUUACGAAGGAAGCUUCGAGCUCAUAUUGGUCAUGGGUUGAGAACGGGAAUGGAACUCUAUGAGAGGGAAGGAUAAGUGUGACUUGACAUUUGCGUGGAGGGCUGGUGGGUAAAUCUUAUUAUCGAUGGAUAACGUGUGGUUAACUGAGAUUUGUAUGGGAAAUGAGGAAUUUACAUCACAUCAUAAUGUCAAACCCCUAUAUUUCCAUAGAAUGUCCUUCAAAUCUUGGGUAUUAUUUUAUAUAAAUAUGUUUAAAAUAAUUAAUUUGGCAUAGAAUAGUGGUUUAAGGGGUCUAAGUUAUGAAAAAUAUGAGAUUGCAGGUAUUCCCGAUGCCAAAAUGCCUUAAUAUGAGUUGCAAUACCACUACCACUCCCGAAACCAUGUUGUUCAUAUCUCAAAUAAAUAUAGUUGAUCAGGCUAUAUUUACCCAAAUAUGAUUACAUAACUGUCAAGGUUUGAUUGUAGUGUUCAACGUUUGAGUUAUUUUGUUUUACUUCUUGUUAUGAUACGUUCCUAGCAAGUAUGUGUUCUUUUUCUCAGAGAGUUUUAGUCCCAUUGUAUUUAUAGUUGUAUAUCCUGUAUGGCUGGAUAUAUACUAGUUCACUAUAAAACAAUGCUCUGAUACCAAUCUUUCACACCACCGAACCAGAAUAGCGGAAACGUUUGGAGGCGGGUGACGUCAUUGAGCAGUAUCAUAAAAAUUGUAUAUAAAUGAAUCAUAGCAAACCCAAACAUCAUACAUCAAUAUCACAAGCUUACAUUGUUUUACAUCAUGUUUAUGUUUUCAAGUUUACACAAAAGAAACAUCAGUAAGCAAAUUUCCAAAACACAGCAAGUUAAUCAUGAGUCCACGAUCCAUAACCUGCUUAUUGAUUUCCUAAGAAUACAAGUCAUUUAAAAACAUCAACAUAAAAUAUGUUGGUGAGUUCAUAAGCAUUUACGUAUAAAAACUUCGACGAUAGUUUAGAAAUCCAUAAAAUCCAAUAUUUUCUUAUCAAAAUAGUUGUAAUUCUUGUUACAAAUCAAGUAUAGUUGCAUGUGUGAAUUAAAUCAUCAUUUUCAAAAUCAUACAAAUCGUUUCCCCGGAAAAUCCUAUAUUUUAUGAUGUGUAAAAAUAGUAGCUUUGGUAAAAAUAUAACAUUAGUAUGGAAAAGUCUCGUUCAAAUACUCAAAACAUAGUUGAUUGUAAACCGAAGGUGAAAUCUGUAUAAAUAUGUUUCUGAUAUAUUUUAGUGAGUCGUUAUAACCAUACUGAUGUUACGGAGUGUCUGUUAUGACGUUCUUCAGGCGUCGGUUUUGUUCAAGACAUUUGUCACCCUAGAUUAGCCGGUCUAGCUGUAGUGAACACCGAAGUUGCGGGGUGUCAACCCCGUAUAGAUCUAUACACAAAUUCCCACUCUCCCUCCAGGAGGCUCUAGUUACAACCCUUACAUGACAUAAAGCGUACAAUAUUACAUGAAUAUAUGUGUUGUACAGAUUUGUCUGACUAGAAUACUAAUCGAUCCUUGAGCACAAAGUGGAAACCAUUAUUUACAAAAUAAAUGAUAAUAGUAGUAGUCGUAACUAGAUAUUUUGUUUCGUUUGUUUCGUUUAAUGAAAUCAAUCCAAUCUGAAAUACUUAUCAUAAUGACCCGAUAUUAUUAAAGCCGGCCAACAGCUCCUUUUCUUUAUAAAAUACUAUGUGUGACUCAAUUUUUCGGAAAGCGACAAGUUAUGAUUUGUAUAUAACCUUGACUUGUGUGACUUCAUGAUAGAAACUUUAUGACAUGCACAUUUUCUGUCAUAAAGGAUCCAUUUGUGUAUUUCCUUGGUGAAACUAUUUAUCAAAUAUUUAUAAAUAGUCGCAAAUAGUUUGCAAAUAGUCACAAAGUUCGCAUUUUCGAAAAGUCACUAGAAAUAGUGUCAAUUAAUCAAGGUCCUUUUUUAUGACUUCUUUCUUUGACCAUGAAAGCAUAGAUAAAGGGGUUAAACCAGACACACCCAAUAGUUGGGAGGCUCUUUUGCACCAAAACUUUCCUCUGAUCUUUAUAAAGUUGUGAAAUCUUACGUUCAUGAGAACAUUACUUAAAUAAUAAUUUAAUAAUAUUCCAUACACACAUCCAAACAUAUGUAAACAUGCAAUUAUUCAUGUAUUUCGAAAAGAUUUGACUUGUACUCUUCCCCAAAAACACUAAAAUAUUGAAAAAGGUGGCGCAUGAAGCUCACCUUGGUUAGCUUGUUAGGUGAUUUGAAGCGUGAUGAGAAAGUUUCCAAGCUCCAAAACUUGGAAGAUUAGUAAACCUUUAGAGGAUUCUAAGAACGAUUUUUUGUGUAAAUUUAAUGAAAUGUUAGAAUAACGUGAAGAAUAAUUAUUCUACGAGGAUAAAAUACUCAACAAAGAAAUCUGGGGAUUUCCUUUGAAGGGAUGAACUUGAAGCAUGAAGGAGUUGAGAGUAUUAUCAGGAGUUUUCUGGAAGUGAGAAAUGAGAAGUGGAACUUGGAGAGGAAAAGGAGUUCAUGUAUCUAAACGGAAGGAUAAGGGUGACUUGAAAUUUGCAUGGAUGGCUGGUGGGUAAAGCUUAUUAUCAAUGGAUAAUGUGUGGUUAACUGAGAUUUGCAUGGGAAAUGAGGAAUUUGCAUCACAUCAUAAUGUCAAACCCUUAUAUUUCCUUAGAAUCGCCUUCAAAUCUUGUGUAUUGUUUUAUAUAAAUAUGUUUAAAAUAAAUAAUUUCGCAUAAAAUAGUGUUUUAACGGGUCUAAGUUAUGAAAAAUAUGAGUUGGGAGGUAUUCCCGACGUCAAAAUGCCUUAAAAUGAAGGAAAAGACCGAAAAUGGCAGAAACCCAAAGUCAAAAUACGAAUUUCGGAAUCCAUAUGAAAUUUUCGGAGUCAUUAUGUAACAUCCGGAUUCCCACGUAUAUUAUUUUAUUCAUUUAUUUUGGAGUUUGUAGAGGGACUUGGUGAGUUGGUGCUUAGACUCGCCGAGUAGGGUCGCGAAUUCUCAUCCGGGUUCAUGACCGGAGUCGGCAAGUCCAUGAGUGGACUCAGCGAGUCCACACUAUUUAAUGAAACCCUAAUUUUUUGGGUUUGGCACCUAUUUAAAGGCCCUUAGGGCCGUCAUUUGCGGCUACCAAACCCCAUAGAGAGACCCUAAGAGAUAUAGAGCAGUUGUGAGGAAGGAGAUGCCACUUUUGACCAUUUUGUUGGUGUGAUUGCAAAGAGGAGGUAGCCAAGGCAAGAGGAGGCUAAAGGAAGAGCGGAUCUGGUGAUUUCAGAGUUUAGAAACUUCAUCUUGAAGUAUUUAUUCAGACCUUCUUCAGUUUUGGUGUUGAUUCUUAGAGUUAGGGUUUUCUAACCCCUUUAGAGAAUGGAUAUUGUGACAACUGCCAAUUCAGGUCAUUUUCGGACUCAUGCAUCCUUAUAAAAACCAUUCAUGCACAACAUGCCAUGACCUAGUAGUAUAAAUUAGCUCAAAAUUCUUGCAUAAACUAGGAUCCAACUAUGAUCUAGGACUAAUAUACUUGACACUUACAAUUCUAGUAAGUUUCUUAGCUACAAUAGGAAAUGCCAAUACUAUAAUUAGAAUAAAGCUUCAAGCUUUGUUAUAAUUGAAAUAGGGUAUAAAACCCUAAAAAUAAAUUAAAACAUUCUAAUUAUACUUCAACAUGUUGAUGAAUAUCAAACAAUAUUCCAAAAAAAAAAAANNNNNNNNNNNNNNNNNNNNNNNNNNNNNNNAAAAACCCUAAAGAGCCAAAAAUCCAAACUUAUAAAUUAUAAAGCUUAAAAACAUUAUAAAAUUUGGCUAUAAACUUUCUAAUAGCAAAUUUUUAUUAAUCAAAUUAGGAAUUAUAAUCAAUGAAAUAGAAAUUAAAUUAUCAAGUAUUAAUCAUAAAUUAUUGGUUAAAUACAAGAUAUUAAAUCAAAUCAAGAAUUGCUUAAUAAAUAUUUUUAUAAAAGUUAGGGUUUUAUAAAAGAAGUUAGAGGGAAUUUUAUAAAGUUUAAAAUUUUGGAGAGAGGAGACCUAAUGCAUGAUAGAGCCGGCCACUCUCCCCUCCCCAUGCACUCUCUCUUCCCAAAACACAAUCAUUAAGUCAAAAACCUCACACUACCUCUUCUCUCUUCAUUAUCUUACACUCCACUCUUCUCACACAAACUCUUCUCCUUUCUCUCUCUCUCUCUCUCUCUCUCUCUCUCUCUCUCUCUCUCUNCUCUCUCUCUAACCCACGAAAAUCCUCUCAUUCAUCUGCCAUAUUUCGAGAUUUAGGAGGCUUGAAGUGUUCUUACUUUUCUCAUGGUCAAAACCAAGGUAAACAACAACAUCUUCUCCCAUAGUUUCAUGGUUAAACUUCUUCUUCUUCAUAGUUUUCUCUACUUUUCGGAUUCUAUGCCUUUCCAUGGCUAGAAAUCUUUAUUCAUCGCUUGUGGUUUGUAGAUUCUCACCAUAACACAAUGCAUGUGUUUGAGAUGGUGAAAAUCCGGGAUCAAACCCAUGCAAGGAGUGAAAAAGAUGCACAUAUGAUUAUGUGACAUCAAAACCGAAUAUUUCAUCUUCUUCUCCAUUUCUUUUGUGUUCUUGCAUGACCAAAAUCAUUUAAACCAUUUCUAGUACAUCUUGGAUGCUCAUUCACUCCAUGCAUGUGUUAGAAAUCGGACCUUACCAAAGCAUGCAUGAUGUUCUUGUCAAAAUACCCUAAUAAUGCACAAAAACAAACAUGCAAUCUGCCAGUUUACUUUGUUCGACUUUGAACAGCCAUAACUCGGUCAUUUCUUAACCAAAUCAUGAUAUUCUUUUCGUAUUGGAUAGCUACAUGAGUUAGCUUUCAAACCCAACUGGUCUCACUGUAAAAUAUUAACUAUCCGAGUUUUGGCAAUGUUUACAAAAUGGUUGCGCAUACAGCUCUUUUUCUGUGAUCACUAUUUUUGUCUUGCAUGAUCAAUGGCCUUAAAUCCAACCAUAAAUCUGAGGAAAAAUACCUUAGAAACUUAACAUAUCUAGUGAAUGAUGGCUGAAAUUUCGUGCCUUAAAACCUAACUAAAUAGGCUACACAAAUUCAUGAACUUCAGCCACAUCUACAUUUCAUGCAUCAUUGCAUGCAUACUUUCUUAAUUUGUUUAGAUUCAUUACCCUCAUUUAUCUUUUGAAUACAUUUUUAACAUUUUUCCUUUUGAAAGCCCUCACAUGCAUGUGAUAAUCUGUAAAAUACUUCCAGAGGUCAAUAAAUCCUGAAUAAAUUAAUGGAUGAUCCUUAUGGUGAAUAAUGACUCCUCACCAAAUUUCAUCAGUUUUUAUUACCGUUUAAUACGAUUUCCGAUUUUCUUUUGUUUAGGGCAUAAUAAAUCACAAAAGCACUUUAGAAAAUGUGAAAAGUGUAUCUAACAAUUUUCGCAUACCUUACCUGUGAAUGGUGACUCCAGAAAAUAAUUUCAAGAUUUUUCAUCAUGUCUUACUAUUUUUCCUAAUUUUUGGUAAUUAUAAUGGUAUAAAAAUGGGAGAAAUAGUUCUGAUUAUCCAAAAUUCAUGAAAAACUACCACGAUAUCAUAUAGUACAGUAGGAGGUUACAUAAACAUUUAGAGGAUUUUUCUCUACUGUAAACUAUUUUUCUCUUAUUUUCUAAAGUUAAUUGCACUAAAAUACACUUAAAUACACAUAAAUACCCAAAACCAGUUUAUAGAUUAUGAAAACCACUUUUUAUAUUUUUCCCAGGUUAUUUAUACUGUAAAUGAUGUUACAAAAAUUUAUGGUGAAUUAUUUUAACUGUUUAAUAUUAUUUCUUUAAUUAAUGACUAUUUAAAGGAAUAAAACAAGGAAAAAUAGAAAUACCCACUGAAAAAUAUCUUUUAUAUUUUUCCAGCCUAGUUAUGUAUAAGAACAAUUAAAUUAAAAGUUUGGGUAGUUUUGGAAACUGUUUUCUAUUUAUUUCAAAUUUUAUUGGAAUAAAUGCUCAUAAAUCAUAAAAUAUAAUUAAACAGCUUGGAAAUCCAUUUUUGUAUUUUUCCCAACUUAGUAUUGUGUAAUAACAGUUAAAUAAAAAGUUGAGAAUUUUUAUCCCUCGAAUGCUAUUUUUCGUGAACUUAUGUUGUUAUAGAGACUUAAAAUUUGCAAAAUUAACCUUCCAAAGUUGUAAUUAAUCGCACGACUUGUAAAAUUUCAAUAUUUUAGAAAAAGUGUAACCAAUUGAUAUAAAAUCCAAUACUAAAACAUAAAUUGGCACUUCCCUAUAUGUACAGUUUAGUAUAUUAGCAUUAGAUAUCAACAUGGAAACUCACUAGUGUGUGUUUGAUGUCGUAGGAUCCCGGUAGUAAGACGUUGGUGCAUCCCGAAGUACCGCUUGUGCCUACACGAAACAUCGUGAGUAUUCACGCACUCCCCUAUUUUCGGUUUUUAUGUUUUGGGGUGGAAAAGCAUGUCCUGAAAAACUAUUCUUUGCAUGUUGUAUUUAAAUUGAUUAUUAUCAAACAUGAUUGCUAUUGUAUUGUUAUGUCUCUUUAUGUAUGUCUAUGCAACACGGAACAUGAGAACUUAUCGUACUAAGGCCCUUCCCUUAUCUCUAACCAUUAACUCUUUGAGCCAAUGGUCAUUAUGGAUAGCGCUAUUAGGAAUUGACAACUCCUCACACGCCCGAAUCGCUAGAGUGCAUGAUACCAUAUUCAUCUAUGGAACGAUAAGCAUAGAUCUCGAUAGGGCUUCAAUCAUAGGUUUGGUUGAGACUCAUUGUUUGCUCAUACACAUACAAACCCAUUUCUCAUUAUAGCAAUAAACUUGUAUUCAUUAAUAGCAAUCAACUUGUUUAUCAUUGAAGCAAUGUACUUGUAUUUACGAAAAGCCUUAUUUUACGCUCGAUUUCAUAAACUUGUGAACUCACCAACUAUUUUCAUAGUUGACGCUCGUUUUACAUGCUUUUUCAGGAAAUAAUUAGUAAGUGGAUGUAGAGAUUCAUCAUCAUAGAGCAUGCUGCAUCGUGUUGAAGCUAUUAUGAAGUUAUAUUUUGAUUAAUGUUGUUUUUGGAAGAAACUUGUACUUUGUUUCUUUUAAGCUAUGGGUUGUAAACUUUUAAAUACUGCUAUGGUGAUGUAUCUUUAUCUCUUGCAAUGAAACCGUUAUCGCUGUCAUACCUUGCGUUUCCGCUUUAGCGGGGUGUGACAGAUAUGUGGAGCAAUUGGUCCCUUCUCAAGUUUAUGCUUUGGAUCUGGACUCAAAGAGGUCUAGAGACCUUAACCCUUGGAGCUUUAUGGGUUAUUUUGGGAGCCAUGAACUUAGGAGUUGAUUUUUCGGGCUAAAUCACCAAGUAGGAUCAUCUAGAUGUUAUAUGGGUGUCAAGGUCUGAACUUUACGUGAUUAUCAUGCUUGGGAGGGUCAGAUCUAUGGGUUUAAGGAACAGAUCCGACUUCACGAGGUCAAUGGAGUGUUUGCAUGGCAUGAACUCGUCGAGUCCAAAGAUCAAACUCGGCGAGUAGGGUUAGGGUUUCCCGUAAAUACUCAGCGAGUAGCCCCACUUAGUUAGGGGAAUAACUUAGUGAGUCAAAGAGGGAUUAGAGGACUGAAGUUCAAGAUGGAACUCGCCGAGUUGAUCUUGAGACUCGGUGAGUUGAGUCUGGGUAGCCCCACGAUUCAUUCCAUGUGUGACUUAUCGAUCAAGGGGAGGGACUCGACAUGCCAAGCAAGACUAUGAGUUACUGGACACGUGUGAACUCACCGAGUUGCCCAAGUGUACUCGAUGAGUCGGGUCAAAGUUUGACCAUUGACUUUGGUUGACUUGUAGGGUUUGGUCAACAAUGAAGGCUUUGAGCCAAAGGAGGGGUAAAAUGGUCUUUUACCCUUCUGAGGGUGCCUAGAGAGGGUUGAGUCUAGUUACAAGAACUAUAUUUAUGAGAGUAUUACUUUAUGUGAUUAGGUGGAGGCUAGAUCGUAUUUCUACCGAGUCAGAGAUUUACCAAGACAUCUGAGGUGAGUCUUCUCACUAUACUUUACCUUGAGUGGUAAUUAGAGUUAUGUGACAGAGUUAUUGUAUGCUAUUAUGUGAUGUGUUGCACUGCAUUAUUUCUAUGUGGUGUAUGUCAUGUGUAUAUCAGAGUAUAGCAGAGUCAGCACCGGAAGGUUCACAGAGUUAGGACUAGAGGGUCCACAGAGUUAGGGCCCACAGGCCCACAGAGUUAUAGCCUCGAGUGGCUAGUAUGUGUUAUGUAUGGUAUUUUGGGGAACUCACUAAGCUUUAUGCUUACAGUGUUAUGUGUUAUGUGUUUUAGGUACCAAUGAUGAUCGCGGGAAGGUGCCGGCAUGAUUCGUACACACGCAUGGGUUUUUAUGUAUUUUGAUCUAGGGAAAUAUUUUAUGAAAGAAAGUUAUGAUACAAUGGGGUUUUAUUGAUAAAUGUGUUUGAAAAAUGUGUUUAAAAAUGUAUAAAAUUUGUUUUAAAUUUUACGGUGUUACAAUUUGGUAUCAGAGCCUUGGUUUGAGGGAUUCGGAUGCAUCUUCGGGCGUAUCCGAACUCGAACUGAGGAUUUGAGGAAAAAUUUGAUAAUAAAGUAAAUUUUUAAAAAGAGUAAAAAGAGUUUUGACACAAACAGAGCAGAGCCAUGUGUACGAUCAGCCAGUGCCCGAACGGUGAUUUCCCAAAAUACCCUUACAAUAAGUUUUAAAGAAACGUUAUGCUAUGCUAUAUGAUGAAUUAUAUUAUGCAUGCUAGAGUAGGGCUAGGUAUUCUUAUUAGGACUAGAGUGGCCUGAUAUAUGAUGCCUUAGUCUAGGGGUUUUGCUACUAGGGAUGCUUGAGAGUGUUUAGAAAGCAGCAAGGAGCUUAUGAGAUAUCUGCUUGUGAGUAUCACAUGAUUAGAGAGAAUAGCGUACUUGGGAUUUGGGGCUAUAGGAGGAGUACUUGGUGUGAAUGUUGAGUCGGUGUGGUCGGUAGUAUAGGGCCUGUACUACCGAAGGCACCGGCUCAGUGCGCAAACCAAGUAAGAAUCCUUAGGGUACCAGAGAUCAAGUAGGGUUGGGAUAUCGAGUGUGUGUACAUCCGAGAAAAUUACUGAUAUCUUAUGUUGUAUUUCAGAGAGGCAUCAUGGUAGAGACACGCCACAGACGAGGGACCAGUGGAGGGGGUGUGAGCAACGAGGAGCUCCGCCAGAUGAUUCAUGUUGAGGUGGCUGCUGCCAUCCGAGAUGAGAUUCUAGAGAUGUUCGGGUCUAUCAAGACCACCCUGAUAGAGACAUUCGACGAGAGAUACGCUGCUCUUUCUGAUGUUGCUGUUGUUGCGGCCACUGCAGUUGUAGCUACGGCUAGACCGCAGGGUGGAGAUGCGUUGCUGUUCCGGGAGUNUGGCCACUGCAGUUGCAGCUACGGCUAGACCGCAGGGUGGAGAUGCGUUGCUGUUCCGGGAGUUCAGCAACAUAAAACCACCGGAGUUUGAUGGGACCCAGGACCCAAUUGUAGCGAUGAGGUGGAUAUCAGACAUAGAGGGAUGUUUCUUUAGUUGCUCAUCUCCUGAGCAUUUGAGAGUCCGGUUCACGCUGAAACAGCUUCGCUUGGGAACGAAGGAUUGGUGGAAGUUUGUGACGGCGCAUUAUUCACCUAUUGAGCUUGCUGCAGUGACUUAGGAGAGGUUCACUGCUAUAUUCCAAGAUGAGUACGUUCCCCAGAUGGAGAGGGAGAGUUUGGCCCAGGAGUUUUUGACCCUCAAGCAGGGUACUGAUUAUGUCACAGUGAUUACGAGGAAGUUCCAUGAGCGGGCGAUGUUUUGGCCAGAGCACGUGUCCUCCGAGCAGGCACGUAUGAGCCGCUAUCUGAGCAUUUUGAGGAGGGAUAUACGGGAGUUUGUGGCGAACUCGACGUAUCGGAAAUUUUUUGAGCUUCAGGAAAAUUCCCUGAAGAGGGAGAUAGAGCUGGAGACCCAAGCUAGGGAGGAGGCUGUGUCUCAGGCGAGGGAUCGGCGACCGGCACAGUCUUAGCCGGCAGCCAAGCGGUCUAAGCCCGCUAAUUCGCAAUCUGGGAGUCAGAAGGGCCGCACUUGUGGCAAGAAAGGCAAGAGCCACGAGGAGGUGUGCAGAGCGGAGUCUUGCUACAAAUGUGGCAAGGAGGGGCAUAUGGCCAAGGAUUACCCCAAGGUGUUUGCAUUAUGCUUUCACUGCAACCAGACCUGACACGGCAAGGAAGAGUGUCCACAGUUACGAGGGACUACCCAGGGAGCACCUCAGGGAUCUGCCCCUGCUGCUAUUAGAGCUACUGAGAGUCGGCCAGUGAAGGCCGAGGUACCGAAGGUGCAAGGGAGAGCAUUCCAGUUGACUGUGGAGGAGGUCCGCGCAGCGCCCGAUGUCGUGGCUGGUAUGUAUUCUUUCAUAUAUUUACUUUUAUCUUGAGAUAUUAUGCUUAUAUUAUGAUAUACAUAGGUACCUUUCUUGUGAAUUAUGUACCUCCCUUGGUGUUAUUUGACUCGGGUGCGAGUCGGUCUUUUGUAUCUUUGGCUUUUAGUCAGCACAUCAGUAUUAGUCGAGAGGUGAUGAGUCGACCUCUGAGAGUUUCCAUAGCUGACGAGAGAGCGGUGCAUGCCACCGAGGUGAUCCAAGGAUGUGUACUCGAUAAUUUUCGGUGUUGAGUUUCUGAUUGAUCUAGUUCCUAUUGUGAUGGGAGAUGUCUGUUUCAUCCUGGGCAUGGACUGGUUGAGCAAGUUUGGAGCAGUUAUCGACUGCGAGAGACAGCCGGUGACCAUACGAGACCCUAGUGGGGGAGUCCUUACCGUGUAGGGGGAGGGUACGAGUUCUGGGUCGGCAUUUUGUUCAGCCGCUUGAGAGAGGCAGAGUCUACAGCAGGGCUGUAAGGGGUUUGUAGCAUAUGUGAUGGAUACGAGGGUUGAUUCAGAGAGAACGAGGUCAGUUGAUGAGGUUCCGAUAGUGCGUGAGUUCCCAGAUGUAUUUCCGGAAAAGUUACCUGGUGUGCCUCUCGAGAGGCAGGUUGAAUUCAGCAUCGAUUUGGUUCUGGGAGUUGCGCCUAUCGCUUAGGCACCUUAUCGCCUUAUGCUUCCAGAGAUGCAGGAGUUAUCCCCGCAGCUUCAGGAGCUGCUGGCGAAGGGGUUUAUUCGGCCGAGUAGUUCGCCAUGGGGAGCGCCUAUCCUUUUUGUUAAGAAGAAGGAUGGAUCACACCGAAUGUGCAUUGAUUAUAGGUAAUUGAACAAGGUGACGGUCAAGAACUAUUACCCAUUGCCGAGGAUCGAAGAUUUGUUCGAUCAGUUAUAGGGAGCAUCUUGGUUCUCCAAGAUCGAUUUGAGGUCUGGAUAUCAUCAGGUGAGGGUGCGAGAUGUGGACAUCCAGAAGACAGUGUUCAGGACUCGUUACGGGCAUUAUGAGUUCAUGGUGAUGACUUUCGGGCUCACCAAUGCGCUGACGGUGUUCAUGGAUCUCAUGAACAGAGUAUGUAGGCCAAUGUUGGAUCGCUCGGUGAUCAUGUUCAUUGACAACAUAUUGGUGUAUUCGAGAUCCAGAGAACAGCAUUAGGAACAUUUGAGAGAGAUCCUCGGAGUUUUGAGAUUGGAGAGGCUUUACGCCAAAUUCUCCAAGUGUGAUUUUUGGUUACGAGAGGUCCAGUUCCUAGGGCAUCUCGUUAACCAGAAAGGGAUAUUGGUCGAUCCGGCCAAGAUUGAGGCAGUGAUGAGUUAGGAGGUGCCGAGGUCACCUACAGAGAUCAGGAGUUUCCUAGUAUUGGCAGGCUAUUAUCGUAGAUUUAUCAUGGAUUUCUCCAAGAUUGUCGUGCCACUCACCAAGUUGACUCGGAAGGGCGUUGCUUUCUCAUGGGGUCGAGAGCAGCAGACCUCCUUUUAGACACUUUGCCAAAGGUUAUGCGAAGUCCCGAUGUUAGCCCUUCCGGAGGGAAUGGAGGAUAUUGUGGUAUAUUGUGAUGCGUCGACAUCAGGGUUGGGAGCGGUGCUUAUGCAGAGGGGGCACGUGAUAGCAUACGCAUUAAGGCAGAUGAAGCCUCAUGAGAAAAGGUAUCCAACCCAUGAUCUAGAGUUGGGAGCAGUAGUGCUCCCCCUCAAGAUCUGGCAUCACUAUUUGUAUGGGGUCCGGUGUACCAUAUACACGGAUCACAAGAGCUUGAAGUACUUGAUGGAUAAGACCAACUUGAAUAUGAGGCAGAGGAGAUGGUUGGACGUGGUAAAGGAUUAUGAUUGCGAGAUCGUGUACCACCCUGGUAAGGCUAUUGUGGUAGCCGAUGCCCUGAGUCGUAGGGAAGAAUGCACCCCGAUGCGGGACGUUUGCAUGAGAUUGACAGUAAUGACUCCGGUGUUGGCCACCAUUCGAGGGGCCCAGGCUGAGGCUGUAAGACCACAAAACCAAAAGAGGGAGCGAGUUAUCGGGCAGGUAUCGGAGUUCAUUACCGAUAGCCAGGGGCUUAUGACAUUUCAGGGUCGGAUUUGGGUACCGUUUGUGGGUGGGAUGCGUACCAUUUUGAUGGAAGAGGUACAUCGAUCGAAGUUCUCGAUCCAUCCCGGGGCCACUAAGAUGUAUUUGGACCUAAAGAAGGAGUAUCGGUGGCCCUGCAUGAAGAGGGACGUCGUGUGGUUCAUUGAGAGGUGCCUAACCUAUCGUAGGGUUAAGGCCGAGCACCAGAGACCGCAUGGUAAGUUGCAGCUGUUAGAGGUUCCUAAGUGGAAGUGGGAACAAAUUACUAUGGAUUUUAUCACCAAAUUGCCAAGCACUGCGAGGGGUGUUGAUGCAAAUUGGUUGAUUGAGACAGGUUGACGAAGAGCGCUCACUUUCUUGCUAUUGGUAGAGCUCUUCUACAGAGAGGGUGGCAUAGUUGUAUGUGAGAGAGGUGGUAUCGCAAUAUGGAGUACCGAUCUCGAUUGUCUCAGAUCAAGAUGUGCGUUUCACUUCCAGAUUCUGGAAGAAAUUUCAUGAGGAGUUGGGUACGAGGUUGCAUUUUAGUACCGCAUAUCACCCACAGACUGAUGGACAGAGCGAGCGGAAAAUUUAGACGCUCGAGGACAUGCUCUGAGCAUGUGUGUUGGAUUUUGGUGGGAGUUGGGACACAUAUUUGCCCUUAGCAGAGUUUUCCUACAACAACAGCCAUCAUUAGAGCAUUGGUAUGCCACCCUUUGAGCUGUUGUAUGGGAGGAGGUGUCGGACCCCCAUUUGCUGGGGAGAGGUAGGGCAACGUGUGAUGGGUAGUACAUAGAUUGUGCUUCAGACGACUGAGUAGAUACAGCAGGUCAGACAGAGGUUGUUGACCGCUCAGAGUCGUCAGAAGAGUUAUGCGGACAAGCGUCGGUCCGAGCUCGACUUUCAGGUCGGUGACUUCGUGCUCCUGAAGGUCUCUCCUUGGAAAGGAGUGAUCCGAUUCAGGAAGAGGGGCAAGUUUGGGCCUCGAUAUAUUGGACCUUUCAGGGUGAUCAUGAGAGUAGGCAGCAUAGCCUACCGUUUGGAGCUACCUGCGGAGUUGGGUCAGAUUCACGACACUUUUCACGUGUCGCAGUUGAGAAAGUGUAUAGCCGACGAGUCGGCAGUGGUACCAUUAGAGGAUAUUCAGGUGGAUGUGGGCCUGAACUAUGUUGAGAGACCGGUGGCAAUUAGAGAUCAGAAGGUCAAGGUUAUGAGGAACAAGGAAGUGCCUCUGGUGCAGGUGCAGUGGCAGCAUAGGAAAGGGUCAGAGCUGACUUGGGAGCUGGAGCAUGAGAUGCGUGAGCAGCAUCGAGAGUUGUUUUGCAGAGUGAGACUUCGAGGGCGAAGUCUGAUUCUAGUGGGGGAGAAUUGUAACAUCCGGAUUCCCAGGUAUAUUAUUUUAUUCAUUUAUUUUGGAGUUUGUAGAGGGACUCGGCGAGUUGGUGCUUAGACUUGCCGAGUAGGGUCACGAAUUCUCAUCCGGGUUCAUGACUGGACUCGGCGAGUCCACGCUAUUUAAUGAAACCCUAAUUUCCUAGGUUUGGCACCUAUUUAAAGACCCUUAGGGCCGUCAUUUGCGGCUAACAAACCCCAGAGAGAGACCCUAAGAGAUCUAGAGCGUUUGUGAGGAAGGAGAGGCCACUUUUGGUCAUUUUGUUCGUGUGAUUGCAAAAAGGAGGUAGCCAAGGCAAGAGGAGGCUGACGGAAGAGGGGAUAUGGUGAUUUCAGAGUUCAGAGACUUCAUCUUGAGGUAUUUAUUCAGACCUUCUUUAGUUUUGGUGUUGAUUCUUAGAGUUAGGGUUUUCUAACCCCUUUAGAGAAUGGAUAUGUGGAGCAAUUGGUCCCUUCUCGAGAGUAUGCUUUAGAUCUGGACUCAAAUAUGUCUAGAGACCUUAACCCUUGGAGCUUUAUGGGUUACUUCAGGAGCCAUGAACUUAGGAGUUGAUUUUUGGGGCUAAAUCACUAAGUAGAAUCAUCUAGAUGUUAUAUAGGUGUCAAGGUCCGAACUUUACAUGAUUAUCAUGCUUAGGAAGGUUAGAUCUAUGGGUUUAAGGAACAGAUCUGACCUCAGGAGGUCAAUGGAGUGUUUGCACGGCAUGAACUCGCCGAGUCCAAAGAUCAGACUCGGCGAGUAGGGUUAUGGUUUCCCGUAAACACUCAGCGAGUAGACUCACCGAGUUGGGGGAAUAACUCAGUGAGUCUGAGAGGGAUUAGAGGAUUGAAGUUCAAGAUGGAACUCACCGAGUUGAUCUUGAGACUCGGCGAGUUGAGUCGGGGUAGCCCCACGAUUCAUUCUAGGUGUGACUCGUCGAGCAAGGGGAGGGACUCGACAUGCCAAGCGAGACUAGGAGUAAGUGGACACGUGUGGACUCGCCGAGUUGCCCAAGUGCACUCGACGAGUCGGGGUAGCCCUGCGAUUCAUUCAGGUACCAGUGAUGAUCGCGGGAAGGCGCCAACAUGAUUUGUACACACGCAUGGGUUUUUAUGUAUUUUUUUCUUGGAAAAUUUUUGUGAAACAGAGUUAUGAUACAAUGGGGUUUUAUUGAUAAAUGUGUUUGGAAAAAUGUGUUUAAAAAUGUGUAAAAUUUGUUUUAAAUUUUAUGGUGUUACACAUUAUGCAAGGUCCGGAGUUAGGAUGCAAAUUCUGGAGGGUUCAGGAAGGAUUUCGGAGUCAUCUACUAAAUUUCGGAGCAUCUUCUUGGAUUUCCGAAGUCAGCAGUCAAAGUCCGGUCCAACCAAGGGUUUCCGAAGCGAGGCGAGGUAAGAAGCUUCUGGAGCUGUGAAAUUGUCUGGAUGGGAGGCUUCCAAGAUGCGAGGUCCAAAGCAAGGGUGGAGGUUCCGAAGAUAUGCUUCCUCUUGGCUCCUUAGAAGGCAUUCCGGACAAGAGGUUUAGGACCAAGAGGGUUCCAGACAAGAGGUUUAGGACCGAGUGUGUUCCGGACCAAGAGAGUCGUUUUGGGUUUUCUCCUUCGAUUUUGGGCUGUUUUCGACUCAGGAAGGUACAUACAGUGAUUUGGGAGAGAUUUCACAUACUUGGAAAUAUUUGGGAGAGAUUUCACUUACUUAGAGAGAUUUGGGAGAGAUUUCACAUAGUUAGAGAGAUUUGGGAGGGAUUUCACACACUUGGAGAGAUUUGGGAGAAAGAGAGAUAUAGUGGGACAGAUUGUGAGAGACUUUUUCAGGAGCCCUUAUUAAUGUUUUUCUUCAUAGAAUAAGGGCUUUAUACUUAGUUACAUCCCAUUUCGAGUGUUAUACACCCCUGAAUGGUACUUAAUAGUACUUUAUAGAGCUAUUACUUCCCUAAAUCACAUUAGGGUUUUAAAUUUUGAACAUUUAAGGCUUUCAAGUGCUACUUUGCAUUAGGAUUUAUAGUUGUACAAUAGUAAACAUAAAGAAAUUCUUAACAUAUAAACACUAGUUGAGUUGACCAAAUUGACUUGUUGACCUUGAAUUGACUUUGACUUCACCAGACGCUUGUCGGUUGUCACAUGAAGGCCUAGAGAGGUAGUCCAAACAUGUUGAAGGUUCGGAGAAUGAUCCAGACAGGCUGAAGGCCCAAAGAGGUAGUCUAGACAUGCUGAAGGUUUUGAGAAUGGUCCAGAUAAGCGGAAGGUUUGGCGAAGCAAUCCAUUCAUGAUGAAGACUCUGAUUGUGUUUGUAGAUCUAUUUGUUGGUAUUGAAUAUGUUGCUACACUAUAGCAAUCUGUAACGACGUAAAUUUCAAAACAAUUUUUCACAUUUUAAAAACAAACUUUGAUCCUUAAUAGUUAUAAAAAUGUCAUUGUAUCACUUAACAACCUAUAAUGUUACAUCCCAAGAUCAUAACAUAUAAAACUCCUCAUGUGUGUAAUGAUCAUGUCGGCGCCAUCCCACGAUCCUCACUGGUACCUGAAACACAUAACACAACACUGUAAGCAUAAAUGCUUAAUGAGUUCCCCAAAAUACCACAUACAACACAUACACCUUUCCAGGCCAUAAUUUUGUAGGAUCUUCUGAUCUGAGUGUCUCAGGGGACUUCCAUCCCGAAUCCUGGUAGACCUUCCGGUCCUACCCGCAACGACCUUCCGGUCCGUAACCUCCUGACCUUCCAGUCCAUGUCAUCUUGACCAUCUUGUCCAUAUCAUACAUAGCAUACAUAACAUAUACAUAUCACAUAACAGCAUAUAGCACAUACAUAUCAUAGCAUACAAUACCUUUCGGUCACACAUAGGUACCCUUCCAGGUACAGUAUAGUGAGAAGACUCACCUUGGUAUCUCGGAUAGUCUCGCACUCAACCACACUGGUCUAGCCCCCACCUAAACACAUAACAAUACUCUCAAAUAAAUAACAGAUCCCAAAGGAUAGAUUAAAUCCAUUCUAUAAUUUCCACAGAAGGGUAAAAAACCAUUUACCCCUCCCUGACCAAAAGUCCAAAGGUUGACCAAAAUCCUAAAAGUCAACGAAAGUCAACAGAAGGUAGUAUGCGGCGCAUACCUUCUCUGUACGCAGCGUGUACGCUAGCGAACCACAAUCGGGGCCUCAACCCCUUACGCUGUGCGUACUGAGAGUUACGCCUAGCGUAAGUCUUAGUUCAACCAUUUCAUAUAUUUCGGUCUUAAACGGUUAAGACACUCCUUCAACUUCCAGAUCUGACUCUCCUAAAGCCACUUAUCCCAUGAAGUCGGAACCAUUAAGCCUUUACAUGCUUGUAAAGGUCCCUACACCCUCAAACCUCUUUCCUUCCUCCUCCAAAGGUCUAAAUCUCACGCAUGGCUCAGUAUUUACGUCCAAGAUUGCAUUUUUAUGAACAUACAAUUCUUAUAGUCCUGAAAUAUGAUAGAUCUAGGCCAAUGGAGACCUUUUUGCUCAUAAAGUCUCCAUAUUGGGACCAAAAACCCUAGAAAUUGGUCCAAGAAGCACACAACAUGACUAGCAAUGCAAGUUUUGAGCUUUUUACCUCAGGAAGAAAUUCCAACUUCUGAAAAGCUCGGAUUUACUCUUUCCCACAAACUUCUAGCCUCCAAAGUGACCUCUUCUUCUCUUCUACCACUUUGAAAUGACACUAAGAAUCUUAGAACACAACCACACUAGCUAGAAACAAAGGAGGACUCUCUAUUAGGGUUUUACUCUCUGGAAUGGAGACUGAGGUCUGGUGGGAUAUCGGGUAGCCGUCCGAAGGUCGUUUCAAUAUUAAUUAUAUAUCGUGUGUACAUCUAUGGUCAUAAAAGUUCUUCCAUGUUAAUACAUACUAGUUAAAACAUUUUUAAGUUACCAUCGGGGUAACACAGUAUCAUACACAUACUAUUGUUAGAUCAAUGAGUCAGUUCAUUCAUGAGUCAAUACUUAUUACUAUGAGAACAUAUACUACUAUACUAUGAGAACAUAUACAUCUAUACUAGAAGGAGACCAUAUACAACUAUACNUAUACAACUAUACUAGAAGGAGAACACAUACAACUAUACUAUGAGAACAUAUACAACUAUACUAGAAGGAGAAUAUAUACAACUAUACUAUGAGAACAUAUACAACUAUACUAGAAGGAGAACAUAUACAACUAUACUAUGAGAUCAUAUACAACUAUACUAGAAGGAGAACAUAUACAACUAUACUAUGAGAACAUAUACAACUAUACUAUGAGAAUAUAUACAACGAUACUAGAACGAGUAACAAUACAUUACAUAUACAUAUAUACAUUGACAGAAUUGUGAUCCACUGUAUCGGAGCAUGCCUUAAAUGUCAUGGCCCGAGUUGUUGCCAGAGUCUCUUGGAGGGAGAGCGUGAGUUUGCGUAUAGAUCUAUAUUAGAUUGACUAUCCUACACCUUGCUUCUAGCUACAUCCGGACCUGCAGGUCUGCGGGUGCCAAAUGUCAUAUCAUUUUACGACCUACAUUUGUCUUGUUUAUCGAGUCGAUAGUAUGGUACAACUAAUCACAUGAUACCUUAAUAUAAAUCCGGUAUAGGGUAGUUAGUACAUCAGUAGUUCCUAUAAUACAACACUACAGUACUACAUUAAUUUACCCCUUUACAUAUUUAGUGAUCUUUUCACUUAAACAUUUAUGUACAAACUAUAUUUUGAGAAUGAUAGUUACACUUGAGGUAAUUACACACAUUUACAGUAAACGAACAUACAAAACAAUUACGCCUUGGUAGAAGGCUACUUUUAAAUAGAAAAUAUAGUAUUUCUAGGAGUUUCAAACAUUUACAAACACUUACAAACAUUUACAAAUUCAUACUUAUAACUACGUUCAAACAUUUUGAUACAACCACCGACACUAAAAUACUUAUGAACUCACCAGCUUAAUGCUGAUAAACUCUUUCAAAAUAACUUGUAUUCUCAGGUCAUCAGUAGACAGGUACCGAGGCCAGCUUUUGAGAAGAUGGAGCGCAUUCAAGACUCAUCUUAUUAUUUUGAUUUAUAUUUUUGGUGUCUAUAACUGUACAGAACACGCUUGUAUUAAAACUAUAUAUUUAAUGCAAUGGAUAAUGUUGUUUACUUAUUUACUUUUAUACUGUGUUGUGAUACUGUACAUGACGUCCUUCGCCCCAAAACGUUUCCGCUGUUCAUGGUUUUGGGGUGUGACAUGAAGGGUUGCUUCUCUUCUGGAUUAUUUUUCCCUCUUCAAGCCUUAUGAACCUCAAUGCUCGAUAUUUGAAUUCAUCCAAUCUUUUGCACGGGGUCAUCAUAAGGUUUUCAUAGAAAGGUGAAUCCUUCCUUAGUCCAAUCUUUAAGGCCUCUAUGGUAGUAGCCAUGUCGAUGUUGGGGAUGAUCAGAGCUUCCCUUUCGAACUUGUUAAUGAUAUCCCUAAGCCUUUCCUUAGAAUCCUGGACCACUUGAUAAAGAUCACUAGUGAUUUUCUCAAAGGUUCUGUUGUAAGAAAACUGGUUAUUGAAAAUAUUGACUAAGUGUGCAAAAGAGGUAAUAGAAUAUGGGGGAACAUUUAGCAGCCAUUUGAGAGCUAAUGUUCUAAGGGUUGAGCCAAAGCCUUUGCAUAGUCAGGAUUCCUUUAAGUGCCCUGGGAUGGAAAUGAUCCCCAUCCUUUCUUAAUAUUGCGUUAUGUGCUCUUCAGGAUCCAUAGUUCCAUCGUAAAGUUUCAUGCUAGGAGUUUGGAAGCGCUUAAGAACCUCGGUAUUGUUUAUCACGGGAACGAAUAUCGAGAUCCUAUGACUUGUUGUUGAUGCUUCUGGUAUGGGUUGGACCACCCCGGGUACGCUUGAGAUCAUUUGUCUUAACUGUUGAAGUUCCCUAUUCAUGUUUGGGUUUAUUCCUGCAUCAAAGUUAGUAUAGUUAGUAUUAAUAGUGUUGCUAUUUAAGAAGUUACUAGAGUCAAUUUUUCAAGGAGUGUUGAAAGGCUCAUUGAGGUUAUCCAUAGUUCUCCCCCAGGGUGACGCCAUAGUGGUAGUAACUAUGUACUUCUAGUGAAUUUCUAAGGAUCCUACGUUAUCAAACUUCAGGAUCCUUGGUUGUACAACUGUGGGUGUUGUUUCCUGGUAUUUCUAAAAUUUCGCUUUCAUCCUCUCCACUUCUUUGAGCAGCGCUCUAUUCUCCUCCUGCUAUUGGGUCACCUGUUACGUCAUUUUCUUCAUCAUAGCAAAGAGUUCUACAGUAGUGACAGAGGAAGUCGGAUCCUAGAGUCUUGAAGAUCCCAAACUUCCUUGGUUAGUGACCGAAGGGAUGUUUUUCUUGGAAGUAUCAGGUGUUUUUCUAUAAGUUGGUGGGGCACUGGGAGGAGGUAGUAGGGUUUUGGUUGGAAUGGAAGGAAUAUAGGACGAUGAAAGGAUCGAUUGUGUAGGCAUGUUUUUUUAGGACUUUAAACACACGGCCCCACGGUGGAUGCCAAAUUGUUUUGGUCAAAAUUUCCACAAUUAUUAAUCAACCAAAUUAUAUGAGAGGUUGUGAUGUUUGAAUUGUGAAAUAGAUAAUGCUAAAAGAGAGUGACACAAUGGAUUAUAAGGAAAGCCCUUGAUCCUUGCUAGGAUCUACGGCACAAAAACUUGGUAGGUGACAAUGGUCACCUGCCUUGAUGAUUUUAUUAAUGUAAAAUGACGACAAUGGUCACCGGUAAAAAACAGUGUUUUGUGUGUGAGAUACAAGUGUCAAUUCAUAGUCUUAACUAGCCAACAAGAUGUUCAAUAUUUCCAGGAUCCUCUAUGACUAGCUUCACAAAGGUUAUUUGACCAAGUAUUCUGAGUAUUUAGCGUUGUUGAGACGAUUCUUCCUUGAGAAUUGGUAUUCCCUUGACUUCUUCUGCAGAUGUACUCAUUAUGAAUAAAAUAUAACCUCUAUAAAUUGUUAAUAAAAAUAACAAUGGUGAUAGCCAGGAUCCUGGAUAUUUGAGGAUCCUGAAUAUCUGAGGAACCUGGCCCUAACAACUGGUAAUGUCAUCAUCAGUACAAUCUAAAAUUGAAUCAUUGUCAACAAAUUUAUACUUCUUGCGUUUUGAACCAUCUAAUUUAGUAGCAAAUUCUAAGGGACCAACAUCUAGAAGUGACUUCACUUUCAACUUCAUGAGAUUGUAAAAUUCCAACCAUAUUAGCCAAACUUUAGUUCUUAAAAUGUUUGUGAACUUUAAUAGUUGACACUAUGGAUUUCCAUUCAGACUUUAAUACAUUCAUUAAUUUUACUUUUUGCUCAAUCGAUGCCCUCUUUAGACCAUAUUUCAAUGUUCUACUGAGUAAAUAAUUGAAUCGAUUUACUGGCUAAUCGAGAGUUUCCAUAAAUUUUUACUUAAACAAAUCAAAUUUAGAAAGAAGAAUGGUUUGAAUUGAAUGUGUGAGAUCAUCAUCUCCAAAAUAGAUUUCUUUUUCCUAUCGCAUACUUUCUUAGCAGUUACAAGAGAACUCGUCAAUCUUAAAGUGUCUUGAAAAACACAAUUCUCUCUUUUCUUUUAAGUUUUGUUUUUGAAAUUAAUCAUUUUCAUCCUUUGGAAUGUCUUUAAUAUAGGAACGAUAUUAGCUAACUUCUCUUGACUUUUGACAACUUCAUUGUAUUUGUGUACUUGUAAGGUUCUUUUGUGAUUGCAUGUCAAAUAUUGGAUCCAUGAGUUUCAAUUCCAAGAAUAUAGCCUUAAAAAUGUAGAAACUAAACUUUAUAAUCUCUAGGAAAAAGAAUCAGAAUCCUAGUGGUACAACCAAUGCUACUUGGAAGAUUGAAUGAAAUCAAGUGAGAAAUGUCUCUUGUCACAACUAGAAAUUUUGUGUCUUGUAAUCACUAUACUCAAGUAAGAUGUUGAAUCAAAAACUUAAGAGCAUGUAUGAUGCUUACUCUAUGACAACAAAAUUUCAAUCCAAUACACCAUACAAGUACUACAAAUAGUCAACAAGCAGUUGGAAACCCUAGAAGUUCAUGUUUAGGUCCAUUUUGGACUAGGACUUCCUUAUUGGACUCAAUGGACCAAUAAGCUUCCAAUUAGACUAUCAUGGGCUUAGAACCUUUAAAUGGGCUCUAAUUGGACCCAAUUCCAUUUAACUCAAUAUUUUGGGCCAUACUGGGCCUAGAAUGAGAUAGAUUAACUUUAUGAACCAUUUGGACCAUAACUAACCUAAUCUAACCUAAAGGGUCAUAAAAAUCAUAUUUAUAUUUUUUUUAGCCAAAAAUCAUCCACCCUAGCAAUAACAUGGGCUUAAGGGCAUCAAGCCCGAAAAUCUCCUCACACCCUCCCCAUUCUCGGCCCAAGCCUAAAAGAAGAGGGGGUUGACUUUGUGAGUGACACCUCACAAUUAUCCAAGGGACUUCCAUGCAAGGGGACUCAUACUUCCAUGCACCAUCCUUUCAUACUUCUCUCUUCUCUCCUUCCUUCUUGAUUCUAGGCCGAUUCCAACACACACACACACUGUUACACCCCCAAACCAGAACGGCGGAAACGUUCGGGGGCGGAGGACGUCAUAUUCAGUAUCAUAACAAUUCAUAGAAAGGAAAGUACACACCACCAUAUAUAGUAAGUUUGCAAGAUGUUUACAUAGUUGUAUUCAUUACAUGUUCAAAAGAUAAAUACAUAAACAUCAUUCAAAAGAAGUAAUUAACGCCAGCGCGUUAAUCCCAAAAGUUGAUUCCCAGCCUGCUUAGCGAUUCCCUGAGAAUACAAGUUAUUUCAAAGAAAAAGUGUCAACAAUUAAGUUGGUGAGUCCAUAAGUAGUUUUAGAAAAAUUUGAUGCCAUUCCAAAAUGGGUGUAUGUUUUCCAGAAAACGUAGCAUUUCAAAUGUAAAGAGUUGUGAUUUGUUGUGUUGAAAAUGAAUGUAUUAGAUCCAGAAAAUCCCAUAUUUUCCCUAAUGGUUGAGAUACGAGUUGUUGUGUUUUCCAAGAAAAACCCUUAUUUUCUUAUAAAAGUAUGAAAUGCAUAUGAAUGUUCGUGUUAUGAGUUGUGAAUAAUUGCACCAGGAAAAUCCCUUAUUUUCCUAUUAGUUAUGGCAGUCUCUAAGACCGAAAAUCGUAAGAAACCGACGUUCUCAAAAUUUGUGUCAUGGUUUUAUAUAUAAUAAAACUAUGCGAAGAUCACAUUUGUUAGAUGAAACAUAGUUUUAAUAACUACUCGUUCGUAAAAGCAUAAUAUCAUAAUAAUUGUAUAUCCAAUGAGUUUUAUAACCAUACUAAACAUAAUAUGCCUGUAACAACGUUCUUCAGGCGUCGCAGUGCUAUGACAACUGUCACCCCAAAAGAUGGACUAUAGCUAACAGUCAGGGCGCGGGAUCAUGACUUCCCGUAUAGAUCUAUACACAUUUGACACGUUCUCCGUACGGGAGAUUCUGGUUAUAGACAGGACUUGCUGCAUUACUUUCUAAUAAAGAAAAGUAACGUUUGAAGAUGUACACGGCUCAUGGAUUCUCAAUUAAGUUGAUACUAAAGUGAUAGUUUUGUAUGCAAAGUUUAUCCUUUUUCACAAUGUUUGAUAAAGCACAAAUCAUAAGUUUUUAGAAUGUAUAAAAUGAUUUAACACUGAAAGACCAUUAUAUACUUCGUAUAAGUCUAAUGCACACAAGGUAUGACAAGAUUUUUCCAUAAUAGUAAUGAGUUCCAACUGGUUUAUUUGAUAACACAAGUGAAGUAAAACUUUUAUAAAAUACAUGAUAAUAACCAUAUGUUUACUUGUACGCGGCGCAUCCCUUUUAUAGGGGGGCUGAUCAGCUUGCGUACGCGGCGCGUACGGGACGUCAUCGCUGACCGCUUCCUCGGCUGCAGCGUCUCGGACGGGACGGGAGAGGGGUAGCUCGCAUAGGGGCGACGUGGACGAUCCGAGGCCGUGGCCUCCGAGUACGCGGGGCGUACGAGGGUACGCGGCGCGUACUGUAGCCCUAGGCUGACUCCUCUUCGGAUAAUACCGAAUUUUGAAUAAAAAUUAUAUAUAAAUUAUUUAUCAAACUUCAAAAAUUCAUAUCUCCUUCAUACGAACUCCGUUUUUGACGUUCUUUAUAUCCCCACGAAGGUGAGACUACGAUCUACAAUUUUCAUUUAGAUUCCGUUGGCAAAUUCCGAAAUUAUUUUUAUUAUUUAUUUAUUAAAGUGACAUGUUUAAGGAAUUUCUUUAAAAAUUCAUAACUUAUUCAUAUGAUGUCCGAUUUGAGUGUUCUUUUUAUGCAUGUUUGUAGUUCAACGAUAUCUAUGACUUUCAUUUAGACACCUAAGGUCAGAAAGUGUUUUAUUGAAACUUUGCGUUUUUACGCAACUUCGUAUUGCUGGUUUUUGUCGGAAAACUUAUAAUGAGCAUAACUUCUUCGUUAUAACUCGGAUUUUUGUGUUAUUUAUAUGUUUGGAAACCUUAAGACGAUAACUACCACAUAGUGUACUCCAAAUAGAGUUUUUGAAUACUUCAUUUUUUUAUGAUAUUCUAUUUCCUUUCUCAAGGAGGUUACAUGACUCGAUCUUUACUGACUUGAAAUAACGGGUUGUUACAUCAUCCCCCCGUUAGAGGGAAUUUCGUCCCGAAAUUUUUAAUACAAAAGAAGAGUCUUAGGGGCUGGGGAAGAGAUGUGGAUACUUCUGUUGCAUUUGAUCCUCUCGUUCCCACGUGAACUCGGGUCCCCUCUUAGCAUUCCAUCGGACCUUUACUAUUGGAAUGCGACUCUGUUUAGUUCGUUUAACUUCCCUAUCCAUGAUUUCGAUGGGUUCUUCCACAAAGUUAAGAUUUUCAUUUAGUUCGAUCUCAUCGAGUGGAAUUACAAGUGUUUCGUCGGACAAACACUUCUUCAGGUUUGAUACGUGGAAUACUGGAUGUACUUUGUUAAGCUCUAUUGGAAGUCGGAGUUUGUAGGCUACUGGACCAACCCUUGAAAUGAUUUCGAAGGGUCCAAUGUACCUAGGAUUCAGCUUCCCACGCUUUCCAAAGCGUAUCAUUUCCUUCCAGGGUGAGACCUUCAGUAGUACCUGAUCGCCAAUCUGGAAUUCCAACGGUUUACGUCUUUUGUCGGCGUAGCUCUUUUGCCUAUCCCUCGAGGAUCUCAGUCGUUCUCGUAUUUGCAUGAUCUUUUCAGUAGUUUCUCUGAUGAUCUCUGGACCAGUGAGGGUGCUAUGAGGGACGAGACCUUUUGCUAGUUGUGUGUCGCCCACUUCCGUCCAGCACAGAGGUGAUCUGCACUUAUGGCCGUAAAGGGCUUCAAAUGGAGCAGCAUUGAUACUGGUAUGAUAAAUAUUGUUAUAAGAGAACUCAACCAAAGGUAAGUGAACAUCCCAUGCUUUACCAAAGUCGAUUACACAUGCUCGCAACAUGUCUUCCAAGGUUUGGAUCGUUCUUUCGCUCUGUCCGUCAGUUUGGGGGUGAUAGGCUGUACUCAUGUCCAAUCUUGUUCCCAUGGAUUUUUCCAAUGAUUGCCAGAACCUAGACGUGAAUCUGUUGUCUCUAUCCGAGAUGAUAGACAUUGGCACUCCAUGGAGUCGUACGAUCUCUCGGAUGUAGAUUGUCGAUAGCUUUUCCAUUUUAUCAGUUUCCUUGAUCGGUAGGAAAUGAGCGGACUUGGUUAAUCUAUCGACGAUUACCCAAAUAGUAUCUUGGCCACCCUGAGUUUUGGGCAGUUUCGUUAUGAAGUCCAUGGAAAUCUGCUCCCAUUUCCACUCAGGAAUUUCAGGUUGUUGGAGUAGUCCUGAGGGUUUCUGGUGUUCUAUUUUGAUCUUGGCGCAAGUCAAACACUUGCUCACAUAUGUAGCGAUCCCUGCUUUCAUGUUUGGCCACCAAUAGAGUUGUUUGAGAUCUUGAUACAUCUUGUCUGACCCGGGGUGUACGGAGUAUGGAGUCUUGUGUGCCUCGCUCAUAACUACCUCUCUAAGUCCACCAAACUUGGGCAUCCAUAUUCGGUUCAUGAGGUAGCGUGCUCCAUCACUCUUGAUUUCUAAAUUCUUGUCCAUUCCCCUAAGGGUCUCACUUGUCACGUUUUCGGGUUUCAGGGCCUCUAUUUGAGCUUCCUUGACCUGUGUCGACAGGUGCGAAUGGAUUGACAUGGCUAAUGACUUCACUCUUCGGCCAGAGUACUCCUUACGGCUAAGGGCAUCUGCCACGACAUUAGCCUUUCCUGGAUGAUAGCGAAUCUCACAUUCGUAGUCGUUGAGUAAUUCGACCCAACGUCGCUGCCUCAUGUUCAACUCCUUCUGGUCGAAGAUGUGUUGUAGGCUCUUGUGGUCUGUAAAGAUAGUGCAUUUGGUACCAUAUAGGUAGUGUCUCCAGAUUUUAAGAGCGAAGACCACCGCCCCAAGCUCUAAAUCAUGAGUGGUGUAAUUGACCUCAUGCAUUUUUAGUUGUCGUGAGGCAUAUGCAAUAACCUUUCCCCUCUGCAUUAGUACACAGCCCAGCCCUUGCUUCGAAGCGUCGCAAUACACUACAAAAUCUUCGGUCCCUUCUGGGAGAGAAAGGAUGGGCGCACUGCAAAGGGCCUGUUUCAAAGUCUGAAAUGCAGCAUCUUGCCUUUCUCCCCAAUUGUAGGUCACACCUUUCUGGGUUAAGGCGGUAAGAGGCUUUGCGAUGCUGGAGAAAUUAUGGAUGAACCUUCGAUAAUAACCAGCAAGACCUAGAAAUUGGUGAAUUUCUGUUGGUGUAGUUGGCGCAGACCAGAUUUUGAUAGCCUUGAUUUUUGAUGGAUCCACGUGGAUCCCUUCCUUGCUGACCACGUGACCGAGAAAGUCCACCUUUCUAAUCCAAAAUUCACAUUUUGAGAAUUUUGCAUACAGUCUCUCAGUCCGUAGCGUCUCUAGAACUUGCCUCAGAUGUUGACCAUGCUCUUCUUUAUUCUUUGAAUAAAUGAGUAUGUCGUCUAUGAAUACUAUCACGAAUUUAUCCAAGAAUGGACGACAUACCCGAUUCAUUAGAUCCAUGAAUACGGUUGGGGCAUUGGUUAGCCCGAACGGCAUCACUACGAAUUCGUAAUGUCCGUAUCGUGUUCGGAAAUCCGUCUUGGGAAUAUCACUCUCCAGGACUCGCAGCUGGUGAUAUCCCGACCUCAGAUCGAUCUUGGAGAAGUAGUUGGCUCCUUGGAGUUGGUCGAAUAAGUCAUCGAUUCGGGGUAGGGGGUAUCGGUUCUUGAUGGUAAGUUUGUUGAGUUCUCGGUAGUCGAUGCACAUCCUGAAUGAUCCAUCCUUCUUUUUCACGAACAGUACGGGUGCUCCCCAUGGUGAGAAGCUUGGUCUGAUGAAUCCUUUUCCCAGUAGUUCAUUCAGUUGGCUGGAUAGCUCUUGCAUUUCUGCCGGGGCUAAUCGAUAGGGUGCUUUGGCUACAGGGACAGCUCCGGGAACCAGAUCGAUUCGGAAUUCAACUUGUCUCGCGGGUGGUAUUCCCGGAAGGUCCUCGGGAAAAACAUCGGGAAAAUCGCGUACGUCGGGCACACUCUUGAUAUCUUGGACUUUGCGUUUCACAUCCACAACAUGUGCCAAGAACGCGUGACACUCCUUGCGUAGGCAUUUCCGAGCUUGGAUACUGGAGAUGAUACGAAGAGUGGUACUUGGUUUGUCGCCCACGACAAUGAAAGUUUCGCCGGUUGGCAGAUUAAGGCGAACGGCCUUAUCGUAACUUAGGAUGUCCGCAUGAUGAGAACUCAGCCAAUCCAUGCCAAUGAUGACAUCGAAACUCUUAAUCGAGACUGGCAUGAGGUUGAUUGAAAAGGGAUUAUCGUUUAAAGUUAGGGUGCAGUUUAAGUAUAUCUCCUUAGUGCCUUCGGUUUUCCCGUUGGCCAUUUCUACUAUGAAUGGUUCACUUAAUGAUUGUGGUAUUGAUUUUAGCAGGCCUUUAAAGUCGUGACUCACAAAACUCCUUUCCGCUCCACUAUCAAACGAAAUGCAUGCAUACGAGUUAUCGAGAAGAAAUGUACCCGUAACAACAGUAGGGUCCGCAAUGGCUUCAUCUUGUCCCAUUGCGAAAACUCGGCCCCUUCCGCCGGUAUUCCGGUUGUUUGCCCUUGGGCAGUCCUUGCGGUAGUGCCCCAUGUCUCCGCACUCAAAGCAGGCGCGGCUUACCCCGGUAUUAGUGGUGGGGACGGAUUGUUGGAUUGGCCCUUUGCAAUAGCGGGCUGUAUGUCCCUUCUUAUUACAGUUGGUGCAUUGAAGAUUGGGGCAAGGACCGUGGUGGUGGAAACUGCAUCGGUUGCAUUUAGGAAGUUUCCCAUUAUAUGAGCAUGUGGGGGCAGGGUUCACAGGUACAGUCAUAGCAUGGGUCGCUAUUACUUGUUGUUUCCGGGGGCUUUCCUGGAGAGUUUGUCCCCUCCUUUUGUUCCAAGUCUUACUCUGGCCCUGAGUUUCCCUAGGUGGAUAUGCAGUUGUCGAAAUGGUACCGGGUUUUACUCCGUGGUCGAUGAGUCGCUGGGCCAGGCGCUUAGCACUGUUGUAGGUAGCAGGGCCGGAAGCUAGGACAUGCCCUUGAAUCUGGGGUGACAACCCCCAAAUGUACCUUUCAACCUUCUUUGAUUCUGGGUUGACCAUGGUAGGGCACAGUGCAGCGAGGUCGUUGAACCUAGCUGUGUAGGUGACUAGGUCAGACCCAGUCAUUUUUAGAUUCCAGAGCUCCUGCUCAAGCUUUUGUACUUCGCCCCUUGGGCAGUAUUCUUCCAGUAGUAGAACCUUUAGAUCGUCCCAACUCAUGGCGUUGGCGACAGUGAGCGUCACUGAAUUCACAUGGCUUUUCCACCAAGUGAGGGCUCGAUCUACAAAAGUGCAGGCAACGAACUUGACUUUGCUUGCUUCUAGGCAUGAGCAGAUCUCGAAGACCGUUUCGGUCUUUUCGAACCAUUGCAUUAGUGCAAUGACUCCUCCUGUUCCAUUAAAAGUUUUUGGUUUAGCGUUAGAGAACUCCUUGUAGGUACAUUCUCUUCCUUGGCCAUGACCAGUGCCAUGAUUUGGAUGAUUCGUGCUGCUUCCCGCCCCUCCAUUCCCUUGGGAGUUUAUUUGCGAGAGGGCUGCGGUUACCGCUGCUGUGAUAGCAGCCUGAACCAUGGCCGGAUCAUAAGCUGGUGGUGGAGGUGGUGGUGGUGCCGUGCCCGGCCUGGGCCUUAAGUUUGGACGAGGAGGCAUCUUGCUGCCCAAAGAAAAAUAUGGAAAAAUCUAUAAGUUUUGGCAGUUCAAAGUUGAAUGAUAUUGAAUUAACUUUUAAUAGUUCUAAGAAGUUGAGUUUGACUGACACAAUGUUUUGAGCUUGAAAGUAAAGUUUGAAUAGAUGCACCAAUGAAUCGAACGAUUUGCGCAUGAUUAACCACAGUAAGAAAAGCGGUAUACCCUUAUAUAUAUUAAACAUAUACUUGUGUUACAGCGGGGUCAAGACAAAAUUUCUUGGCCUUUCUAAAGGCCUCCGAUUACGGAACAAUUUUAAAGAAAAUAAUACUUUUAUCCGAAGUCCUAGUUUAUAACAAAAUUUGAGAGUUGGGCAAGUACUACUUGCGGUGCGCUUUGCGUUUGGAGCUCGACUCCGUGUCGGACUGCUUCGACUCCAUGAGGCGUCUAUCAAACGCAGCUUGUUGUUCUCUUAAUUCUGCGAAGGCCGCGUUUGCUUGUGCUUGAAACGCUUCGGCGCGAAUGUGGAUGUCGUUCUGCAUCAACUCUAGGCGGUUGAUAUCGGCCGUGUGAAUUUGCACAUCCACAUUGAUCUCUCGGAUUCGGUUGGCUUGCACUCCAGAUUGAUAGCACUGGUUGGCGAGUUUGCCAACCAUGACCGGAAGUGCGCGAUCGGCUGAUCCCCCGCCUCUCACGUCAUAGAAGUCUCGGCACAUGCCAUAAGGAGGGCGUAAGCUUUGUUGUUGGCUCCAAUGAUGGAGGUGACUUCCCCACACUGGAGUGGGUCCUUGGAAAUUUCUCACGUGGACAGGAGGUUGUAGAACUGGUGGAUUUAUAAUUUCUGGCUCCGAAUCCGUACCAGAGUCGUCCCCUGCCUCCACAUUUNGUCUUCUUCAAUCUGCUUCGAUCCACCCACCAUUACCUUGGUUGGGGUAGUAGGGGUCAUUGGGGUGAUGCAAUCCUGCCAUUUAGACUGUACGAGAAUAGAGUUAAAAGUUUACUAUAAGCUAGAGCACAUGAAACUUACCCUUGAGUUUAAUGGUUGACGGCACUCGAAUACACCCUCAAUAUUCUUUAGCGAUAUGUUUUUGGUAAGUUUAAAAUUUGUUGUCCAUUACAGACACUCCUUGGCAUAUGUUUAGUCGGCUCUUGGACAAAUAUAGUUGAUCAGGCUAUAUCCUUCCCAGUUCCGAUUACAUGUCCCAAGGCAUACCUGCACUGCACAACUGAUAUAUAAUACUUCAACGUUGUUUUAAUUAUGAUACUGACCAUGUUGUUGAUGUGCAAUGAAUGCAUGCCUACUUUACAAAAACUAAAUAAAAAUUUUAUUUUUAAAAGUACGAAUCUUACUCAGAGUGUUUUUACCCAGUUGAGUUUAUAGUUGUAUAACAAAAAGAAAUGGUUUUGAUAUACUUAAUUCCCUAUAAACAAUGCUCUGAUACCAAUCUGUCACACCCCCAAACCAGAACGGCGGAAACGUUCGGGGGCGGAGGACAUCAUAUUCAGUAUCAUAACAGUUCAUAGAAAGGAAAGUACACACCACCAUAAUAUAAAUAUAUUUGAAAAGUUUACAUGAUUGUAUAUGUUACAUGUUUGCAAAAGAAAUCAAAUACAAUAUGGUGAUCCAAAAUAUGUUACUAACGCCAGCGCGUUAGUCUUCAAAAGUAGUUGCUACCUGGUCUAGCGGUUUCCUGAGAAUACAAGUUAUUUNNNNNNNNNNNNNNNNNNNNNNNNNNNNNNNNNNNNNNNNNNNNNNNNNNNNNNNNNNNNNNNNNNNNNNNNNNNNNNNNNNNNNNNNNNNNNNNNAUGAGUUUUAUAACCAUACUAAACAUAAUAUGCCUGUAACGACGUUCUUCAGGCGUCGCAGUGCUAUGACAACUGUCACCCCAAAAGACGGACUGUAGCUAACAGUCAGGGCGCGGGAUCAUGACUUCCCGUAUAGAUCUAUACACAUUUGACACGUUCUCCGUACGGGAGAUUCUGGUUAUAGACAGGACUUGCUGCAUUACUUUCUAAUAAAGAAAAGUAACGUUUGAAGAUGUACACGGAUCAUGGAUUCUCAAUUAAGUUGAUACUAAAGUGAUAGUUUUGUAUGCAAAGUUUAUCCUUUUUCACACUGUUUGAUAAAGCAAAAUCAUAAGUUUUUAGAAUGUAUAAAAUGAUUUAACACUGAAAGACCAUUAUAUACUUCGUAUAAGUCUAAUGCACACAAAGUAUGACAAGAGUUUUCCAUAAUAGUAAUGAGUUCCAAGUGGUUUAUUUGAUAACACAAGUGAAGUGAAACUUUAUAAAAUACACGAUAAUAACCGUAUGUUUACUUGUAUCCCCCCCCCCUAAAAGAGUAUAAAAGCAUUUAAAAAUGUAUUUAAAGUGUGUUUGAAAGGGGUAUGAACUCACUUGAUAGCUUGAAGAUAGCAAGAUGGAAAACCGGGCAGAGUUUCGUCUCGGGAAAUGGAUUUUCCUCGGAAAUCUCGGGAUUCCCCGGGAGAAAAAUCGACCUUCGGGACUUGCACGAAAUGACCAGGGCUUCGGGGUAGUACGAGCAUGGAAAACGACAAAAAACGCAAGAAAAAUGAGAGAGAAUGAGCCCUUUUCUCGGGAGCCCUCGCAUCCCUUUUAUAGGGGGGCUGAUCAGCUUGCGUACGCGGGGCGUACUCCCGUACGCGGCGCGUACGGGACGCCAUCGCUGACCGCUUCCUCGGCUGCAGCGUCUCGGACGGGACGGGAGAGGGGUAGCUCGCAUAGGGGCGACGUGGACGAUACGAGGCCGUGGCCUCCGAGUACGCGGGGCGUACGAGGGUACGCGGCGCGUACUGUAGCCCUAGGCUGACUCCUCUUCAGAUAAUACCGAAUUUUGAAUAAAAAUUAUAUAUAAAUUAUUUAUCAAACUUCAAAAAUUCAUAUCUCCUUCAUACGAACUCCGUGUUUGACGUUCUUUAUAUCCCCACGAAGGUGAGACUACGAUCUACAACUUUCAUUUAGAUUCCGUUGGCAAAUUCCGAAAUUAUUUUUAUUAUUUAUUUAUUAAAGUGACAUGUUUAAGGAAUUUCUUUAAAAAUUCAUAACUUAUUCAUAUGAUGUCCGAUUUGAGUGUUCUUUUUAUGCAUGUUUGUAGUUCAACGAUAUCUAUGACUUUCAUUUAGACACCUAAGGUCAGAAAGUGUUUUAUUGAAACUUUGCGUUUUUACGCAACUUCGUAUUGCUGGUUUUUGUCGGAAAACUUAUAAUGAGCAUAACUUCUUCGUUAUAACUCGGAUUUUUGUGUUAUUUAUAUGUUUGGAAACCUUAAGACGAUAACUACCACAUAGUUUACUCCAAAUAGAGUUUUUGAAUACUUCAUUUUUUUAUGAUAUUCUAUUUCCUUUCUCAAGGAGGUUACAUGACUCGAUCUUUACUGACUUGAAAUAACGGGUUGUUACACACACACAAUUCACUCACUUUUCUCUCAAGGAAACUCUCUCAUAAUUCACCCAUAUUUCAAGAUCUAAGAAGGAAUCAAGGGAAUUUUCACACAAAAAUCAACAUCUAAGGUAAGAAAUCUCUUAGAUCCUUAAGCUAGCUACUUCAUUUCAUCCAAAAAUCACCUCUUAAUUCAUUCAAACUCAUGAUCUAGCACCUAAUAAGCAUUCAAGUUCGAAAUCAUCCAAGGAAGGUUGCUAGGGCCGAAAAUCACCUCAUUUUCUUCCAUCUUUUCUCCAAAACCGAAACCACACCCAAAGGUGAGCUUCAUACCCCCUAUUUUUCAGUUUUAUAAGUUUUGUGGGGGGGGGGAAUACAAGCAAAUGUGUAGAUCUAUGAGUAUAUGUAUGCUUUGUACGAUUUCUAUGCUUAUUUACAUGUUUAUAUGUGAUUAUGGUGUUGAAACUAGUCAAAAGACCUUAAAAAUCGAGAUUUGCAUUAGAUGUAGGAAACAACUAUUAAACAUAUUACUACACACAAAUCAUUUCUAGAAAAAUAACCAAGUUGGUUAAAAUGAACUCAGUGGGCUAAAAAUCCCAUUUUUGGACUCAAAAUGUUAAAAAUAUAAAGCUAAAGGGCCCAAAAUGACAAAAUACAAAUUCUGAUGGAUGAAAUGAGUCAAAACAGUUUUAAUAAAGUAUUUUUCUGGNUUAAUAAAGUAUUCUUCUGGAAAUAUUCUCUUUGGAGGAUUAAAUGUGAAAUUUUUAAGCAUAAUGGGCCAAAAAUGAAUUUUUCGGAACAAUUAAGCUCAAUAUGCGAGAUUUCCAAAUUUGAGGGGCUGAAACUGUGAUUUUCUUUAAAACAGGGGACUACUAGUGCUCCAAAUCCAUUUCAUAUUUAAAAGGGGCCAAAAAUGCAAAAAAUUUCUAUUUUGGGCCAAAACUGUAAAAACUGCGAAAUUAAGGGUUCUAGCCGAGAAAAUUUUCAUUUGGUGGACUAAAACUGUUCUUCAAAUAACUUGGGGCUGAAAAAUAACUUUUCUACAAGUUUUGAUAAUAAACUGUCAAGAAAAAUAGUUUGAGGACUAAAAUAGAAAUUAUUUUAUAUAAAGGGUUAAAUGUGUAAAUUAUUCAAAAGAAAAGGGUUGCUAUAAAGAAAUAUCCUAAAGUUUUAAAUAAUAAAUCCGUCACGAUGAAAUACUAGCAUCUCGACUAUCGGCAAAUUAUAAUACACCUUCAACACCAAAAAUCGUUAUCAGACGAAUUGAUUCGGUCUCGAAUCAAUAAUGAAUCUGAAAUUACUAACACGACGAAACGUCAAUACACACGCGGAAAAUUCGGGAAGUCAAUACACACGUGAGAACACACCAGACGUCAAUACACCGUCUUUGGGCCUAAAAGUUUCAAAUCAUGUUUGUUGGGCCUAGCUAGCCCAAUGGCAUUAUCUUUAGGCCCGAAGGAAACUCGCUUACAUGUAGUUGGGUUUUACAUGACCUAAUUUCGUGUAAAAGGACGUUUACGGGCUUUGUGUUGUUGGGCCCCAAGGGCCUUCUGGUGCUGCUAGUAAAGUCGAGAAUUCACCAAAUGUGGGUCGGGCUAAGGGCCCUUUGCAUUCACGAUAGCCUUGAACGACUUACGGAAAAUAUCGGGGCUUCGCACCCUCUUUUCCUCCUCGGUCGUGGGGCUACAUGAAGUUCGGGUGUUUUGAUUAAGUGAAUAGUGCGAGCGACGCCAAAGGGAUCGUUUGUAUGGUUGUAAACUAGUCAUUGUCAUUCAUGUGUGUUUAUAACAAUUCACAAUCCAUAAUUAAUCCAACGUCACCGGGACUCAACGAAUACACAUGUCAUAACGAAAUAACAUGAUACAAAUUUUUUUGAUGCAAAGUAUUAGGAAAAUAUCGAGUUUUCCUAGAGAUUUCAAUUAAUAAACCUACGAGUUACAUACCGAGUUUUACAAAUCGCUCUUUUACAUUUAUAGAAACAAACAAGCAUACUUACGGAUCUUCACACUUUUUAUACUAAGUUCUUUUCAGAAAAUAUCGGAUUUUCUGGUGAUUUUCAAAACAAUACAAACCACUAUAUUUCAAACAUUACUUAUGAACUCACCAACAUUUCAUAUGUUGAUGUUUUUCAAAAUACUUGUAUUCUCAGGUAACAGGUAAAUCGAAGGGAAAAAUGUACCGAGUGAUGUUUUGUUGUUUGUCUAUUCAGUAUCGAACAAUUUACUUUUUGGGAAUGUAAUGUUAUGAAACAAUGUAUUAUAUGUAAACACUACCAGUUGUACUAUUCCAAUGCUUGGUAUUGUAUGAUGUUAUGUUUCAUGUAUAUUCAUUGUGAUGGUAUUCAAUUGAGUCACAAUAGCCCUUGGACGUUUCCGCCGUCUGGUUCGGGGGUGUGACAGGUUGGUAUCAGAGCUCUGUUUAUAAUGAACUAGCAUAUCUAACCAUACAUUGAUAUGCAACUAUAAACCAAAAUAGGGACUAACAUAACUCUGAAAAAAAACAAGUAAAAUACAACAAUAAAACACCUUUGCUUGCAUUAGGGAUAAGGAACAUAACGCCGAACCAAACAAAAUAAUGCUAGUAUCUCGGUUAAUUCAGGACUGUUCUUAGUGUUACCAAGGAGUGGAUGUAGCCUGAUCAACUACAUUCUCUCCAAAGUAUAACUAACAAACGUUCUGAUGAGAUCGGGAUAGCUAGGGAAUCUAAAACUAUACCCCUUUGACACCAAAAAGAGGACGCCUGCUUAGUCUGUACAAUAGUUGUAGCAUCCUAGGGAUAAUAUUAGUGAACUUUUGCAUAUUUUUGUUAUGAUAUUACCAAUUGCUAUGCAUUGCGAAUCUAUGAUUGUAUGCUGAGUUGUAGAAGUACUUAAACUCAUACCAUGCACCUAGUCAGUAGGAUCACAACCUCACAGAACCCCCAAACACUCAACAUCUUUAUGUUUCAUGACAAAAAGAUGCCUCGCCGACCUAUUCGCGGAAACCCUGGACCAACCCCACCCGAAGUUGACUCCACUGCAUUCCAGGCGGCCGUGUCUGUUGCGGUCACCGCAGCUAUGGCACAACUUCACCAACGGAAUAACGGAGGAGGCAACGGGCAAGGGGCUGGGAGUUCGAACAACGGGAUGAAUCAAGGACCCACCAAAACAUGUACCUACAAGGACUUUACAAAUGCCAAACCACGAACUUUUAACGGCACUGGAGGAGUGAUCACUCUGAAGCGAUGGAUCGAGAAGGUGGAAUCGGUAUUCCUGAUAUGCGAUUGCCCUGAGCAGAUGAAAGUGAAGUUCGCGGCAUGCACUUUUGUCGAUCAAGCGCUCACCUGUGGAACGGACAUGUGGAAGCCAUGACACUCCCAGUAGCCAACUCCAAGCCGUGGGCAGAUAUGAAAGAAAUGUUGAUGGCUGAAUACUGCCCACGAGGUAAGAUUCAGAAAAUGGAGCAAGAGUUGUGGAACCUCACUGUGCAGAAUGCGAAUAUCGAUGCCUACAUGUCGAGAUUUAGUGAACUAUCUCUGUUGUGCCUGGGUAUGAUCACCUCGGAAGGAAAGAAGAUUGAGCGAUUCAUCUGGGGACUAACAUCACCAAUCCAAGGAAAUGUGAUAGCUGCAAACCCCGAAACAUUUGACAGUGCAAAAAGAUUGGCAAAGAAGCUGUAUGACCAUAACAACAAGAAGGGUGAGAAGCUAGCGGAGGCUGAAGGAAAGAAGGAAGGUGAUGGCAAGAAGGGGAAGAACAAUAAGAAGAAGGGGCAUUAGGGCCCCGAGACCUCUAAAAAGCAGCAGACAGUGGCAGUUAAUGUUGUCACCGCACCGGUUCCAGCCACACCACAUGCUCCAGCCUCAGUUGCUUCAAAUGCUUCCAGACCUUAUUCCGGUAAUCUUCCCAAGUGCAACAACUGCGGUUUCCAUCACAAGGGAGAAUGCAAGGAGUUGCGGUGCACCAGUUGUAACUGAAGGGGACACACGGCAAAGUACUGCAGGACCUACCCUCCCCAGAACCAACAACAGGGAAACAACAACAACAACAACAAUCGCAACAACAACAACAUCAUCACCGGUGGCAGCAAUGCACGGCCUAGCCACACCUGCUAUGGAUGUGGGAGGACUGGGCAUUUCUGCCGAGACUGCCCUAACAACAACAAUUCAGGAAACGGAGGAACAGGAAGGAUGCUGACCAUGGGUCAAGGAGAGGUGAUUUAGGACCCCGUUGUUGUUACCGGUACAUUUCCCCUAAACCACACUUGUGCAUGCAUCCUAUUUGACACCGGAGCAGAGCGAAGUNUUAAACAUUUAUUAAAACAACAGCCCCAGAAGCUAAAUGAAACCUUUACGGUGGAAAUGGCCAAUGGGAAAACCGAAUCCACCGGGGAAAUCUACAUCGGAUGUACCCUAACCCUCAAUCAACACGUCUUUCGAAUAGACUUAAUGCCUGUAUCAAUUAGGAGUUUCGAUGUGAUUAUCGGCAUGGACUGGUUAAGCCCCCACCAUGCUGAAAUUAUGUGUCACAAGAAGGCCGUUCGCCUUCGCCUUCCCAAUCACGAAACCCUAGUAAUUUACGGUGACAAACCUAGCAUGAACUUUCGCCUCAUCUCGUGCAUCAAGGCACAAAAACAUCUACGAAAGAACAAUUUGGUGUUCCUGGCUCACAUAGUAGAUAAAAGGAAGGAAGAGGUUAACGUUCAAGACAUUCCCAUAGCAUGUGAGUUCCCAGACGUAUUUCCAGAAGAUCUUCUAGGAGUACCCCCGGAGAGACAAGUGGAGUUCCGAAUUGACCUCGUUCCAGGAGCAACUCCUCUCGCUAAAUCACCCUAUCGGCUAGCUCCUGCUGUAAUGCAGGAAUUGUCCAGCCAACUCAGUGAACUCUUGGACAAGGGAUUCAUCCGCCCUAGUUACUCGCCAUGGGGAGCUCCAGUCCUCUUUGUCAAAAAGAAGGACGGAUCUUUUAGAAUGUGCAUCGAUUACAGAGAGUUAAAUAAACUCACUGUUAAAAAUCGCUACCCACUCCCACGAAUCGAUGAUCUAUUUGACCAGCUCCAAGGAGCUAGUUAUUUUUCUAAGAUAGAUCUACGGUCCGGAUACCAUCAACUCAAAGUCCGGGAAGAGGAUAUUCCAAAAACCGCUUUCCGAACUCGCUACGGACAUUAUGAAUUUGUAGUAAUGCCCUUCGGUCUAACAAAUGCCCCUGCUGCAUUUAUGGAUCUGAUGAACCAAAUCUGUCGACCAUUCCUAGACAACUUUGUCAUUGUCUUCAUUGAUGACAUUCUCGUUUAUUCCCGAAGCGAAGAAGAGCAUGGCCAACAUCUCCGAAAAAUCCUAGAAAAUCUGCGAUUGGAGAAGCUAUACACAAAACUCUCCAAGUGUGAGUUCUGGCUCCGGAGUGUGAACUUCCUAGGUCAUGUAGUUAGCCAAGAUGGAAUUCAUGUGGAUCCCUCUAAGGUCAAAGCUGUUGAAGGAUGGGCAAUCCUGACAACACCCACGGAAACCCGUCAAUUCUUGGGUCUAGCAGGCUACUAUAGGAGAUUCAUUCAAAACUUCUCUAAGAUCGCCAAACCACUUACCUCGCUUACACAAAAGGGCGUACCAUUCAAAUGGACGGACAAACAAGAAGUCGCAUUCCGAACCCUGAAACAAGCUCUCUGUAGUGCUCCGGUACUGUCACUAUCGGAGGAAACGGAAGAUUUCGUGGUCUACUGUGACGCGUCAAAUCAGGGCUUAGGUUGCGUUCUCAUGCAGCGUGGACGGGUGAUAGCCUACGCAUCCCGCCAACUAAAGACUCACGAAGUAAACUAUAUGACCCAUGACCUAGAAUUGGGAGCCGUAGUCUUUGCCCGAAAGAUUUGGAGGCAUUACCUUUACUGUACGAAGUGCGCCAUCUUCACGGACCACAAGAGUCUCCAACACAUCUUGAACCAGAAGGAGCUGAACAUGAGGCAACGAAGAUGGGUUGAAUUACUAAACGAUUAUGAGUGUGAGAUCAAGUACCACCCAGGCAAGGCCAACGUGGUAGCUGACGCAUUAAGUCGGAAGGAGUACUCUAAUCGUCGUACGAAAACUCUCUCAAUAACCAUUCAAUCUCACUUAGCCAAUCAAAUUGCAGUAGCCCAGUCAGAGGCCAUGAAGAGGGAAAAUAGAGCAAGCGAAGCAUUGCGCGGAAUGGAGAAGAACCUAGAGGUAAAGGAGAAUGGAGUAUACUAUUUCAUUAACCGUAUUUGGGUCCCUAAACUCGGAGGAUUUAGGGAGGUUGUUAUGAAGGAAGCCCACAAGACGCGAUACUCCAUUCAUCCCGGCUCAGACAAGAUGUAUUUGGAUAUUAAACAACACUAUUGGUGGCCUAACAUGAAGGCGGAAAUUGCCACCUAUGUUAGUAAGUGCCUUACGUGUGCCAAGGUAAAGGUGGAGUACCAGAAGCCCUCAGGGUUAUUACAGCAACCGGUAAUCCCUGAGUGGAAAUGGGAGGGGAUUUCUAUGGAUUUCGUGACCAAGCUACCCAAGACGUCGGAUGGACUGGACACCAUAUGGGUAAUAGUCGACCGACUGACGAAAUCUGCCCAUUUCCUACCCAUAAAGGAAUCCUACAAGAUGGAAAGAUUGACACGUUUGUACAUUCGAGAGAUCGUAAGACUCCACGGAGUACCAGCGUCUAUUAUCUCGGAUAGGGACAGUAGAUUCACUUCAUGUUUUUGGCAAUCUCUCCAGAAGGCAUUGGGAACUCAUCUCGACAUGAGCACCGCUUAUCAUCCACAAACGGAUGGUCAAAGUGAGCGAACCAUUCAAACGCUCAAAGACAUGCUCCGCGCAUGUGUGAUAGACUAUGGGAAGUCUUGGGAUACCCACUUACCCUUAGUAGAAUUCUCAUAUAACAACAGUUACGAUUCCAGCAUCAAGGUCGCUCCUUUCGAAGCGCUAUACGGGCGUAAGUGUAGAUCACCGUUAUGCUGGGCUGAGGUGGGUGAUACCCAACUAGCAACAUCACAUACAUCGGACAAAACACUAACGGGACUGGAGAUCAAUCAUGAAACCACGGAAAAGAUCGUUCAAAUCAGAGCUCGAUUACAAGCAUCGCGCGACCGACAAAAGAGCUACGCCGAUAAACGGCGAAAGCCCUUAGAAUUUCAGGUCGGGGAUCGAGUACUGUUGAAAGUCUCACCCUGGAAAGGAGUUAUUCGUUUCGGAAAACGGGGAAAGCUGAACCCACGAUACAUUGGACCUUUCGAGAUCGUCGCCCGAAUAGGUCCAGUGGCAUAUAAACUAUAGCUACCCGCAGAGCUAAACAGCGUACACCACGUGUUCCAUGUCUCUAAUCUAAAUAAGUGUCUAUCGGAUGAAACACUCGUCAUUCCCCUUGACGAGAUCCAAAUUAACGAGAAUCUACUAUUCGUUGAAGAACUAGUUGAAAUCAUGGACAGGGAGGUGAAUCGUACAAAGCAAAGUCGCAUCCCAAUCGUGAAAGUGCGGUGGAACGCGAAGCGUGGGCCAGAAUUCACGUGGGAAUGCGAAGAUCAAAUUAAGCAAAAGUACCCUCACCUAUUUUAGCAUUCUCAAAUCUAGCUUUCAAACAGAAUUUCGAGACGAAAUUCCCUCUAACGGGGGGAUGAUGUCACAACUAGAAAUUUUGUGUCUUGUAAUCACUAUACUCAAGUAAGAUGUUGAAUCAAAAACUUAAGAGCAUGUAUGAUGCUUACUCAAUGACAACAAAAUUUCAAUCCAAUACACCAUACAAGUACUACAAAUAGUCAACAAGCAGUUGGAAACCCUAGAAGUUCUUGUUUAGGUCCAUUUUGGACUAGGACUUCCUUAUUGGACUCAAUGGACCAAUAAGGUUCGAAUUUGACUAUCAUGGGCUUAGAACCUUUAAAUGGGCUCUAAUUGGACCCAAUUCCAUUUAACUCAAUAUUUUGGGCCAUAUUGGGCCUAGAAUGAGAUAGAUUAACUUUAUGAACCAUUUGGACCAUAAUUAACCUAAUCUAACCUAAAGGGUAAUAAAAAUCAUAUUUAUAUUUUUAAGCCAAAAAUCAUCCACCCUAGCUAUAACAUGGGCUUAAGGGCAUCAAGCCCAAAAAUCUCCUCACACCCUCCCCAUUCUCGGCCCAAGCCCAAAAGAAGAGGGGGUUGACUUUGUGAGUGACACCUCACAAUUAUCCAAGGGACUUCCAUGCAAGGGGACUCAUACUUCCAUGCACCAUCCUUUCAUACUUCUCUCUUCUCUUCUUCCUUCUUGAUUCUCGGCCGAUUCCAACACACACACACACACAAUUCACUCACUUUUCUCUCAAGGAAACUCUCUCAUAAUUCACCCAUAUUUCGAGAUCUAAGAAGGAAUCAAGGGAAUUUUUACACAAAAAUCAUCAUCUAAGGUAAGAAAUCUCUUAGAUCCUUAAGCUAGCUUCUUCAUUUCAUCCAAAAAUCACCUCUUAAUUUAUUCAAACUCAUGAUCUAACACCUAAGAAGCAUUCAAGUUCGAAAUCAUCCAAGGAAGGUUGCUAGGGCCGAAAAUCACCUCAUUUUCUUCCAUCUUUUCUCCAAAACCGAAACCACACCCAAAGGUGAGCUUCAUACCCCCUGUUUUUCAGUUUUAUAAGAUUUGUGGGGGGGGAAUACAAGCAAAUGUGUAGAUCUAUGAGUAUAUGUAUGCUUUGUAUGAUUUCUAUGCUUAUUUACAUGUUUAUAUGUGAUUAUGGUGUUGAAACUAGUCAAAAGACCUUAAAAAUCGAGAUUUGCAUUAGGAUGUAGGAAACAAGUGUUAAACAUAUUACUACACACAAAUCAUUUCUAGAAAAAUAACCAAGUUGGUUAAAAUGAACUCAUUGGGCUAAAAAUCCCAUUUUUGGACUCAAAAUGUUAAAAAUAUAAAGUUAAAGGGCCCAAAAUGACAAAAUACAAAUUCUGAUGGAUGAAAUGAGUCAAAACAGUUUUAAUAAAGUAUUUUUCUGGAAAUAUUCUCUUUGGAGGAUUAAAUGUGAAAUUUUUAAGCAUAAUGGGCCAAAAAUGAAUUUUUCGGACCAAUAAAGCUCAAUAUGUGAGAUUUCCAAAUUUGAGGGGCUGAAACUGUGAUUUUCUGUAAAAUAGGGGACUACUAGUGCUCCAAAUCCAUUUCAUAUUUAAAAGGGGCCAAAAAUGCAAAAAUUUUCUAUUUUGGGCCAAAACUGUAAAAACUGGGAAAUUGAGGGUUCUAACCGAGAAAAAUUUCAUUUGGUGGACUAAAACUGUUCUUCAAAUAACUUGGGGCUGAAAAAUAACUUUUCUACAAGUUUUGAUACUAAAGUGUCAAGAAAAAUAGUUUGAGGACUAAAAUAGAAAUUAUUUUAUAUAAAGGGUUAACUGUGUAAAUUAUUCAACAGAAAAGGGGCUGCUAUAAAGAAAUAUCCUAAAGUUUUAAAUAAUAAAUCCGUCAUGAAGAAAUACUAGCAUCUCGACUAUCGGCAAAUUAUAAUACAUCUUCAACACCAAAGAUCAUUAUCAAACGAAUUGAUUCGGUCUCGAAUCAAUAAUGAAUCCGAAAUUACUAACACGACGAAACUUCAAUACACACGCGGAAAAUUCGGGAAGUCAAUACACACGUGAGAACACACCUGACGUCGAUACACCGUCUUUGGGCCCAAAAGUUUCAAAUCAUGUUUGUUGGGCCUAGCUAGCCCAAUGGCAUGAUCUUUAGGCCCGAAGGAAACUCGCUUACAUGUAGUUGGGUUUUACAUGACCUAAUUUUGUGUAAAAGGACUUUUAUGGGCUUUGGGAUGUUGGACCCCAAGGGCCUUCUGGUGCUGCUAUUAAUGUCGAGAAUUCACCAAAUGCGGGUCGGGCUAAGGGCCCUUUGCAUUCACGAUAGCCUUGAACGACUUACGGAAAAUAUCGGGGCUUCCCACCCUCUUUUCCUCCUCAGUUGUGGGGCUACAUGAAGUCCGGGUGUUUGGAUUAAGUGAAUGGUGCGAGCGACGCCUAAGGGAACGUUUGUAUGGUUGUAAACUAGUCAUUUUCAUUAAUGGGUGUUUAUAACAAUUCACAAUCCAUAUUUAAUCCAACGUCACCGGGACUCAACGAAUACACCUGUCGUAACGAAAUAACAUGAUACAAAUUUUUUUGAUGCAAAGUAUUAGGAAAACAUCGGGUUUUCCUAGGGUUUUCAAUUAAUACACCUACGAGUUACAUACUGAGUUUUACAAAUCGCUCUUUUACAUUUAUAGAAAGAAACAAGCAUACUUACGGAUCUUCACACUUUUUAUACUAAGUCCUUAUCAGAAAAUAUCGGAUUUUCUGGGGAUUUUCAAAACAAUACAAACCACUAUAUUUCAAACAUUACUUAUGAACUCACCAACAUUUCAUAUGUUGACGUUUUUCAAAAUACUUGUAUUCUCAGGUAACAGGUAAAUCGAAGGGAAAAAUGUACCAGUGAUGUUUUGUUGUUUGUCUAUUCAGUAUCGAACAAUUUACUUUUUGGGAAUGUAAUGUUAUGAAACAAUGUAUUAUAUGUAAACACUACCAGUUGUACUAUUCCAAUGCUUGGUAUUGUAUGAUGUUAUGUUUCAUGUAUAUUCAUUGUGAUGGUAUUCAAUUGAGUCACAAUAGUCCUCGGACGUUUCCGCCAUCUAGUUCGGGGGUGUGACAUCUCUAGACAUGAUUUUCAGCCAAAUUUACACAAAAAUCGAAUUAGAAUCAGAUCUAUGAGCAACAAACAUAUUUUAAAUUGAAAAAAAAGAUUUGAACAAUAAUCUAACAUCAUAAUGCAAACAAAAUUUUCAAAAUGCGAAAUCAAUAGAAGAUUCUUAGUAAAAAUCUAAGAAAAAGAAGAACUUCGAGAAAAUUAGGGAUUUGAAAAUAGUUUACAUAAAUCAUGAUUUGAUAUGACUUGUUAGAAUAAUAGGAACGAAUAGAUUCUAAUCAAACAAUGCAAUAGACGAUAAGAUCAUAAUAGAUGAACACACGAUAGUAAAUAAGAUCAAUGUUAUCAUUAUGGAGUAAAGAAUAAUUCUAAACAGUGACGAAAGAAGUAGACUCCAAAAUAUACUUUCUCUAACUAACUAACCCUCCUAUAUAUAUAUAUAUAUAUAUAUAUAUANNNNNNNNNNNNNNNNNNNNNNNNNNNNNNNNNNNNNNNNNNNNNNNNNNNGAAAUAAGUGUCCUUAAUGUCAAACUUGUCGUUAAUUCUUAAGAGGGUAAGUUGUAUAUAUUUUAUAUUUGUGUUGGGUGUGUUGUGUAUUUUUCAUACAGGUUUCCGGGUUUGCACGCGGGUUUAUGGAUUGCUCCAUGGAGCUAUGUACCCGGCAUAUUUAUUGUGUUUUGUUUGUGUAUUUGUAUGUAAGUCGAUAGAUAUCAUCUAAUUCAGAUUCUCUCUUCUCUCUCAAGUUAGGGUUUCAGUUUAGAAUUCAUGUGUAAAUCUAGAAGAUACUCUUUCAUAGAGUUUUCUAAGAUUCAUGUAAACAUUCGAGUGUGAGUGUAUUUGUAGAGAGGUUUCUGAUGUAAGUAAAUGUUUGAUCGAACUGGUUUAUGGUGAAUAAACUGUUCCAGUUGGGAAUUGUUGGUGUUCUUUACUUUCUUUACAUGGUAUCAGAGCGAUAGGCUUCGUGUUAUUCAUUUUGGUGUUCAUCGGUGGUUGUUUCUCCCAGAACGUCAUCGUUAAAGGUUGUUUCUAACCUUUUCUCAUUUUCUAUAGUUUUUGUUGUUUGAUCUGACGUUUUCUUUCAUAUAAAAUCUUUAGAUCGGUGUUUUAGUGUAAUGUUUCUUUAAAAUCCUGGUACUGUGAGUUCUUUGUGGAUCCUUGCAGGUUCAUUUACUGGUCACUUGGUGUUGAACAUCUGUGUAGCUUCAGUCGAUUAAUCUAUCUGUCUGAAAUAACUCCUUAGGGGUCGGAUUUCACCACCGAUAAACCCUAAGUAGGGAACGGACAAAUAGAGUCGAUUUUUUAAGAGUUCGUCACUAUAGCACUAUGAGGGAUUUCUUGUUCUCUUCUUGUAUUCUUUUCAUAUUAUGUUUGAGAGAUUCUGGAUGUCUUGAGUACUCCAGUUAUUGCUGUUUUUCUUUGUAUGCUUCUAUAUGUGGCUGUUUUUCAUGAUUUUCUUGAAUUGGUAUUGAUUGUCUUGGGCCCCGACAAACGUGGUGACCAUUUGGACUUUAAGUCAAUACUCGAAUAUGUUUUUGUUUCAUUUCUCCUUCUUGAUAGUUGGUUCCUGUUGUGUGUUUUGUGAUUAAUCAGUUGUUAUGGCUGGUUCUACUGAUCCUCCUAGUGGAAGUGGAAAGGAUGAUCAAAUUAAUUUUGAUGAUCCUCUAUUUGUCCAUCCUUCUGAUAAUGCUGCUGCAACAAUUAUUACAAUAAAACUAACUGGUAAUGAGAAUUUUAGACUGUGGAGAAGUUCUAUGUCUAGAGCCCUUAAGGCUAGAAAUAAACUCGGUUUUGUUGAUGGAACUUGUAAGAAAUCUGAUGUUGAUGCAUCUAAAUGAACUAAAUGGGAUAGGGCCAAUGCGAUUGUUUGUUCUUGGCUCUUGUCGUCUAUUUCUGAUUCCAUUUAUCAGAGUCAAGCCUAUUUUGAUGUAGCUGAGGAUAUUUUGAAUAGUCUUUUUGAAACUUAUAACAAGUCAGAUAGGUCUGUUGUUUUUAAUAUUCAUCAACAAAUAAAUACUUUUAAACAAAAUGGAAUUUCUCUUUCAGACUACUUUAAUAGACUUGACACUCUUUGAAAAGAAUUUGAUGGUCUUACUAGUCUCACUGAGUGUACAUGUGAAGCUGCUGUGAAACAAAAGGACCACUCUAAUCUCAUGAAACUUAUGCAGUUUCUUAGUGGUCUUGAUGAUUCAUAUAGUCAGGUCAAGAGUCAUAUUUUACUUAUGGAACCAUUACCUUCUGUAAAAUCUGCUUUUCCUAUAUUGUCUAGAGAAGAGUCUCUCCAAAGAAAUGGUUCUUUAGGUUCUCUUCAGUCAUCUCAGGCUUUAUCUAAGUCUCAGUCUACUGCUUUCAAUAGUAGAUUUAACAAUAGAUUUAACUCCAACAGUUCUAAUAAAAAUAAGAGUCAAAUUGUUCAAUGCAAGAAUUGUGGUAUUAAAGGUCAUUCAAUUGAUAAAUGUUACAAAAUAAUAGGAUAUCCAAAAGAUUUUAAGCAGAAAAAUGACUUUAAUAAUCAAAACUCUUUUUCUGUUAAUUUUGCUACAUCUUCUUCUGGGAGUUCUAGUGCUCCUAAUUCUACUGAUUAUGUUGGAGAUUCUAAGUUUCAUCAACUUACCAAGGAGCAAUACAUCAAGUUUUUGCAACUUAUAAAUGAUAAGCAAGGUAAUGAGGAAGCAUUUGCUAGUGCUAAUAUGGCAGGUACUUGCUUAUUCCAAGCUUUUAAUUCUUCUAUUAAUUCUCAAAAUUGGAUUGUAGAUUCAGGGGCAAAUCAACAUAUGAUUGUUUCUGAAUCUCUUCUUCAUGACACUGUGGAUGUGUCACAAUUGAAUCUUCUUGUCAGUCAUCCUAAUGGUACUUCUGCUAAAAUAGAAAAGAUUGGUAACAUGAAUAUGUCUAACUCCUUAACUUUGUUUGAUGUUUUUGCUAUUCGAGACUUCAAUGUAAACUUGUUGUCUAUUCAUAAAGUUUGUAAGGAUAGUAAUUAUAAAGUCAUUUUUAAUGAACAUGGUUGUAAAAUUCAGGGUUUACAAUCAAAGGAGAUGGUGGGGAAUGGUAGUGAGUCUGGAGGUCUGUAUUACAUGAAUAGUGAACCUUCAGGUAAUUCUUUUAGGGUUAAUAAUUCCUCAUCUUUUUGUUGUGUUUCUAAACUUACUUGGCAUAACAGGCUUGGUCAUCUUUCUGAUCAAGCUUUGUUUUCCUUAAAACAAAAACUUAAUUUUGAAAAUGAUAUUCUUCCUCCUUGUGAUGUGUGUCAUAAAGCAAAACAAACUAGAGAAUCUUUUCCUGUUAGUCAACAUGUAUGUGGGGUCCUUAUAGAGUGACCACUGUAGAAGGAUGUCACACCCCAAAACCAAGAACGGCGGAAACGUUCUGGGGCGGAGGACGUCAUGUAAGUAUCACAACACAGUAAAUGUAAAUAAGCAAACAACAUCAUCCAUUGCAUUAAAUAUAUAAUUUUAAUACAAGCGUGUUCUGUACAUUAUAGACACUAAAAAUAACGUAUAUCAAAGUAAUAAGAUGAGUCUUGAAUGCGCUCCAUCUUCUCAAAAGCUAGCCUCGGUACUUGUCUACUGAUGACCUGAGAAUACAAGUUAUUUUGGAAGAGUUUAUCAGCAUUAAGCUGGUGAGUUCAUAAGUAUUUUAGUGUCGGUAUUUGUCAUUCAAAAGUGUUUGAACAUGUAUCAAGUAUAAGUUUGUAAAAUGUAUGUAAAAGUUUGCAAUUGUUUGUAAAAGUUUGAAUCUCUCAGAAAAACCUAUAUUUUCUAUUAAAGUAGCCUUCUACCAAGGCUUAACUGUUUUGUAUGCUCGUUUGAUGUAAAAGUGUGUAAUUUCCCAAAUGUAACUAUCAUUUAACAGAAUAUAGUUUGUACAUAAACGUUUAAGUGAGGUUAUCACUAAAAAUAUGUUAUGGGUAAAUUAUUGUAGUACUGUAGUCUUGUAUUAUAAGAACUACUGUUGUACUAACUACCUUAAACCGGAUUUAUAUUAAGGCAUUACGUGAUAAAUUGCACCAUACUAUCGACUAGUAACAAAGACAAAUGAAUGGUCGUAAUAACGGAAUGACGUUUGGCACCCGCAGACCUGCAGGUCCGGCUGUAGCUAGCAGCAAGGUGUAGGAUUGUCAAUCCAGUAUAGAUCUAUACGCAAACUCACGCUCUCCCUUCAAUAGAAUUAUGCCUACAACUCGAGCCAUGACAGUUAAGUCAUGCUCCGAUUUAAAUCACAAUUGUCACAACUGGAAAUUUUGUAUCCUGUAAUCCAUACACUUAAGUCAAUGUGAAUCAAAAACUUAAGGACAUGGUUGACACCUAUGAUUAUGACUUCAAAAACUUCAAUCAAAUACAUUAUACAAGUACUACAAAUAGUCAUCAAACAAUUGGAAACCCUAGAAGUUCUUGUUUAGGUACACCUUGGAGUAGAACUUCCUUAUUGGAUGCAAAUGGACCAAUAAGCUUCCAAUUUGACUACCAAGGGCUUAGAACCCUAACUGGGCUCUAAUUGGACCCACCCUAAAUUAUUUUGACAUUUUGGGCCACAUUGGGCCUAGAAUGAAAUAAAUUAAUGACUAUGAACCAUAAUUAACCUAAUUUGACCCUAACAAGUCAUAAAAAAAUCACCUUUAUAUUUAUUUGGACCAAAAAUCACUCAAUUUAACCAUGAAAAUUGGGCUUAAGCAUUUAUGGCCCAAACAUCCUCUUUUCCCCCACCAUUCUCGGCCCAAGCCCAAAUAAAAGGGAGGAGUUGACUUCUUGCAUGACACAUCAUCUUUGUAUGGAGGAUAUCUAAGCAUUACCCUUCAAACAUCCAUGCAUUCUCAUUCUUCCAUGCAAACAUCACCUCAAGGUCUUUUCUUCUCUCCCUCCCUCUUCCUUCUUGAUUCGGCCGAGAGUAACCCACACACACACACUUCACAAACUCUCUCCAAAUUACUCAAGAAAUCAUCCUCCCACUCCAUUCAAAAGUCUCGAAAAUUUGGCUUGAAGCAUAAGAAUCAUCCUAAAGAAAUUCACCAUCUAAGGUAAGUUAAUGUUUAACUUAUGAUCUAACUCCCUCUACUUCAUUAAAAUCUCUUCUAAAUUCAUUCAUUUUUGUGAUCUUGCAUCCUAGAGGUCGAAAUCUUCACCAAAGGGUGCUAAGGCCAAAAAUCACUUCAUUUUCCUUCCAUUUUCUUUGCAAAACCGAGCCCCCACACCCAAGGUGAGCUUCAUACCCCCUAAUUUCUGUUUUAUGAGUUUUUUUUGGGGGGGGGGGGAAUACAAGUGAAAGUGUAGAUCUAUAUGUGUUUUGUAUGCCUUGUAUGAUUUCCAUGCUUAUAUGUAUGCUUUUGUGUGCUAAAAUGUUGGAUCUAGCCAUAAAACCCCUCAAAACCGAGAUAUAUCUUAUGUUAAAUGAUUUUUGCAUCAAAUAUGUUUCUACAUACAAAGUGUUUCAAGAAAAAUGGCUAAGUAGUUUAGUAACAAUUUUCUUUGGGCUAAAAACACAAAUUUUGGGCCUAAAAUGUGAAAAAUACAAAAUUAAGGGUCCAAAUUGACAUAUCACGAAUUCUGAUGGAUGAGGUGUGCCAAAACAGUUUCAAUAAAACAAUUUCUGGAAAUUUACUCAUUUAGAGGNNNNNNNNNNNNNNNNNNNNNNNNNNNNNNNNNNNNNNNNNNNNNNNNNNNNNNNNNNNNNNNNNNNNNNNNNNNNNNNNNNNNNNNNNNNNNNNNNNNNNNNNNNNNNNNNNNNNNNNNNNNNNNNNNNNNNNNNNNNNNNNNNNNNNNNNNNNNNNNNNNNNNNNNNNNNNNNNNNNNNNNNNNNNNNNNNNNNNNNNNNNNNNNNNNNNNNNNNNNNNNNNNNNNNNNNNNNNNNNNNNNNNNNNNNNNNNNNNNNNNNNNNNNNNNNNNNNNNNNNNNNNNNNNNNNNNNNNNNNNNNNNNNNNNNNNNNNNNNNNNNNNNNNNNNNNNNNNNNNNNNNNNNNNNNNNNNNNNNNNNNNNNNNNNNNNNNNNNNNNNNNNNNNNNNNNNNNNNNNNNNNNNNNNNNNNNNNNNNNNNNNNNNNNNNNNNNNNNNNNNNNNNNNNNNNNNNNNNNNNNNNNNNNNNNNNNNNNNNNNNNNNNNNNNNNNNNNNNNNNNNNNNNNNNNNNNNNNNNNNNNNNNNNNNNNNNNNNNNNNNNNNNNNNNNNNNNNNNNNNNNNNNNNNNNNNNNNNNNNNNNNNNNNNNNNNNNNNNNNNNNNNNNNNNNNNNNNNNNNNNNNNNNNNNNNNNNNNNNNNNNNNNNNNNNNNNNNNNNNNNNNNNNNNNNNNNNNNNNNNNNNNNNNNNNNNNNNNNNNNNNNNNNNNNNNNNNNNNNNNNNNNNNNNNNNNNNNNNNNNNNNNNNNNNNNNNNNNNNNNNNNNNNNNNNNNNNNNNNNNNNNNNNNNNNNNNNNNNNNNNNNNNNNNNNNNNNNNNNNNNNNNNNNNNNNNNNNNNNNNNNNNNNNNNNNNNNNNNNNNNNNNNNNNNNNNNNNNNNNNNNNNNNNNNNNNNNNNNNNNNNNNNNNNNNNNNNNNNNNNNNNNNNNNNNNNNNNNNNNNNNNNNNNNNNNNNNNNNNNNNNNNNNNNNNNNNNNNNNNNNNNNNNNNNNNNNNNNNNNNNNNNNNNNNNNNNNNNNNNNNNNNNNNNNNNNNNNNNNNNNNNNNNNNNNNNNNNNNNNNNNNNNNNNNNNNNNNNNNNNNNNNNNNNNNNNNNNNNNNNNNNNNNNNNNNNNNNNNNNNNNNNNNNNNNNNNNNNNNNNNNNNNNNNNNNNNNNNNNNNNNNNNNNNNNNNNNNNNNNNNNNNNNNNNNNNNNNNNNNNNNNNNNNNNNNNNNNNNNNNNNNNNNNNNNNNNNNNNNNNNNNNNNNNNNNNNNNNNNNNNNNNNNNNNNNNNNNNNNNNNNNNNNNNNNNNNNNNNNNNNNNNNNNNNNNNNNNNNNNNNNNNNNNNNNNNNNNNNNNNNNNNNNNNNNNNNNNNNNNNNNNNNNNNNNNNNNNNNNNNNNNNNNNNNNNNNNNNNNNNNNNNNNNNNNNNNNNNNNNNNNNNNNNNNNNNNNNNNNNNNNNNNNNNNNNNNNNNNNNNNNNNNNNNNNNNNNNNNNNNNNNNNNNNNNNNNNNNNNNNNNNNNNNNNNNNNNNNNNNNNNNNNNNNNNNNNNNNNNNNNNNNNNNNNNNNNNNNNNNNNNNNNNNNNNNNNNNNNNNNNNNNNNNNNNNNNNNNNNNNNNNNNNNNNNNNNNNNNNNNNNNNNNNNNNNNNNNNNNNNNNNNNNNNNNNNNNNNNNNNNNNNNNNNNNNNNNNNNNNNNNNNNNNNNNNNNNNNNNNNNNNNNNNNNNNNNNNNNNNNNNNNNNNNNNNNNNNNNNNNNNNNNNNNNNNNNNNNNNNNNNNNNNNNNNNNNNNNNNNNNNNNNNNNNNNNNNNNNNNNNNNNNNNNNNNNNNNNNNNNNNNNNNNNNNNNNNNNNNNNNNNNNNNNNNNNNNNNNNNNNNNNNNNNNNNNNNNNNNNNNNNNNNNNNNNNNNNNNNNNNNNNNNNNNNNNNNNNNNNNNNNNNNNNNNNNNNNNNNNNNNNNNNNNNNNNNNNNNNNNNNNNNNNNNNNNNNNNNNNNNNNNNNNNNNNNNNNNNNNNNNNNNNNNNNNNNNNNNNNNNNNNNNNNNNNNNNNNNNNNNNNNNNNNNNNNNNNNNNNNNNNNNNNNNNNNNNNNNNNNNNNNNNNNNNNNNNNNNNNNNNNNNNNNNNNNNNNNNNNNNNNNNNNNNNNNNNNNNNNNNNNNNNNNNNNNNNNNNNNNNNNNNNNNNNNNNNNNNNNNNNNNNNNNNNNNNNNNNNNNNNNNNNNNNNNNNNNNNNNNNNNNNNNNAAGUCGAGGGCGAGCCUGCCGACCCCGAAGAAGACGAAGAAAAUUUUGAAGAAGAGCUCGAUGACAGCGAAGGGGGUGAUUCGGAUGCAGAGUCUGAGGUCAUCAACCCCCCUUACCCGAUCAGGGUGCCUNNNNNNNNNNNNNNNNNNNNNNNNNNNNNNNNNNNNNNNNNNNNNNNNNNNNNNNNNNNNNNNNNNNNNNNNNNNNNNNNNNNNNNNNNNNNNNNNNNNNUGUCGCCGUAGACUAUAAGAGUUUCGUUAGACGGAAGGUUUAGUCAGACUGCUUUCUCGAAGCACAUGAUGUCGGCGCGAUGUAGACUCAACCAAUCCAUGCCGAUGAUGACGUCGAAACUUUUUAUUGAGACCGACAUGAGGUCGAUUGGGAAUGAAUGGUUAUCUAGGGUUAGGAUACAUCCUAAGUAUAUGCUACUGGUGUUUUCUGUUUUGCCAUUAGCCAUUUCUACUGUGAAUUGUUCUUUAAGUGCGUGUGGUUGUGGUUUAAGCAUGCGAGCAAAUUUGUGGUUUACGAAGCUUCGCUCCGCUCCACUAUCGAACAGAAUGCAUGCAUAGGAGUUAUCGAGGAGGAACGUACCAGUCACCACUGUCGGGUCAGUGACUGCUUCCCCGUGGCCUAUAGCUAGUACCCUCCCUGCUCCUCCAGCAUUUCUUGCUUUGGGGCAGUCCCUCUUAUAGUGGCCUGUUUCGCCACAUCCAUAGCAAGUUGGGCUCGCGCCAGAGCCAGGGACUUGCGUGAUCGGUUGCGCCGGGAAUUUACAGAAACGGACGGUGUGUCCUUUCCUGUUGUAGUUAGAGCACUGCAUUUCACGGCAGGGGCCGUUGUGGUGGAAGUUGCAUUUGUUGCACUUCGGCAAACUUCCAGCAUACUGCUUCGUUGGAGCAGUAGUAGUAGGGGUUACUGCGGCAUGUACAGCCACAAUUUGCUGUUUCUUGGCAGCUCACUGCCUCUUCUUGUCAUCCCAAAACUUCUGCUUGGUGUCAACGGGUUUGGAUGGUUCUGAGAUGGCUAGGGUUGUUGUGGUUGCAGGGGUUUUGACACCAUGGUCAAUGAGUCGCUGUGCCAGUCGCUUGGCACUGUCGAAGGUAGCGGGGUUUGAUGAUAGAACAUUCCCCUGAUACGGAGGAACUAGCCCCCAUAUGUACCUUUCAAUCUUCUUCCCUUCAGUGGGAACCAUAUUAGGGCAGAGGGCCACCAGUUCGCUAAACCGGGCAGUGUAAGCGAUAAUGUUGGUGCCCUUCAUGGUCAGGCUCCAAAGCUCCUGUUCUAAUUUCUGGAUCUCGCCCCUCGGGCAGUAUUCCUCAAUCAUGAGGUCUUUCAUCGUAUCCCAGCCUAUGUCGUUGGCCACGACGAGAGUUAGAGAUUUAACGUGGCUGUUCCACCACGUCAGUGCCUUCCCUUCGAAGGUGCAUGCGGCAUAUUUGACUUUGCACGCAGCAGGGCAAGAACAAAUUUCGAAGACAGAUUCAGUCUUCUUGAACCAUUGCGAAAGAGCAAUGACUCCGCCGGUCCCAUGGAAGGGUUUCGGCUUACAGUUGGUGAAAUCCUUGUAAGAGCACUCUCUCAAGCGCACAGGAGUUUCAACCGGAAUGGAGUUAACUGGGGUUCCACCUCUGCUAGCAUCCGAUGAGUGAUACUGAGCCAUGGCAGUUGCCACUGCUGCAGCUACGGCGUCAUUCAGGGCUGCAGUAUCGAUGACCGGAGGCGGUGGAGGCGUAGGGUUAUUCCUGGUAGAUCUGCAAGGCGGCAUCUUUCAGCUAUAAGUUUAUAAAGAGGAGAAAAGUGGUAAGAAUCAAUUUGUAAGUAAGGUGAGAGUGACACAUGGACUAACUAACCAUAGCCCAACAAUUGAAUGAGUGUUUGAGAUCAUAACAAGGAAGAUUCGUAGGAAAACACAAGUGUAAAGAUUCUUCCCACAAAGUAGGUAGUUGUCAAUAAUACUGGUAUUACUGAUGUAACGAGUUCAAUGAAAAUUGACCUAACAGUAGGUCUUACAUCAUACCAUACAGAAAGUUUGACAGUUCUUAGAUUCCUAAUUAGAGUACUGAAAGUUAGGAAUAUUUUACAGAUAAGUGCUACUUAGAGCACAGAUGUUAAAAGACUAGUCCUUAGCCCAAAAGAUAAUGAUGUACUAGACAUCAUCUAACGGCAAUGAGUAUUCCUCGGGAGAACCCUGAGGUCUCUCAUUUGACGUACCACCUCUUGAAGGUGUCGUUCAUGAGCCCUUUGACGAGCUCGAAGUUCCAUGACCUCAGCUUGAGAGGCAACCAGACGUUGCUGCAGAGUUUCAUUGGUUCUCCGGGUCCGUUCCAUAUCUUCUUCGAGACGGCGAAUGCGGACUGUGUUGACACCAGAGUUGGCAUCAAUCUCCACGACUCGGUCGAUGGCUGCUCGACCUUGCUCGACAUUACGAGCUAUUCUGCGGAUUAUGACGGGCAGCGCUCGGUCAGCAGAACCACCUUCGCUGAUGUUGUAAAAGCUUCGGUCCCCAAUGUAUGGUAAGGGUUGACCCUGUUCGUCACUCCAGCGAUUCAAGUUAUUUACCCACANAGUGGGACCUAGAAAAGCUGGUCGAGGGUUGUUGUUCGGGGCUUGACCUAAUGGAGGUAGGUUGUUGUCUUCGGGCUCAGAGUCUGAUCCAUCUGAAAAGCCUUCAGCUUGAUGAUCAUCCAAUGGAAUUGGGUGUUCAUCGUCAGACUCUGCUUCGAGCCAUCCUGCGUUGCCUUCAUUUGGAAAGUACGGGUCGCCGUGAUGGAAUCCAGCCAUCUAAAUCUACGUGAGAAGAGAGGUAUAAAGAUAUAGUAUACAAGUAGUUGGUAGUACAAAAUACACCUAUAGUAUUUUAAGUUUAGGUUCUAUUGAAUCUUCUUGUGGUAUUGUUGGUAAGCUUUUAGACUUGUUAACACAUCACAACCAUUCUAGGGCAUAUGCUAAUCACUCCUCGGACCAGCAUAGUUGAUCAGGCUAUGCCAUUCCCAGGACUGACCAUAUAUCCCCGAGCUUACCUGUGAUAUUUAACAAUCGUAAUACUUUUGUUCUUGUCGUUGUGACACUGGUUUUAGUAUGAAUGUAGACUAGUAUACUUAAUUAAAUAUUUUAGUAUUUUAAGUAUAGACUCUUGGUCAGAGUGUUUUAAUCCCAAAUGGGUUUAUAGUUUAGUAUAUCUUUUAUGGGUUGAUACACUUGAUUCACUAUAAACAAUGCUCUGAUACCAAUCUGUCACACCCCAAAACCAAGAACGGCGGAAACAUUCUGGGGCGGAGGACGUCAUGUAAGUAUCACAACACAGUAAAUGUAAAUAAGCAAACAACAUCAUCCAUUGCAUUUAAUAUAUAAUUUUAAUACAAGCGUGCUCUGUACAUUAUAGACACCAAAAAUAACGUAUAUCAAAGUAAUAAGAUGAGUCUUGAAUGCGCUCCAUCUUCUCAAAAGUUGGCCUCGGUACCUGUCUACUGAUGACCUGAGAAUACAAGUUAUUUUGGAAGAGUUUAUCAGCAUUAAGCUGGUGAGUUCAUAAGUAUUUUAGUGUCGGUAUUUGUCAUUCAAAAGUGUUUGAACAUGUAUCAAGUAUAAGUUUGUAAAAUGUAUGUAAAAGUUUGCAAUUGUUUGUAAAAGUUUGAAUCUCUCAGAAAAACCUAUAUUUUCUAUUAAAGUAGCCUUCUACCAAGGCUUAACUGUUUUGUAUGCUCGUUUGAUGUAAAAGUGUGUAAUUUCCCAAGUGUAACUAUCAUUUAACAAAAUAUAGUUUGUACAUUAAUGUUUAAGUGAGGUUAUCACUAAAAAUAUGUAAUGGGUAAAUCAUUGUAGUACUGUAGUUUUGUAUUAUAGGAACUACUGUUGUACUAACUACCUUAAACCGGAUUUAUAUUAAGGUAUAAUGUGAUAAAUUGCACCAUGCUAUCGACUGGUAACAACGACAUAANNNNNNNNNNNNNNNNNNNNNNNNNNNNNNNNNNNNNNNNNNNNNNNNNNNNNNNNNNNNNNNNNNNNNNNNNNNNNNNNNNNNNNNNNNNNNNNNNNNNNNNNNNNNNNNNNNNNNNNNNNNNNNNNNNNNNNNNNNNNNNNNNNNNNNNNNNNNNNNNNNNNNNNNNNNNNNNNNNNNNNNNNNNNNNNNNNNNNNNNNNNNNNNNNNNNNNNNNNNNNNNNNNNNNNNNNNNNNNNNNNNNNNNNNNNNNNNNNNNNNNNNNNNNNNNNNNNNNNNNNNNNNNNNNNNNNNNNNNNNNNNNNNNNNNNNNNNNNNNNNNNNNNNNNNNNNNNNNNNNNNNNNNNNNNNNNNNNNNNNNNNNNNNNNNNNNNNNNNNNNNNNNNNNNNNNNNNNNNNNNNNNNNNNNNNNNNNNNNNNNNNNNNNNNNNNNNNNNNNNNNNNNNNNNNNNNNNNNNNNNNNNNNNNNNNNNNNNNNNNNNNNNNNNNNNNNNNNNNNNNNNNNNNNNNNNNNNNNNNNNNNNNNNNNNNNNNNNNNNNNNNNNNNNNNNNNNNNNNNNNNNNNNNNNNNNNNNNNNNNNNNNNNNNNNNNNNNNNNNNNNNNNNNNNNNNNNNNNNNNNNNNNNNNNNNNNNNNNNNNNNNNNNNNNNNNNNNNNNNNNNNNNNNNNNNNNNNNNNNNNNNNNNNNNNNNNNNNNNNNNNNNNNNNNNNNNNNNNNNNNNNNNNNNNNNNNNNNNNNNNNNNNNNNNNNNNNNNNNNNNNNNNNNNNNNNNNNNNNNNNNNNNNNNNNNNNNNNNNNNNNNNNNNNNNNNNNNNNNNNNNNNNNNNNNNNNNNNNNNNNNNNNNNNNNNNNNNNNNNNNNNNNNNNNNNNNNNNNNNNNNNNNNNNNNNNNNNNNNNNNNNNNNNNNNNNNNNNNNNNNNNNNNNNNNNNNNNNNNNNNNNNNNNNNNNNNNNNNNNNNNNNNNNNNNNNNNNNNNNNNNNNNNNNNNNNNNNNNNNNNNNNNNNNNNNNNNNNNNNNNNNNNNNNNNNNNNNNNNNNNNNNNNNNNNNNNNNNNNNNNNNNNNNNNNNNNNNNNNNNNNNNNNNNNNNNNNNNNNNNNNNNNNNNNNNNNNNNNNNNNNNNNNNNNNNNNNNNNNNNNNNUUAUGAGUGUUUAAGGUUCAAAUGGUUGCAUCUAAGUUGCUACGGGACAAGGCAAAAGGGUUUGAAACAUCAAAUGGCCUUGCAUAGGAGUUCACAACCCAACAAACCCCACACCUUGGAGUUUACGGCCGUAAACUCAUGGGUUUAUGGCCGUGAACUCCUCAAAGGGUGGUUUUGGGUGUUUUAUGGUGCUAUCUUGAUCCUAGAACACUCCUAGCUUUGUUGGAAUAACACAUGAAGUAGUUUAAGGCUCUAGAAUACUCCAUGGUGGAGUUUUCGGCCUAAAGUCCUCUCACCCUAGAGUUUACGGCCGUAAACUCCUAUGGGGUGAUGGCUUUUAAUUGUUUUGAGGCUCUUAAACAUCAAGGAUGGCUUCCAUGAAUUUAUCUAAGGCUAAUGGGGACAAGAGGCACACUUUUGUGCCUUCACUUGGAGUUUACGGCCCAAGAUAUGUUCCUUGGCCGUAAACUCCUUUCAAGGAGUGAUUUUUAUGUGNUCUAGUCCCAAGUAUGCAAGGUAAAUUGUCUUAAGGCCUAAGGUGUGCUUGGAAUGAUUUUUAACAUAAGAAAGAGGGGUUUACGGCCCAAGAUCCUUUCCUUGGCCGUAAACUCCUAAAAUUCUAUCAUUUUGAAGUGUUUUCAAGUCCAAAACAAGCACAAGUACUAGUGGUUAAAGUCCUAAGGCUCAAGGAGGCAAGUUAGGGCAUGUUUGUCCCUUAAAAAGGGGUUUACGGCCCAAGAAGGUUCCUUGGCAGUAAACUCCAAUAACUUGUGUUUCUUGGCUGCUUUUUGGUCCAUAAAGAUCAUACCCUAACCCCUAAACAAGUUGUCUAACAAGGAAUCGGGACUAGGAAGCCAUUUGGCUCCGUUUUGGAGUUUACUCCCCAAGAACGUUCUUGGGCGGUAAACUCACGGAUCUUGUAUUUUGGACAUAUAAUUGAUGUUAUAAAGCAUAUAACAAGUAUUAAAACACGUUUAGGAAAGUAGACUCACAAUCCGGGAUGAAAACCCGAAGAUCCUUCAGAGAGAAUUGGCUUUUCUCUAGUUGGAAUUGUGAAAUAUGAAUUAAUUAAAUUCAGAAAUCUAUUUAUAGUCCUGGAAUAAUUUGACAGAAAAUAUUUUUAUUCCAGAAGUCGGACUAUAACAUUAUGAAACUUAAAAUGUUCAAGUUUCACAAUUACAGGAGCAUCCACUCUCCUGAUACGUCCAGAAACGUAAACCCUAAUGUACACAAACUUGUUCGGACAAGUCUGAAAUUUACAGAAACUGGACUAGCUUCUAUUGAAUAGAUAAUGUUCGUACAAUGGAAAUUUCGGGUUGUCACAAAGGAUUUAGAUAUUUCUUGACCAUUGUGGAUGAUUUUACUAAAGCUACUUGGGUAUAUUUGUUAAAAUCAAAGGAUGAAGUCUAUGAUUGUGUUUUAUUGUUUUUCAAUAUUCUUUUAAAUCAAUUUGAAGUUAAAAUCAAAACAGUUAGGUCAGAUAAUGGGACUGAGUUUUUAAAUAAUAAGAUGAGACAAUUGUUUGAAUCUAAAGAUAUUAUGCAUCAAACUUCAUGUGUUCACAUUGCACAACAAAAUGGAGUUGUGGAGAGAAAGCACAGACACAUUUUAAAUGUUGCUAGGUCUUUAAUUUUUCAAUCAGGUUUACCUCUCAAGUAUUGGGGAGAGGCUGUUUUAACUUCUGUUUUCUUAAUUAAUAGAAAUCCUACUUCUGUUUUAAAAGGUGCUUCUCCUUAUGAACUGGUUUACAAAUCUUCUCCUAUUUUGGAUAGACUUAGAGUUUUUGGAUGUUUAUGUUUUACAACAAAAUUAAAUAAUUUGGAAAAAAUUUCUGAAAGGGCUGAUUAAUGUAUUUUUCUUGGUUAUUCUUCUGAUAAAAAAGGAUAUAAAGUUCUUAGUCUUGACUCAAAUCUUGUUUUUGUUUCCAGGGAUGUUAAAUUUUAUAAGUCUGUUUUUCCUUUCAAGCUCAAUUCUUCUUCACUUACAAAUAAAUAUAAUGUUCCUUUGAGCUCUAGUGAUCCUUUUUCCUAUGAUGAUUCUUUGCAUUCUAGUUCUUUACUUGAUAGUUCUAGUGUAGAUAGCUUAAGAGAUGGCCAUCAGUUGGAUGGUGCUAGUGCAGACCAAUAUCUGGAUGAGACUAAUCUCUUUGAUGUCAGCAACCAGACUGGGGAGGCACAUGUGCCUUCUUCUGGUGAGACGUUUCCUAGUCCUUCUUCAAUGUCUGAGGAAAGCGGUCAAGAUAAUACAAAUUCUCGUGAGAGUGGUCAAUCUAUUAGGGCUACUAGAUCUGGUCGUACUGUAAAUUUGCCUGCUAAAUUUAGUGACUAUAUUGUGGAAGGAAAACAUAAGUUUGGUAUCGAAAAAACAGUUAACUAUUCCUUACUGGAUAAAGAAAAUCUAUGUUUGUUUCAAAUCUUAAUAAAACUGUUGAACCAAAAGAGAGUCAGAUUUGGAUAGUUCUGAUUGUGUUGUUAAUAUCACUGAAUUUUAAAAACUAAUUGGAAAAUUAAUUUACCUGACUAUGACACGCCCAGAUAUUUCGUAUGCUAUUCACAUUUUGAGCCAGUAUAUGCAUAAACCAUAUAUGUCACAUUUAAAAGUAGCAUUUACAUUGCUAAGAUAUUUAAAGAGUUGUCCAGGUAAGGGUAUUCAUAUAACAAAGGAUAAUUCUGUGAAUAUUACUGCUUAUGUAGAUGCAGAUUGGGCUAAAUGUUUAUUUAGUCGCAGGUCUGUUACUGGUUUUCUAGUUUAUUUUGGGAAUUCGCUUUUAUCUUGGAAAAGUAAGAAACAGAAUAUUGUUUCUCGUUCUUCAACUGACUCUGAAUAUAGAGAAUUAGGCUCUGUGGCUUGUGAAAUAAUUUGGAUUUUAAAAUUGUUGUUUGACUUUGGUAUUAAUGGUUUAACUCUAGUUAAUGUUUUUUAUGAUAAUGAGUCAACUAUUAAAUUAGCUCUAAAUCCUGUAUUUCAUGAAAAGACUAAGCAUUUUGAAAUAGAUCUGCAUUUUAUUCGUGAAAAGGUUGAAAAUGGAAUUUUGAAAAUAAAUAAAAUUAGUUCUUUAAAUCAAAAUGCAGAUAUUUUGACAAAGUCAUUGAGUAUUUCACAGCAUGAAUAUAUUUCUAAUCGCCUUGGUAUGAUUGAUGUUUUUUAAAAGUUAAUAAAAUUUUUAUGAAUUAAUGAUCAGUUUGUGGGGGAGGGGGGGGGGGUUGAAAUAAGUAUCCUUUAUGUCAAACUUGUCAUUAAUUCUUAAGAGGGUAAGUUGUAUAUAUUUUAUAUUUGUGUUGGGUGUGUUGUGUAUUUUUCAUACAGGUUUCCGGGUUUGCACGCAGGUUUAUGGAUUGCUCCAUGGAGCUAUGUACCCGGCAUAUUUAUUGUGUUUUGUUUGUGGAUUUGUAUGUAAGUCGAUAGAUAUCAUCUAAUUCAGAUUCUCUCUUCUCUCUCAAGUUAGGGUUUCAGUUUAGAGUUCACGUGUAAAUCUAGAAUAUAUUCUUUCAUAGAGUUUUCUGAGAUUCAUGUAAACAUUCGAGUGUGAGUAUAUUUGUAGAGAGGUUUCUGAUAUAAGUAAAUGUUUGAUCGAACUGGUUUAUAGUGAAUAAACUGUUCAAGUUGGGAAUUGUUGGUGUUCUUUACUUUCUUUACAUAANNNNNNNNNNNNNNNNNNNNNNNNNNNNUAGGGCCUUACCAAUGAGGUCAAGAAACCUAAGUCAACAGCAUAAAUUGUCAGCCUAAGUAAUAAACAAAUAUAUGAAAUGCAUACAACCAUAUCACAUAUAGAAAGCAAAGACUAAGUAAUACAUGACUUGAAAAACGAUUUGCAUACAGACUUGACGCAACAUAUAUAAUCUACGAGACCUAACGACUUACAAAAAAUAUCAUAGCUCAAUUCGAGCUACCAACACUGUUAGAUAUAUGUAAAGGUAAUAUUAUGCCAUAACUCCCUAAAUUUUGAAAAAUUAGUUAAGUGGUAUAUAAAGUUUUUUUAAUCAAGUUCUUUCUAAAAAGUAAUAAUAAAGUUUUUAGAAAAAAAAUAAAAAUCAACCAAUUGUAGAGAGGCAACUUGUUUGAGAAAUAUGAUUACAUGAUGUUUAAUUUUUAACUUAGAUGGAUCUUUAAAAGCUCAAAUAUAAUUUAAAUAUGAAAUUUAACAUGACAUAUCAUGGAGAUUAUAUGAACCAUCCUUACAUAAUAACUGUAUAAAGCAAGGAUAAAUAACUUCGUUGAAUUUUUACCAAGCUUGCAUGCAAGACUUAAAGUUAAUACAUGGUGAACAACAUAUGUUCUAUGAAUAACUAUAACUUAUAUUUCAGAUGAACAUUACAAGAUAUUUGUGAUUACGUUUGAGUCACAGAUUUCAACAUACACCUAUCAUCUUUAUUUAUAGACUAGAGAAGUACAUUCAAGACACUAGAACAUGGAUAAGUAUCGCGGACCAACAUCCACACCUAGCACGCUUUACAAACAAAAUAUAAACAAAAGAUAUUAUCUAAUAAAAAAAUGAGAUAACUAUUUUGUUGUGAUGCAAGGCACAUCAGAUUCCGUUCAUUCCAAGUUACUGUCAAAAAUUUAUCUCCGGUCCACGUCCAAUCUAUUCUUUACAUCAACUCAACAUAUCACAAUCAAAACAAAAAUAUUCACUUAGUUGUCAAGGUCCACUUCAUGUACCAACACUUCCAAUGAAACAUAUACAAUAAUUAAGAUAUUAAAAAUAGUAUAAAUGUUGAUGUUUCUUUUCAUGUUAAGGUAGGGAAAAAGUCUAUUUGUGGAACUUGGGAGAAUAACUUUGAUGAGUUGUCAAAGUAUAUUACAACUUCUCCUAUUUCAAAUCCUAAUAUGGUGCGAAGUGGUUUCAUCUUCCAAAUAGCUCGACACAUGUAUCCACAUUCAAAUAUGUUUCUUAGGCCUUUGGACAUAAUGUUGAUGCAUUAUUGUUGUUAUUUAAGUGUUUUAUUUGUAUUGUAAUUUUUUAAUUAAUGUUGUAUUCUGGUUUUCAGUUUAUCUUGUAAUUGUGUGAUAUUGGAAUAUAUUCAAUAUUAAUAUAUAUUUGAAGGUAUUUAUAAUAUCUAUUUAUUGGUAUACUUUUUUAAAAUAAUACAUAAAUUAUAAAUAAAUAUUGUGAAACAUUUAAUCUAUGUGAUAUAUAAUAAGGAUAAAAGUUUUAUUAUUUAAUAAUGAAAUAUAUAAAUAAAAUGAGAUAAAAAUGAAGGCUUAAACUUGUAACAUGUAAGGGUUAUAAAUUAAAAUAUAUAUUGUUGUUAUGAAAAUAAACCACAAGAAAUGGUAAAGACGGUGAGCCCCAUUCAAAACGAACCUAUUUUUAUAAAACACUAGGUGUGUGAUCCGUGUAUUAUAUAGGUUUAUAAAAAAAAGUUUAGUGUAAAAUUAUAAGUAUCAUAUAUUUUUUAUAGUAAUAAUUUUACAUAAAUAAAAAGAAUAUAAUAACUAAAGUAAGUAAUUGAAUAACAAUGUAUGAUAUUUAGAAGGUUUUAAAACAGUUAUUAUGAAAUUUAAUAAAAUGAUCUACUUUACAUAUAUAAAUCUCACUAAAAUAAAUUUAAGAAAAUAACAAGUGGAAAAAAUAAUUUAAAAUUUUUUAAAAAAUAACAUGUGUCAAAUUCAACGAGAACAUGAUAUUUGGUAAAAUUGAUUUUCAUUUACUAUGUUAGAUUAUCAAUCCAACUUAUUUCUACAACAACUUAAAAAAAAUCUCAUGAACAAUACCAUCAUCUCUAAUGGUUAUCAUCACCAAAUUCCACGCUAUUUCCUUAUGUAGCUCAUCAAUACUUUGUGGGAAACAAAUCUUAAUUCUGUUUCGUAAGGUAACUGCAUCGGUUUUCUAAGCAUAUAUCCCUACAAAAUAUAAUGCUUUGAUUCUAUUUGUAUCAUCAUGUAUGUUUAUGUGAUUUUCAAGGUUAUAAAUAUUAUUUGUAAAGAUAGUUGAUAUUAAUGCAUGCUCAGAUAUAUUUGAUGGUGUUCUAAUGUCUAUGAGAUGAUGAUGAUGAUGAUGAUAAACUCACAAUGCAGGGUCAAGAUAAAAUUCUUUUUAAAAUUGAUUGUAUUUCAUCACAAUCACUAAAAUAUUGUGGUAACAUAGUAGAAGACAUAAAAUUCAGUGACAUGUUUAUUUUUCCCUAAUAUGUGUAACAAAAAAAUAAUAAACAAUGUAUAUAAUAAAAUCAAGUUACAUAAAAACCAUAAUAUAUCUAUAAAAGGAUGAAUACACAUUGUCUAGUGGUGUGGGCAGAUUUCUUACAUCUAUAAGAUUAAAUGUUUAAGUCGAUUCUAGGACAUAGAUGGAAGUGGAAGUAAGUUAUAAGUAUAUUCAAAUGUCACCAUUUUAAAAAACUAUAUAUCCAUAAUUUUUCAAGAUUAAUUAAUAUAGAUGAUAUUUUUUCAACCAACCAUCGAUUAUAUCUUUGUUUUCAAUUCCACCAUUUUAUUAUGAUCACAAUCUACAUAUAUUUUCUUUAUUGAUGUCUCAUUUCACAAGAUGAUUACAUAUAAAUAUUAAUGUAAAUAGUAAAAAUGGCAUAACAGUUUAUCCAGAUAAACUACCAAAUAAUACACCUCUAAUGAUGCUCCCCUCUCCCAUAUCUCUUGUGACAUUUCCACUCUCACUUCCUCCCUUACUCAAAUCGUCUCUCUUCUACUAACGGGUUAUCACAGGGAGGUAUUGUUGUUGGUUUUUCUCAUCGCCUUGUCAACUAUCGAUUUCAACAUUCUUAAAUUGAUUUGUAAUUUGUUUAUUCAUGCUUGAAGUACCCAAAAUCUCUGCAGGCUUCCCGCUUUUUGCAAGCUUCUUGAGGAGUGUCUUCGGAUCAACAUUCCCCAAUACAGUCACCUUCCCAUGUUCCGAGUCAACACCAACUGUGCAAACGCCUAAAAUAGAAAAUUUUAUAGAGUUAAAAAGGCAAUUUACCACAUAAUAAAUUGUUAUUAUAUAUAUAAAUAUAAUAAAUUGUUAUUAUAUAUAAAUAUGGUAAAAUAUAUGUGCAUUCCUAAAUUGGCUUUCCAAAAGAGCCCUUAGGAAGAGUAGAGUAGCAUUCCAACAUAUAUAGAUAAUUACAUUACCAACAUAAACAAACAAUUACAGGACCGUAUCACAUCAAUUUGGGAGUACAACAACACGAGUACAACAACACUGCCUUAGAGAUGGGGUUUGAUGCGGAUAAACAAGCAUACAUUAAUCCAUGGGGAUAGAAGACGCAGACUCUAAAACCAUGUAAGAUAUUUGAUUAUUCACAAAAUUGGUUUUCCUAAAAAAAUCCGUUAUGGGAAAACAGAAUCUCCAAUAUAUAUANAUAUAUAUAUAUAUAUAUAUAUAUGUAUAUAUAUAUAUAUAUAAACAUAGUUUUUCUGGGUUUUUUUUUUUUUUAAUUUUUAUAAGAUAUUUUUAUCAAAAAAAUGAUUUUAAAUAUUAUUCUCUAAAAAUAGACAUCAAUAUUGAUAUAGUUUUAAGAUAAAAUACAAAAUUUAUCUUUUUUAUAUUUUCAACUAUCGUUAUUCAUAAAUGAAUAAAAAUGCAUCAUGUUUUAUUACAGUACAUUCGUUAUUUACUUAUGAAUAAAAAUAUGGUAUUUUUUUUUACAAUUCAUAUAUAAAUAUAUCAUAUAAUAAACAUACUAUAUUCAUAUUUAAAUACUGGACGAUAUAUUCACUCUUGAAUAUUAACAUAGUAUAUUUACUUGUGAAUAUUAUAUGGUAUAUUCACUUAUGAAUAUUAAAUGAUAUUUCAUAUGUGAAUAUUACAUAGUAUAUUCACGUAUGAAUAUUAGAUGAUAUACUCACUUAUGAAUAUUACAUAGUAUAUUCACAUAUGAAUAUUACAAGGUAUAUUCACUUGUGAAUAUAUUCACUUAUGAAUAUUAGAAGGUAUUUUGACAAAUAUAUAUAAUUUUUAUAUGUUAAUUGUAACAUCCCGAAAUUCAGGUACAACUAUUUAACAUUUCUCUUUUGUCAAGUUGUCAAGAUUAGCCCUUGAGUGAAUUUGUAGCAUAUUAGUACGCUGGGUGUACUGGAGAGUACGUUGCGCGUACUCAUGCGCUUAACUUGGACGCGGACUCGCUUAGGUACGAUGGGCGUACCCAGGGUUACGCUGGGCGUAGCAGGCCCAGAUGCAAACGCUAAUAUUUGGCUUGUACACUAUAUAAGGAAUGCUAAGGCUUUAUCCUCGGCCAUCAUAUCUGAGAGUGAAACCCUAAGAGAGCAUUUCCUUCGUCCUAAAGCUUGUGUGUGAGUGUUUUGAGCUAAAAGUGCCUUUAUGUGUUAGUGAAGAAGAAGGAGAAGAGCUUGUGGAGGCUAGAGUUUGAAGCUUAAGUUUGGAUCUGAGUUCUUUAGAGUGAGGAGCUUCAUCUAGAGGUAAAAAGCUCAAAACUUUCCUGUUCAUUUUGGUUUGGUGUUGCUUGGACCAUUUCUAGGGUUAAAGACCCAAGGUGGAGACUUUAUGAGCAUUAGGGACUCCAUGGACCUAGAUCUAUCCCAUUUCAGUGAUAUAUGUGUUGUAGAUCCAUAAAAAUCUCAAAUUCGUCGUUGUUAUGGGGUCAUGCUUGAGUUAUGAGCUUUUCUAGGGUUGGAAAUGGAAUGUUAUGGGUGUUCGUGACUUUUACAGCCAUGCAAAGCCUUAAAGUCACCAACUUUAGGGAUUAACAAGCUUAGAAAUGGUUAGAUCUAAAAGUUGGACGUGUGUCUUAACUGUUUAAGACCCCAAAAGCUAAGAAGUCUGAAACUAGGAGUUACACGGGGCAUAAUCCCAGUACGUGCGGCGUAGGGUGGUCGUGUUCCCCGUUUCUGUGAGGUCGCCGGGUACGCCUAGCGUACAAGUUUAGUAUGCGCAGUGUAACCCGGAGAGUGGACUUUUGUUGACUUUUAGGGUUUGGUUAACUUUAGGGUCAUUAAGCCAUGAGAGGGGUAAAAUGGUCUUUUACCCUUCUGAGAGUGCUAAGAGAGGGAAUAGUCUAGCCUUGAUAGUUGUAUUGAUUAGAUUACUUAUUCCAUGUGAUUAGGCGGAUCCUAGACCAGAUUUUUACCGAGUUUGAGAUUACCGAGUUACCCGAGGUGAGUCUUCUCACUAUACUUUACCAAAGAGUAAUAAUUAUAGUUAUGUGACAGCGUAUCUUAUAUGGUUUUUGUAUGAUGUGAUUUCUAUGUGAUUUGUGCUAUGUAUGAUUCAGAGUGUACAGAGUUAGGACCGAAAGGUCCACAGAGUUAGGAAUAGAGGGUCCAUAGAGAUAUAGGACUGGAGGGUCCUACUGAGAUACGCUGACCAGAGGGUCAUACAGAGUUAUAGCCUCGAGUAGCUAAUAUGUUUUGUAUGUGGUAUAUUGGGGAACUCACUAAGCAUUUAUGCUUACAGUGUUAUGUUAUAUGUUUCAUGUACUAGUGGGGAUCGCGGGAAGGCGCCGGCAUGAUCAGUACACACAUGAGGAGUUUUUACACAUUAUGAUCUUAGGUUUUGUUUCUAUGGAUUGGUAUAUGAUACAAUGACAUUUUUAUAAUAUUUAUGAAUUAAAGUAUGUUUUUAAAAUGUGAAAAAUUAUUUGAAAAUUUUGGGUGUUACAAGUAGGUAUCAGAGCCUUGGUUUGAGGGAUUCGGGUGCAUCUUCGGGCGUAUCUGAACUCAAUCUGAGGAUUUUAGAGAUUUUCAAAAUAAAAUUACAAAAUUUUUCUCAAAGAGUAAAAAGUUUUUGAAAGAGCAGAGUAGAGCAGUGUGUACGAUCAUCCAGCGCUCGAACGCUGAUUUCCCAAAAUACCCUUACAUUAUGAGUUAUGAGAUAUGUUAUGAUAUGAUAUGCAUGCUAGAGUAGGCUAGGUAUUCUUAUUAGGACUAGAGUGGAAUGAUUUGUGAUGCCUUAGCCUAGGGGUUUUGCUGCUAGGAGAUGCCUAAGAAUGAGUAGAUAGCAACAACAGGCUUAUGAGAGAUCUGCUAGAGAGUAGAUUAUGCAUAGAGAGAGCAUAGUACUUGGGACUUGGGAUCCUAGGAGUAGGACAUGGGGUGAAUACUGAUGCGAUGUGAACAGUAGUAUUGGUGCGCAGCCCAAGUAAGAAUCCUUAGGGUACCAGGGAGCGAGUAGGAAUGGGAUAUCGAGUGUGUGUACACUCGAGCGAGUCUCUGAUAUAUUUGUGUUGUAUUUCAAAGAGACAUCAUGGUUGGGGCACAACACACACCUGAGAGCCAUGGUGUUAGCGAUGAGGAGAUCCGCAGGUUGAUUCACAAGGAGGUGGCUCCUUCCAUCUGAGCCGAGAUACCAAAGAUGUUUGGGUCUAUCAAGACCACCCUGAUCGAGACUUUUAGGGAGCGUUACACUGCUCUUACUGAUGUUGUUGUUGCUGCAGUUACCGCACCCGUUGCUACUGCGAGGCCACAGGGGGGUGACUCGUUGCUGUACCGAGAGUUCAGCAACACGAAGCCACCAAAGUUUGAUGGAACACAGGACCUGAUCGCUAUGAUGAGAUGGAUUUCUGAUAUUGAGGGAUGCUUCUAUACGUGUUCUUGUCCAGAGCAUCUGAGAGUUCGGUUCACGCUGAACCAGCUUCGCUUGGGGGUGAAGGACUGGCGGAAGUUUGUGCCAGUGCACUAUUCUUCUAUAGAGCUUUCCGCGGUGACCUGGGAGAGGUUCACCGUUAUGUUUCGUGAUGAGUAUGUUCCCCCAGUGAAAAGAGAACAUUUGGCCUAGGAGUUCUUGACCCUCAAGCAGGGUACCAAGUCUGUUACAGUGAUCACUAGGAUGUUCCAUGAUAGGGCGAUGUUCUACCCUGAGCACAUGUCUUCCGAGCAGGCACGCAUGAGUAUAUAUUUAAGCAUUUUGAGGAGAGACAUCCGCGAGUUCGUGGCGAACUCGACAUACCGGACAUUUGUCGAGCUUCAGGAAAAUACCCGGAAGAAGGAGAUUGAGCUCGAGACUCAGGACAGGGAGGAGGCAGGGUCUCAGGGGAGGGAUCGACGACCGACACAGUCCCAGCCGGCUACCAAGCAGGCCAAGCCCGCCGAUUCGAUAUCAGGAAACCAGAAGGUCCGCACUUAUGGCAAGUGCAGCAAGAGUCAUGAGGGGGUGUGUAGGGCAGGGUCUUGCUACAAGUAUGGCAAGGAGGGGCACAUGGCCAAGGAUUUCUCCAAGGGGUUUGUAGUCUGUUUUCACCGAAACCAGACCGUACACCGAAAGGUCGAGUGUCCGCAGUUGCGGUGGUCAGCUUAGGGAGCAUCACAGGGAUCUGCCCCUGCUGUUGUACGAGCUACAGAGAGUCGGUCGGUGAAGGCUGGUAUGUAUUCUUCAAGUUGACAGCGGAGGAGGUCCGCGCAGCACCCGAUGUUGUGGCUGGUAUGUAUUCUUUCAUCUAUUUAUUUUGAAUUGUGAUGUUAUGCUUAUAUUAUGAUAUGUGUAGGUACAUUUCUUGUGAGUUUUGUACCUGCUUUGGUGUUAUUUGACUCGAGUGUGAAUCGGUCUUUUGUGUCGCUAGCCUUUUGUCAGCAUAUCAGUAUCUGUCAUGAGGCGUUGAGUCGACCUUUGCGAGUUUCCAUUGCUGACAAGAGAGCGGUGUAUGCCACUGUUGUGAUUUGAGGAUGUGUGCUCGAGAUCUUCGGCAUUGAGUUUCCGAUUGAUUUGGUCCCGUUGUGAUGGGAGAUGUCUGUGUCAUCGUGGGCAUGGAGUGGUUGAGCAAGUUUGUAGUGGUUAUCGACUACGAGCGAUAGCUGGUGAGCAUACGAGACCCUAGUGGGGGAGUUCUUACGGUUUAUGGCGAGGGUACUCGUUCUGGGUCAGCAAUUUGUUCGGCUGCCAGAGCGAGGCAGAGCCUACAGCUGGGUUGUAGCGGGUUUGUGGCUUAUGUGGUGGAUACAAGAGUAGAUGCAGAGAGGAUGAGGUCGGUUGAUGAGGUCCCGAUAGUGUAUGAGUUCCCGGACGUUUUUCCUGAGGAGCUGCCGGGAGUGCCUCCCGAGAGGCAGGUAGAUUUUCGGAUCGAUUUGGUCCCGGGGGCAGCGCCUAUUGCCAAGGCACCCUAUCUCCUUGCACCACCAGAGAUGCAUGAGUUAUCCUUACAGCUGCAGGAGCUGCUGGGGAAGGGGUUUAUCCGGCCGAGUAGCUCGCCAUGGGGAGCGCUAAUCCUUUUUGUCAAGAAGAAGGAUGGUUCAUACUGGAUUUGCAUUGAUUACCGGGAGUUGAACAACCUGACGGUCAAGAACCGUUACCCCUUGCCGAGGAUCGAUGAUUUGUUCGAUUAGUUGCAGGGAGCGUCUUGGUUCUCCAAGAUUGAUAUGAGGUCUGGAUAUCAUCAGAUGAGAGUGCGUGAUGAGGAUAUCUAGAAGACAGCGUUUAGGCCUCAUUAUAGGCAUUGCAAGUUCGUGGUGAUGCCUUUCGGGCUCACCAUUGCACCGGGGCGUUCAUGGAUCUCAUGGACAGGGUGUGCAGGCCGAUGUUGGAUCGUUCGGUGAUCGUGUUCAUUGAUGAUAUAUUGGUGUAUUCGAGAUCCAGAGAGCAACAUGAGGAGCAUUUGAGGGUGAUCCUUGGAGUUCUGAGAUCGGAGAGGCUAUACGCCAAAUUCUCCAAGUGCGAUUUCUGGUUACGAGAGGUCCAGUUCCUACGACACCUCGUCAACCAGAAUAGGAUAUUGGUCGAUCCGGCCAAGAUUGAGGCGGUGAUGAGGUGGGAGAUGCCGAGAUCCCCUUCAGAGAUCAGGAGUUUUCUGGGGUUGACCGGUUAUUAUCGGAGAUUUAUCAAGGAUUUCUCCAGGAUUGUUGUUCCUCUCACCAGACUGACCUGGAAAGGCAUGGCUUUCAAUUGGGGCCUGGAGUAGCAGGCCUCAUUCGAGACACUUUUCCAGAGAUUGUGUGAAGCCCCAAUGUUAGCCCUUCCGGAGGGAAUGAAGGAUUUUGUGGUAUAUUGUGACGCGUCAAUAUCGGGAUUGGGUGCGGUGCUGAUGCAAAGAGGGCAUGUGACGAGAGUUGAUGUAAGCACUAAAGAGUUUAUUAUAUGUCAUAUUUAUAUAUGAAUGAUACUUAAUCUGUAAAAAAAAUAAUUAAUAAUAUUUUUUUAUUAAUAAGCGAAUGUACUUUACUAAAAAUCUGACACAUUUUUAUCCACUUAUUAAUAACAAUAACAAUAAGGGAAAAACUAAAAAAAUAUUUUUUUUAUUUUACCUUCAAACUAUAUCAAUAUGGAUGUCUAUUUGUAGAGAAUAAAAACUCAUGAAUUUUGGUAUAUUUAAAAUCAUUUUUCGAUAAAAAUAUCAUUCAAAAAAAUAAAAUUAUGAAAAAAAAACUAUGUUUUUGUAUAUAUUAAGAUAAUAAUUAACAUAGUUUAAGGAAACAUGUUUUGUUGGAAAACACAUAUGUAUUCCUUUUCCUUUUCAGUUGGUACAACGAAAGCUUUUGCAGCAAAAUAAAUGAGUGGUUGAGAAUGGUUCCCCAAUUGUCAACCUUUUUNUAUAUAUAUAUAGUGUUGUGUCAUAAAAAUUUAAGAUAUAGUAAACUAUAAAUAUACCAAUGGGAAAUCUUUAGAAAAGUUCCAAUAUUUGCAGAAAAGUUACACUUUAGUCUUAAGAUUUUUUUUAACGAAAAAGUCAUGAAAACUGGCAAAAAUUUGCAGUUUGACCCUUUUUAACCGGUUGAAGCCGGUACAAAAUUAAUUUGGGACUAUUUCGCAAACUAACGCAAAUAUUGAGACUUUACUGUAAACAAAAAAUAUUACGACUUUUCUAUAAACAAAAAUAUUAGAACUUUUAUACAAACAAAACCCUUAUUAUUAUUAUUAUUAAAAAUAUGAAUAAUAAUAGUAUUUUUGCGAACUUGAUAUUAUUAAUGUUGUUACUAAUACAUAUAAUUGCAUUUAAAUCAAAAAAAUAAUAUUAAUGACAUUGUUUAAAGGGUGGAGGUGGAGGAGAUGGUGAUGCUUUUAGCAUUGAAAUCAUAAAUGUUUGUUUGUAUAUUUUUACUUUGUAUAUGGUAAUUUCACAUUUGUUAUUAUUCUUUUUAAUUCAGAAAAAUAAUACUUAACAAUUUAAAAGAAGUUGGAUAUUUCUAAAAUUGUUUAUAAAUAGUUUAAGGUAGAAAGAUUUCUAACUUUCUAUAUAAAAAUGUUUAAGGUAGAGGUAUUAGUUUCAAAUCCAACAAAUGCACUACAAACAUCUAUAUAGGUAGCCUAUAUCAAUAUUUAAAAGUAUUCAUUACAAUAUCUUGUUUUAAAAAAAGUAAUAAGACAUGUUUUUUGGAUUAAUACUUUUGAAUUUUGAUUAAUACUUUGAAUUAUUCCUAUUACUUUUUAUUAAACAAGAUAUUGUAAUUAAUACUUUUGAAUUUUGAUAUGGGUUGCCUAUAUAGAUGUUUGUAGUGGAUUUGUUGCAUUUAAAAAGUAAUUUUUCUACCUUAAACAUUUUUAUAUACAAAAUGAGAAACCCUUCUACCUUAAACUAUUUAUAAACAAUUUUACAAAUAUGCAACUUCUUUUAAAUUGUUCAGUAUUAAUAUUCUGAAUUGAAAACAAUAAUAACAAAUGUGAAAUGACCAUAUAUACAAAGUAAAAAUAGACAAAUACACAUUCACGAUUACAAUGCUAAAAACAUCACCAUCUCCUCCACCUCCGCCAUUAAACAUUGUCUUUAAUAUUAUUUUUACAUUUAAAUGCAUUUAUAUGUAUUAGUAACAAUAUUAAUAAUAGUAAGUUCAAAAAAUAGUAUUGUUUUUUAUAUUUUUAAUAAUAAUAAUAAUAAUAAUAAUAAUAAUAAUAAUAAUAAUAAUAUUAAUAAUAAUAAUAAGGGUUUUGUUUGUAGAAAAGUCCUAAUAUUUUUGUUUAUAGAAAAGUCCUAAUAUUUUGGGUUAGUUUACAAAAUAGUAUCAAAUUAGUUUGGUACCGGUUUCAACCGGUAAAAAGGGUCAAAGAGCAAAAUUUUGCCGGUUUUCAGGACUUUUUUGUUCAAAAAAUUAAUAUUGGGACUAAAGUGUAACUUUUGCGUAAAUGUUAUGACUUUUCUAAAGAUUUCCCUAUACCAAUCAGGCUAAAUGGUGUCGUGGUUGUUUUGUCAACGGUAAAAGUAGGACACAUAGGGUGCCACAUAUGAUUUUAUAAUUUUUGCAACAUUUUGCUGAUGAAUAGGCUUUGGUGAUAUUUUUCCUUUGAAAGUAAAAUAAAUAAAUAAAAAUAAUAAAAUAAAACACUUAAAUUUGCAAUGACCAAUCACGAAACAAAAAAGGUUUACCAUUGAGAUUUGUCAUCGGUGAAAGUUUAUCAUUAAGAUUUGCCACCAAGAAACAAAAAAUGGUUGCGGGUGGUCAUCACCGGCAAAAGGGCCACAUAGACUUUCAACGAUGGCAAAACCUCCGACACCAUUAAGUCUUAAAGGUGAAAAAAAGUGAUUGAUGAAAUUGGAACACAAUACCAUCAAUUUUUUGGAGUGUUUUCGUCACCAUUUUUUUACAUUCAUUACAAUGAAUGUUCACUUUUAGGGUAUAACUCUGCAUUUUCAAAACAAAGAGAACACAAGAAUCAAAAUAAAAAUACAAAAUCGAAAUGCGGAACCAUUUUUUUUACCAAGUAUUAUUUUCAAGUUUAAGGUAGAAGUAGAAAAAGGCAAAGAGGUCUAAAUUAGAAGAAAAAAAAAAAAAGCACAUCUAUAUACAAAUAUUUAAGUUUGUAGAAAAGCAAUCAAGGAAAUUGACACAUAUUGAAGGAGUGAAUUAGUAUGUAAUUAAUUAAAUUUUCAAAAGAAUUCUCACUAUUCAUGUCGAUUAUGAAAUUAGAAGCAUAGAAAUGGGAAUAUAAGUAUGAAAUGAAUAAGCUUUUUGGAGGGUGAAGUUUACAACAUUCACUUUUUGGUCAAGAAAGCUCUUCCCUAUAUCAUCAAAGAAUUCUUCUUUACUCAUAAUACCCGGCCAAAACAUAGAAAGCGUUUAAAACGAAAAUGAAAUUUGUUUGGUAUUUAUGCAUCCCAUCGAAGGGAGUAAAAUUAGGAAAUCUACAAAGAGAGGGUUAUUAACAAAGAAAGCAAAAUGAGGAAGAAAAGAAAAAGAUAAGUGUAUGUUGAGAUGGAUUGAUGAUAGGUGAAUAGGAAGGUGAGAAUGUUGUUCUCUGGGUUUUAUAUAAGGGAAGUGAUUCUUACACAAUAAUUUUUUGUCAUAUACAACAAUUCAUUUAUUAUAUAGUUGUACAAUACAAUAUUUUAAAGUACAAAUUGUUGUGUAUGGAGAAAAAUUGUUGUAUACAGAUCAGCUUCCUUUAUAUAAUAAUAAUAAGACAAAACUGUAAGAUUGGUCUAUGUGGUAUUUAAAAAAUUUCAGUAGGGUCCAAAAAGUUUCCAUCUUGCAUGGAAUGUCCAAAACCAAAGUUUACUGAAUUUUUGGUCCCUGAUAGAAUUGAAAAUUUGAUUUUACCCUUUUCAUUUCUUUUUUCUAUUUUCUUUAUUUAUUUUGGUAUUUAAAUAAUUAAAAAUAAAAAAUAAAAUCUCUCUCUCUCUCUCUCUCUCUCUCUCUCUUCAGUAAAAAAGCAAAGUCAAACCCCCAACCCACUUCUUCUUUUUCUUCCCCAAUACAGAUCUGAUGAACCCAAUUCUUUUGCGAAUAUGAAGACUUCAUCUUCAUCCAUGUUUGCUAGAACCCUAAUUUUUCCCAUUACUUCUCACCUGAUUUCUAUUUGAUGAUUCUUACGAUCCAUACCACCAAUAAUAGAUCCACAAACUCAACACUACCACCACUACUUGAUUACUCUACCACCAUCAAUAUCAUGUUCUUGUAAUGAUUCCGACCGACUCCACCACAUCUUCUAGAUGUUCGAAAAAAAUGAAGAUUCCAGAAUCAUCAAACAGGAACUCAACAAGUCCAUAGAGAACAUGGGGAUACUCAUCCCAGACUCAUAUCUAAUUUAGAUUAGCGAAAACAUCGAUUAAAACCAAGGCAAUAUAAUAAUCAGUGUCGAUUGCUUCAAGCAUAUGGGUUUUGAAAAAUCGAUCAAGAUUAAGCUGAAAAAGAACCAUGAAAAAUGGAUGCCGACACUUCCACUCAAACAAUCUGAGGCAGUUUUAUAUAGGAUUCAAGAUAUGGUUUCUAAGGGUGGUUGCCCUUUCUCCCUUCCGUUGAAAUCGAAGUCCGAUUUUAACUUUUCAGUCAAACAUUGUUCUUCUAGUUGGGAACACUUUUCAUGUUGUUUUAAUAGAUUUGAUAGAGGGGAAUAAGUAUUAGAAGAGUCAAAUGGUUGUGCUAUUGUAACAAUUUAUUUUUGUGUAGAACUUGUUCUACAUUUAUUUAUUUUUGUUAAUUUUGUAAACAUGUUAUUGAAUUGAAGAAGUGAAGAUCCAAAUUUUGAGAUGUUUUUUAUUCUGGUGUGUGUGAGUGCAUGUGUGGAUGUAGGAAUGAUUGUAGGCCACUCAUUUUAAAAAUCUUAUUACGGGUAUAAUAAUAAUCUUGGCACACUUAAUUAUGGUAAAUAUUUAUAACAUUUAGUAUCUUUAAAUCAGGGGAAUUGUUAUCAACCCUAACAACCCAUCGAUCCUUCGUCACCAUAAACAUACCUAGAAAUACCGGAAGCAAUUCAAUUUUCCCAAUCGCCUUGCACAACAAGAUCAUCUUUCAGCUUCUUCUCUUCCGGAUCAGUUUCUCUAUAGAUCAGUUUUCCGAUUACCUGCUGCCUCUAAUAAAUUGCCAUUGAAACGAACAAAUAUGCAAAGUCAAAACUUCUCCUUCUUUGUCGAUACUUAAUCGCCUUCCACCGCCAUUUACAGAUGCCAACACUAGGUCUCUUUCUUCCUCGUAGUGUUUGCGAUCAAUUUCAUUUGGUUAAUUGCACCUAAGAUGAUGAAAGUCUUUUUUUAAGAUUUCUUAAAAAGGCUCCGGAGCAACAUCCUAAAAAUCUAUGAAUCGUGGUGUUUCAUUUGUAGAAACUAAUGUCGCCUGAGAAUUAAAGAUGAAGCAGAUGUUCCGUCCCUUAAUCUAGAAAUUUUAUUUCAUCUUUUUAAAAAAAAAAAUUAGCAUUGGAAUAAAGGUAGAAACAUGAAGCAUCAUGUAGGUAUUAUUUAUUUUCCCUAUUUUAAAACCAAUUAUGUUAUACUAGGCUUCUUCUUUUUGGGUAUUCUUCUAGAUUACCCAUGGUGUGGGAUUGUGGUGGUCCUAAUUCAGGUUUGACUGGGUCAAACUCUGGAAGGACCUCCGAGAUUCUGCCGGAGUUAGGCUCUAACGAUUUUUGUUUAACAAUUUAGGCCUUAACAGUGUAAAAGUCAAGAUCAACAAGGUGCUCAGAAUUUGUGGGAGUGAUGUUCAACCCUUCAAGGUAAAGUGCCCUUCUAAGUUAUAGAUCCUAUCACAUAAAGAUGCUUAAUUUAGUUUAUUGAGGUGAAAUUCAUUUGGGAAUCACAGUUUCUGUCCUAUUUGAUGUCAACUCUCUAGCUCUCUAAUAACCAUCUAUAUGUAUGCAGGUUUAUUUCGUUAUAUACAUUUAAUUUUUAUCAAUAAUAUUUUUUAUAUAUAGUUGACUUACUCAUUCUGUAUCAGUCUUUAUAUUAUUGUAUCUAUCAAUUUCAUCUAUUUUUAUUGGUUUAGUAAUUUUUUCAACCACCAAAGUUAAUUCCUUCCAAACUAAUAUUGCAAUUCCUAUUUUCGAACCAAUAUUCUUUAAGCGUAUUUGACUUUUUUUUUAUAUAAUUACAUGUUUAACAUAAAGAUUUAUAAAUAAUGGAAUCAAUAAAUCAAAAAAAAAAAAAAUACUCAUAACGAGAAGGGAGUGUUUUGUCUUCCACAUCAACAUGGUUUUUUAAUCGGUGAUUUAAUCAUUUAUUAAAUACACAUAAACCAUUGCUUUUAGUUUUUCUUAUUUAUUUGUUUCCUUACCAAUAUGCAAAAGGCGAGAAGCAGGGGUCUUUUAUUUCUUGUAUAUUGUUUGGAACAAUUCGUUUUUAAUCUCCCAUUUGCUAUCUUUUUCUUCUAAUUGCCCAGUGUCACAUCUUCACAUCUGGCCAAGCACUAGGUGAUUACACGACUCAACAACUUGGUUCAAUUUUAACCAUUCGAACCUAAAAUGUCAUUUGGUAAUCUUAUGGUUUUUGUUGGUUGCAAUGAAAGAAAAUAAUUAUUUGAUUUUACUGUUUAUUAUUUUUUCUGUAAUAUAUAAAAAGGGUUUUAAAAUGGUUUUAUUUUUAUGAAAUUUGAAUGCAUUCCAUAGAGUAUUCCCUUUAACCUAAUUAAGUUAAUUCUAUAAGAAUAACUUUCUUACCUUAUCAUCGGGUGUUAUUCUCAUCUUCAUCUGUUUCAUUCUUUAAGAAUAUUUUGAAUCUAAGUUAUUCUUCUAUUUGAAUUGUGUGUAAAGAGUAUUAUAUUCUUAUAGAAUCACAUAAGAAUGAUGAUUCCGCCAGAAUUGUAUUUUUGGUAUAAUCAAAUAAGAAUGAGUAUGGUAGAAUUGCGUGAGAAUGAUUUUGACAGAGUUCUAUUGCAAUUUGCUUAAUUUUACUUAUGGUUUUUGUUUCUUAUGUUUUUUCAGAUGUUUCAAGCUUUAACUAGGGAUCCCUUAGCAUCCUUGAGUUUAUAAAUUUAUGCAACUCCUUGUAUAAAGUUAUUCUCAUACAAUGCAAUUAUGACAGAAUGUCAAUCUCACGAAGUGUCAAUCUCACAGAAUAAUAGUAUAUUUUGAAGUGGCUUAGAGGUCAAAGAUACACAUGACAUUUGGAAAUGAAACAAGAAGGUGAAUCAGUAUUCUUUCAAGAAUAACGGUAGUUUUUUGCAAGCGCUGUUAAAAAUGAUUAUAAUUUAUGUUCAUAGUUGUAUUCUUUAAGAAUGAAUGUAAUUACUAAUUCUAAAAUAUCAAAAUUCGUUUCAUGUAAAAAUUUGUAUUCAUUCAAAGUUAUUAGUCUUCAUAAUAUAAGGUUAUAAUCUUCGUUCAGAAUAUAAUGUUUUUUUCAAGAUAAUCAUAACAUAUUCGGGAAAUCUCCAAUAAAGUCCUAAAAUUUUGGCCCGGUUUAUGUUUUAGUCAUAAAUUAAUUUUUGUUUAUGAAAAAGUCCUAAAAACCGACAAAAGUUUGCAAUUUGACCCUUUUUGACUGGUUGGAACCGGUAACAAAUCAAUUUGGGACUAUUUCAUAAAUUGAUCCAAAAUAUUUGGACUUUUCUGCAAAAACCAAAAGUGUUAGGGUUUUUCUGCAAACAAAACCCUUAUUAUUAUUAUUAUUAUUAUUAUUAUUAUUAUUAUUAUUAUUAUUAUAUUAAAAAUAUAAAUAAGUAUAUUAUUUUUUAAAUUUGUUUUAUUAAAGUUGUUAAUAAUACAUAUAAAUACAUUUAAAUAAAAAAAUAUUAAAGACAUUUUAUAAAGGUGAAGGUUGAGCGGAUGAUAAUGCUUUAAGCAUUGAAAUCAUAAAUGUCUUUUUGUAUAUUCUAACUUUGUAUAUGGUCAUUUCACAUUUGUUAUUAUUGUUUUAAAUUCAGAAUAUUAACAUUUAACAAUUUAAAAGAAACUACUGAUUUUUCAAAUUGUUUACAAAUAGUGAGAGUGUGAUAUGCAUGUAUGUCUUGUGUGUAAGUACUUAAAUUACUAACAUGUGUGUUGCUCUUUUUCAUUACUUUAUCCUUGUGGUUUUUUUGGAAACAUAGCAGAUAUAGUGUGAUAAAGCAAAACAAGAUAUAUUACUUUCUAUUAAACAAUAUAUUAUAAUUAAUAUUUUCGAAUUUUGAUAUGGGCCACCAAUGUAAAUAUUUAUUAUACAUCUAUUGGGUUUGAAAAGAAAUCAUUCCACCUCAAGAAAUUUUAUAUACAAAGUGAGAAAUCAUUUGAUCUUAAACUAUUUAUACACAAUUCUACCUUAGAUAUGGGCCAUCACCACCACCGUCACCUUUAAAUAAUUUCUUUAAUAUAUAUUUUUUUUUAUUUAAGUGUAUUUAUAUUUAUUAUUAAAAAUAUUAAUAAUAAUGAAUUUAAAAAUUAGUAUAUAUUUUUUAUAUUUUUAGUAUUAUAAUAAUAAUAAUAAUAAUAAUAAUAAUAAUAAUAAUAAUAAUAAUAAUGUUUUUGUUUGCAGAAAAGUCAUAAUAUUUUUUUUUUGCAGAAAAGUCUCAAUAUUUUGGGUCAUUUUGUGAAAUAGUCUCAAUAUUUUGUGUCAGUUUAUGAAAUAGUCCCAAAUUAAUUUGUUGCCGGUUCCAACCGGUCAAAAANNNNNNNNNNNNNNNNNNNNNNNNNNNNNNNNNNNNNNNNNNNNNNNNNNNNNNNNNNNNNNNNNNNNNNNNNNNNNNNNNNNNNNNNNNNNNNNNNNNNNNNNNNNNNNNNNNNNNNNNNNNNNNNNNNNNNNNNNNNNNNNNNNNNNNNNNNNNNNNNNNNNNNNNNNNNNNNNNNNNNNNNNNNNNNNNNNNNNNNNNNNNNNNNNNNNNNNNNNNNNNNNNNNNNNNNNNNNNNNNNNNNNNNNNNNNNNNNNNNNNNNNNNNNNNNNNNNNNNNNNNNNNNNNNNNNNNNNNNNNNNNNNNNNNNNNNNNNNNNNNNNNNNNNNNNNNNNNNNNNNNNNNNNNNNNNNNNNNNNNNNNNNNNNNNNNNNNNNNNNNNNNNNNNNNNNNNNNNNNNNNNNNNNNNNNNNNNNNNNNNNNNNNNNNNNNNNNNNNNNNNNNNNNNNNNNNNNNNNNNNNNNNNNNNNNNNNNNNNNNNNNNNNNNNNNNNNNNNNNNNNNNNNNNNNNNNNNNNNNNNNNNNNNNNNNNNNNNNNNNNNNNNNNNNNNNNNNNNNNNNNNNNNNNNNNNNNNNNNNNNNNNNNNNNNNNNNNNNNNNNNNNNNNNNNNNNNNNNNNNNNNNNNNNNNNNNNNNNNNNNNNNNNNNNNNNNNNNNNNNNNNNNNNNNNNNNNNNNNNNNNNNNNNNNNNNNNNNNNNNNNNNNNNNNNNNNNNNUAACAGUUUGCAAACAAUAAUGGAUGUAAACUGAGAUAUAACGUUCUAAUAAAUUGGUGAAUUUAUUUCCAAUAAUAAUCGAUUUAAACUGAGACAUCAUGUUCUAAUAUUGGUGAAUUUAAAAAUAUUGACAAAUUUAAUUUGAAUAAAUUAAAUAAUAGUGGGAAAGCAGAAAGUGGCUAAAAUUAUUAAUACUUUGAAUGUAAUUUAUUCAAAGUACGAUUAAGAUGUCGCAAAGAUUAUAUGGACAAGGUUAUGUGGUCUAAAGCUGUAGACCCCCAAGGGGCCGCUUAUUUGGCUUGAUCCUUUUGGAAGCUCUUCAAGAUUCGAUGGAUGUUGUUAANNNNNNNNNNNNNNNNNNNNNNNNNNNNNNNNNNNNNNNNNNNNNNNNNNNNNNNNNNNNNNNNNNNNNNNNNNNNNNNNNNNNNNNNNNNNNNNNNNNNNNNNNNNNNNNNNNNNNNNNNNNNNNNNNNNNNUAUUAUUAUUAUUAUUAUUAUUAACUCAGGAGACAACUGGAUUCAAAGAAACACAAAAGACCAAUCGAGUUCAUUAUUAUUAAUUUUGAUAGCCAUAUAAAAUUUGGACGAUAUUAAAAAUUUGGAGUACAAUAUCGAAUUAGAACAAAAGAAAACAUUGUCUUUAUUUAUCACUGAUAUUAAUUAAUUAGGCAUUACAUUUGUAUGGUGCGUUAUACGGAUUGAAAGCAUUUAAUUGAGCAAUUGUAUACUCAUUUGUCGCUCUAACACUCUAGCGUACCGGCAACAGUAGUGUAUGUCAAAUCAUAAAUGAUUAUAUGAUAGAGAGGUAUAAUCAUAUAUGAUUAUACAUGUUUAUACAUAUAUGUCUAAUCAUAAAUAAUUAUAUAUAUAUAUAUAUAUAUAUAUAUAUAUAUAUAUAUAUAUAUCCCGAUUAUAUACAUAAUGGAUAAUAGUAUAUUUUAAAAACCAUAAAUAAUUACCAUUUCUAUUGUUAGAUAACGGAUUUAUAACAUUUGUAAUGUUAGAAAAUGGAGUUCUAACAUCUGUAAAGGAAGGGCAGUAUUGUAUGGUUGUGUUAUGCUUUNNNNNNNNNAAGAAACGGAUGAUGCUAUAUAAUCAGAUGUGAUUAUAACAAGUCUGUCGUGCCGGUACCCCGGAGGGCUAGAGCUGUAGACUUGAAAUAUGUGGCUGAGGUUGAAUCUCAAGAUUACUAUUUUAUUUUUAAUCUAAACUAGAAAGGUUACCCCCGCUAUGCGGGGGCCAAAGCUUUCAAUGUUGUUUUCGAUUCGAUAAAUAUGACAAACGUAUAAAGUGGAAGAAUGAAAAGCCCGGGCUUUGCCCCGAAAUGUUUUUUUUUUCUUCAUGUUUUUAUGAAAAAAUGUAAAAGUUUUGACUGCAAGGAUCAAAAGUGUCAAAACGGCUAAAGAAUUAAAGGGGUAGGAACAAGCGAAUUUUUAGAAAAGGAAUCAAAGUUGUCAAACCGUUAAAGUUUUGUGGCAAAACUUUAAAUAUUAAAAGGUUCCUAAAAUUUGUAAAAAUAUUAAUUGCAAGGAUCAAAAGUGUCAAAAAUAAGGAGCAAAGUGCAGGGACCAAUUCUACCAAAAAAAUGGUAUGUUUUUAUGAAAAAAUUUAAAAAUUUUAACUGCAAGGAUCAGAAGUGUCAAAAAGGUCUAAAGAAUUAAAGGGGUAAGAAUUAGCAAAUUUUUAGAAAACGGAUCAAAGUUGUCAAAUAGUUAAAGUUUUGUGGCAAAACUUUAAAUAUUAAAAGGUUCCUGAAAUAUGUAAAAAUAUUGAAUGCAAGGACCAAAAGUGUUAAAAUAAGUACAAAAUAAAUAACAAAGUGCAGGGAUCAAUUCUGCCAAAAAUAUAAGUUUACUAUUCCUUUUGUUGAAAAUU
rnacentral:lncRNA from 1 species